UUUCUCCUUGCUGAUAAAUGGUCUGCUGUUUGAAGUAAGAGCAGGAGUAAGAGAUGGUGGAGGGGUUGGUGGUGGAAAAGGUUGAAGCACUGGGCCACCAUAUGGGCGUUGCAGACUCAGGGGAGGAUUAAGUGGCGGAGCUGUUGGUGUAGAUGAAGAGACAAGCUGCAUCAUCCGUGCAUAGGAGGAUGGAGGAGGAACAAAGAAUAAGGAAGGCUUUACAAGAUUAGGCGUCCAGUUGCCAGAUUCAGAGGUGUCAACGGGUGAUAUUAAAGGGGUAGGUGCUGAUAGAGGUGGAGAUGGUAUUUGCAAGGUUGGGAGAAGCAACACUGGCGGGAUGAGAAGGUAAAGAAAUAGUUGUAUUGGACUGGUAAGGUUGUGCAGAGAUUGCUGCAUUAGAAGUAUUCCCCACAGUCAAAGCUGUCUGCAAUGAUAAGGACAGAUGUCAUAUACAAGGACUUCAUAGAAGUUGAACCUCACACAAAAAUGAAGUGAUAACAUAUGAAAAUAGUAUAUGACUUGCUGCAUUUUUGUGGUAAUGUUGCAUACUUAUGUAGAAACAUAUUAUUUCAAAGAAAACAUACACUGAAGAAGUUCACAAAAGCAGGAUCUUCAGGAACAUCAGCAGCAUUUGAGGGAAUUGGCUCUAGAGGACCAUCCAUAACUUCCAUAGUUGGAACAGCUUCCAGUUCCUCAAGUUCUAGAUUUCAGUUUUAUCUUCUAUUUGAUGUUUUAUAAUUUCGUUGCAAAUGGAUUAGAAUAGAAAACUCCAAAAGUUCCAAGUAGCUACCAAUGUUUUCCAACAGGGUCUUGAUGGUCUAAUCAGUUUGUUUCGAAGACCCCCAUCUCGUAAGGUAAAAACAGCUUGAUGGGGUGGCACGAUGGUGCACCAGUCCUGUGUAACUUUUUCAGAGAAGAUUUUCACUCGUAACCUAGGUGGAAGUCUCCCAGGAGAAGUUGGCAAAUGACAACUACGAAGGUGUUAUGGUUUAGCUUGUUGUGCCAAAAAUAGAAAAUCUAGGAUGCGAAAAAAUUUUGUUGAGAUUCAUUUUUCAUCCUGAUGUUACAGCUGGCUUUUUUUUUUUUUUUUUUGGCAGAUAAUAAUGCUUAUGUGAUUUCUGAACUUGGUGAUUCUAGCGGAUAGAGGCACUAAGCCAAGAGAAAUGUCUGAAUUAUCGAAACAAGAUGGAAUUAUUUUUUGUUUUUCGCGGCAGACGAUCUAUGAGCGGACUUUCUUACAACACAAGAUGUGUCCACCGGCUUGUAUUUAGUCUCGUAAUGCAUUAUAGCACUGAUGUUUGCCCCGGGUCAAACCCUGAAACCUCACCAAAAACGACGCAUUUUGUGAAUUUUUUUUGUUUUAAUUUUUAACCAAUACGACGUUGUUUUGCUUCAAGCUUCCCCACGAAUGGCUUUUCCUUCCUCUUCAUUUCACCACUCAACGAAUGGCUUUCUCUUCCUCUUCAUUUCACCACUCAACCUCAACGAUAGAACCGACCCGCAAAACCCUUAAACUGUUAUUCUUUCCUUCAAUCCGAUAGGAUUUGGUUUCGAUUAAGCAAAAGCAAAAGCUUGAACAAGGUAAGGUACUGUCUUCCCAGAAAAUGAAUUGUAUAUCAGUACCAAAUCCUCUAAAGACCCUUUCUCACACAAAUCCUCUGGAAUUUCACCAGAAAAUUGAUUGUACGAGAGGUCUGAUGUUUGUAAAGGAGAGUACUUCCCAAGUUCGCUCGGCAGCCCACCUCUGAGUUUGUUGUUAAACAAUUUGAGUUCAUACAAGUUCUUAGACCGAGCUAUACUCUCUGGCAAAGUACCCUCGAGUCUGUUCUCAUACAAGUUGAGUGACUCGAGCUGUAGCUCACACAACUCGUUCGGAAUCAUCCCAGUCAGCUGAUUCAUCGACGCGACUUUGCCGUAAGGUAACGUACUGUCUUCUUUGGCAGCAGAUUAUUUUCAAAGCUUGAAUUUUGCUUGAAUUUUGUUGUUUUAAUUUGUGAAGCCAUUGCCGUUGCUGUUAAAUUGGGUUAAUAUAAUGGGUACUAAGUUUAUGCUGCGAUGUUUUUUGCUUGAAUCCUGAGCUGUUUCAAUUUGAUUCUUGAGUUGUGAGUUGUGGAUUACGAAUGACAAUUUCAGGUGCGGAUUGUGGAUUGCGAAUGGAAAUUUCAGGCUGUGGCUGGAGCUGGAUCGAAGAAGGAAAGGGGAAAUAUUUGGCUGUGGCUGGAGAUGGUGGCUGGAGCUCGAUCGACGAAGGAAAGGGGAAAUAUUUGGCUGUGGUUGGAGCUCGUGGCUGGAGCUCGAUCGACGAAGGAAAUGAAAGAGAAAAUAUUUGGUUGUGGCUGGAUCUCGAUCAACGAAGGAAAGGCAAGGGAAAAUACUUGGGUGGAGCUCCAUCAACAAAGAAUAAGGGAAAUAUUUGGCAAGCAAAAAUGGGAUUGUUUUUGCCUUUAAUGAAACGCCGCGUUUAAAUUUCGGGGUUUGACUCGGGAUUUGACCCGGGGUAAGUAGCAUUUUCCUUCCAUAUAUAUAUGCACGCGCACACAGUUUGAGAAGAAUCAGACCAUUAAUUAGAGAAAAAUGAUGCAAUUUUACCUUCCCAUUCAUGUAUGCCAAGGCUUUUUGGGCUUCCUCUUCUGUACUGAAAGUCACAUACCCGUAACCUUUUGAUCUAUUCUUACCUUUAUCCAUUAUUAUUGUAGCUGCAAAAAGAAAAGAACCGGAUAUUACAAAAUAGUGAAAGGGAAGAGGGGUUGAGACUUAAAACAGAAAUAGACCAAACCCUCAGUGACUUGGCCAAAUUGUGAAAAAGCAUCAGCUAACAUCUCUUUAGUGGUCGAGAAAGAUACGCCUGCAAAGAAUGCCAGUUAAUUUUAUCAUAAUUAGAUGGUAAGAUUGCAAAUUCUGCAGCCAAAGGUGGUACGGAACUGAAUGAAGGAAAUCAAAUAUGAAUAUGUUUUCAAUCUUAAAAUAUUAAGAGUAGCAUAAGUAACUUGUGAAACAGUUAUAAGUUCAAGGGAAUUAGAUGAUGGCAUGGUUGAAUUUUAUAAAUAUUUGAUAUUUUGGACCGAACAGGGCAAACAGAUGGAUCCAGAUAAUCAAGAAAAACAUCAAUUCCAUGCAGCCAAAUUAGUGUGGGCAAUGCAAUUGAGCAACACUAUAAAAUUAUUCAAAGAAAUCUCUAGGUCAGUAUCCAAAUAUAUGGCUCCGUCCGUUCCACCACCACAACCAAAAAAAUCAGAUCCCCCCAUUUGGAUUCGAUUGAUUAAUUUGAGCAUAAAAAAUCGGGUUUUAAACUUCCCUAAGCAAAAUUUAUAUUCCACAGAAUCAGUUCCUUUAACAUGAUGCAUUACAUAAUAUUUUGUUUGCAAAAUAAAGAAGAAAGAUGACAUAAUAGAAACACUCACAGAGAGAGAAUACCUUUGACGAAAAGCUUAGAAGUGAAUCCUCUGUAAAAUACGAGUUGAGCUGCUGAAUUUUUCGAGUUUGAAUGAGAGACUGCGGCAAUUCUGAAAAUGUUUUUUUCUCAUUAGCGCCGCCAUUUUUGUAAUAGAGGGUAAAGAAAUAAGUAACAAAGUAAGAGGUGAGCAGAAGCGGCCCAAUUUAGUUAUAUGCCAUGCAUGCGAUCAAAAUUGAAUGGUUAAAUGGCAGCCACUAUGUUACAUCUUGUGUAAGUAACAAACCGCCUACAUGGAUCGUUGGAUUUGGGAAUAUGAAAUCCAAUGGAUAAUAUUGAAUUUAACGAAAAAUAGAUUACAGGUUGCAUUAGUCCAAGUUUAUUUCAAACAAACCAGCUGAUGAAAUAGCCGCUAAUCGAAUUUAAAAGGGAAAAAAAAUCAAAUUAUAGGUUAUAGAUCUUAUUUCCAUCUUAAAUCUAUGUCUUUCAUGGUGACUCAAUGUGUAUACUAAUUUAUAAUUUGGAUCUAUAUUAGAGGCUUAGAGCCAAUGCUUCCCUAAAUAACUAAGAAAAUUUUCUUUUCAUUGAUUAAAUAUUUAUUUCCAAUAUCUUGUAUAUGUAGGAUUUGAAAAGAGGGAAAAUAGUAGGGAUGAUGAUGAGAGAAGAUAAAGAUGUCGAUUCUCAAAUCUAAUAUUAAUGCUAUACUUAUAUUCCUAUAGUAAAUAAAUUAUCCAAGGUUCGUGGUUAAUGAUACGUUGCGAAAUUUUAACUGUCUAAUAUGGCUUUUCAUAAAGCUUAGAGAAAAGUAGGGCUUUUACAAAAAAAAAAAUUUAAUUAGAAUUGUCAAUGAUAAAUUUUAAAAAGUACUUUAAUAAAUAAGCUUUUAAAAUUAUAUAUAUUAUGAAAGAAAUGAAAUAAGAUUAUAUAAUAAAUUAAGAGUAUCUUAGAUAAUUGAACUUUAAAAAUAAAACUUGCUAAGAGGUUUAAAAUUUGAGUUUUUAAUAGUGGAUACAAAAUAGUUUAUUUAAUUCUCAAAAGUACUAUUCAAAAUACAACCAUGUAACACAAAAAUUUUUAAUAAGUUUUUUGGACUAGUUAAGUACUUUUUUUGAAAAAAAAUAUAUUUUUUUCAUUGAGUAAAUAAUACUAAACAUGCACUAAAGUGUUAGGACCAGAAGUUGUACAAAUAAAACCAUGAAAUUAUAUGUUGUUGGAUGGAUAUUUUUCAAAUUUGCUGUAGUUUUUUUUUUCUUUUCUUCUGGGAAAUUGAAAUGAUGGCUACAACUUAAAUUAUGAAUGGAGUGAUCGGAGAAUAUUGAAACCCAUUUAAUUUGGAUCGUGCAUUGAGGGACGAAAGGAUAAAAAAUUUAAUUUUGAAAUUGUUGUUGAGUACGGUACAAUGACUUACCGUUGACAGCUUUUGCAACCGGAUUACAAUCGGUUAGUUCAAUAAUUUUAUAUCCCUAUUUAACCGCCACGUGCUGCUGUUACAUGGGUCAAUUAGUCAUGUCAUUACUAUUACUUACAGCUGCUGUAACAUAACCGGACCCAAAUGGUUAAAUUCUGUUGUUUCCAAUAAUUUUAUGCUGUAUCUUCUUUAAUAAUAAAGAAAACUUGCAUUCAAAUUAAAAUUAGGGUAAUGCCUGAUUUUAUAAAUAGAUUGCAAUGUAAUUUUGAAAAAUAAAACAAUAAUUUACGAAAUGCUUAUAACAUAAUUUUAAUUUUUUUCAAAAAGGAAAAACAACAAAAGUAAAAAAUGGAGAAUGAGGGCUACAAACUUUGUAUCUUAAACGGCCAUUAGAUUAUUUGUAAAUGAAAGCAACGGUCAGGAUUAUGGAAACAUGUAAGUAUAAGGACUACGAGUUUUUUUUUGUUACAUUAAUAUAUUACAAUUAAAAUUCUAUUGGUAUUUACAAUCAGAAUUUUAUCUGAAUAUCUUUGAUAAUUCUAAACUAGUACAGCCCAAAUUCUUAUUCUCAUAUAAUAUCAAAGAGAGAUAUAUAUUCUUCCCCUCUAUUAAUAAAGAGACAUUUUUACUUCCUUUUAAUAGUUAGGACUCAGAACUCAUACACGCUAGUUUGAGAGUGUGGGGUGUGACAAUGAGCCAAGAGACCUUGACAAGUACAAAAAAGUGGUAGAAAUUAAUUCAAACCGCUACACACGCUAUUGCAACCAAAUUGAGGGCCCAUUUUUGUUUAUUUGGUUGAAAAAUAGUUUGCAUAAUUAAUUCAAACCGCCACACACGCUAUUGCAACCAAAUUGAGGGCCAGUUUUUGUUUAUUUCGUUGAAAAGUAGUUUGCACAAUUAAUUCAAACCGCUACACACGCUAUUGCAUCUUUUGAAAAAGAAAAACGGAAUAGUUUUCCAAAAUUAAUUCCGAGAAGAAGAUUAACUAAUAAUGAUGUUAGAAAUUUUAAUAUUUGAGUCUUAAUAUUAUGUAUCACUCAUUUAUUAAAUAAUAGAUUUCAUAAUUUGUAAAAUUACUUAACCACUUGAUAAAUGUUAUAUUUGUUGGGACUAAAUUGGGACUUAAAUGUUGGAAUAUCUAGUAUUGCAUUAAAAAAUUAAUAAAAACUUAACAAUUUAUCUUCACUUGACUAAUUGUUUUUACAUCACAACUAACCUUAAUUAUUUUGAAGUUACAGUAUUAUUAAAUUGUCCUAACUGGUUAUCAAAAGUUGAAAGCAUGUUAAAAUAAAAAAAAUUACCAAGAAACAUGUGCUUAAACAGAGGUUGAGGCUAUGAACAAUUAAGAAGAAACUCUUAAUUUGGUCCCAAUUAGUAUAGUAAUCAUCUAUUGAGCGGUAAAAUAUUAAUUUUAAUAGUGAUGAAAUCCAAUAUAUAAUAGAUUACUAACACACAUAAAUUAAAACUAAACUGUCAGAAAUCAUAACAUUACUCUACUCUUCAGUGGAGUUCUCUUAAACAGAUUAUGUGAGAUUGCCUACAUAAAAAAUAUGUUAAGACUGCUUGUUGAAAGCAAUAUUCGCUUUUCCAUUAUAUCCAUAACUUUGAAUUGAUAAAGUUGUAUUCAACAGCUCUUGAAAAGACUAAUUUAUUUAAACUAGUCACAGAAAUAAGAGAGAAAGGGGGCUAUUUCUUGACUCAAAGUCAAUUAUAAUUAUCAAAACUUGAGCGGACAUCGCAUGCCUAACUUCCACGCACCCUAAAACGGUUUGAUUUGCUUUCACGCGUUCAUGAAUUUCCAUGAAAGAGCCUGCCUUUCGUCUCUUUCGGGACAGUGACUACAAUUAUGGAAAAAAUUAUAAUUCUCGUUAGAUUGUAACCAAAUUAUUAUCCCUAAUUUUUUUAAGUUAAAUAAAAUAAAAUUUAUGCUUAAGUAUAAACAAUAAUUUGGACAUUCUUGUUAUUUGUCCUUCUAAGAUAGACAGCAACCUAAUUAUUUAUUUGUUUGCCUGUUUUUGUUUUUUUAAAUAACAGUUUAUUAGCAUAAAUAUUUACCUGUGAAGUCGAGGAGGAGAAAAUGUUAGAAAAAAUAAAAAGAAAAAAAAUUAAGGGAGAUAGAAUCAGAUUUUCUUUUUUGAGCAAAGAACAUACGUAAAAAGAUAUUAAAUCUAUUAAGUCUAAUUGUCUAUAACCGUAAAUUGCAUAACGAAUAAAUUAUCAGCGUAAAAUAAAUUUUAUUAGAUUCUGGUUAUUUUCUAGAGUACGAAUUGUCUCAUCGUAGAACAAACACCGGAAAAUAUAACCUUUGCGGAGGUCUUUUGCUGUGUCGUUAUAAAAAGGUUAUUAGUAAUUUAAUGCACCAAUAUUGUAUAUUCCACCUUAUCAAUGUCUCUGGUUGCGAAAGAUUGUUAAAAGCAACGUGUUCUUUCUUUGUCUUAUGUAAUUUUUUCGUUGUCCAUGAGUUUUAAUUGAAAUACUUGGCUUCCAGUUAUUUUGUAAACCUGUCGAAAACUACCACAGUGGAUAAAGAUUAACCAGCUCAUUCUUUACAAUUGACUAUCGAUUUUUUAUUUUUUUAUUUUUAUUUAAAAUUGCUGGUUUGUUGCUUAAAAUUUUCAAUAAUAAUUUCACUUAUUUAGUAAUUAGAGAGAGAUAGAGAGGAUUGGCGGCCAAUGUUUCGCGAUUUGGGGUCAAUUCAAAGUCAACUAACGUGUAAAACACGUGUAUGCAUAGAAAACGCUUAGAUUAUUUGUGUUCCAAGUGCAAGAAAUUAAGAAAAGAAAAAUUGAUUUCCUUUCAUGAACUUCCAAGAAAGAAAGAAGACCCUUUACCUUCUUCGUGACAACAAAUGAAUGAAUGAUGUUGAUAUGACAAAUACAAGCGCUAUUGCAGGGAACAGCAUAAGACCGAGACUUGAUAAAGGGUUUGUUAAAUUACAUGUUAUUUUCUUUUGACUUGAAUGAUGUUGAAAUAAAAUAAAAUUGUAAUCAGGAUGAUGUGUAGAAUAGUGAAAUAAAUAAAAAGAGAAGAGAAAUUCUUUGACCAAUAUUCAAGAACUCAUCCAAGGUGAUCGUCCAAGUCUAGAGGUUCGGUGUGAUUAGCAUUUAUUUUUAAUUUUUUGGCUAACAUCAUAUAUAGUCACUUGUCGUGUGAUGUAGGGCAAGUUUAGAAAUCCUUUUAUUUUAACUUCCGUAUUCUUAUUAUUUAAUUAGUUAUAGGGUUUUUAAGUAUUUGAGUAUUGAUCACAUGUCUGCUAAUCUAAAAAUAUUUUUUUACGAUCGAGUACAAAUAACAAACUAGAAUUUUAACAGCCUUUUAUACUAAACCCUAAAAAUACAUGAAUUUAUCAAAAUAAGUAAAUUAAUUUAAAUUGGUAUGGCAUAAUAGAAGUUUUACCUGCCGAAACAAAUUAAAAAAAUAUUACACUUAAAUCAAAUAUUGACAAAAAUAGAUAACAAUCUAAUGAGAAUCUUAACUAGACAUUUUUACUUCUAUCCAAUUUAACUGGAACGAGAAUUAAGUCCUUUCAAUAGUUAAGACUCAUAACUCAUACAUGCUAGUUUGAGAGUGUGGGGUGUGACAAUGGGUCAAAAGACCAUUGACAAGUACAAAAGAGUGAUUGCAAUUAAUUCAAACCGCUACACACGCUAUAUUGAGGGCCCAUUUUUGUUUAUUUCGUUGAAAAGUAGUUUUCACAAUUAAUUCAAACCGCUACACACGCUAUUGCGUCUUUUAAAAAAGAAAAAUGGAGUAGUUUUCCAAAAUUAAUUCAGAGAAGAAGAUUUACUAAUAAUGAUGUUAGAAAUCUUAAUAUUUGAAUCUUAAUAUUAUGUAUCACUCAUUUAUUAAAUAAUAGAUUUCAUAGUUUGUAAAUUUACUUAACCACUUGAUAAAUGUUAUAUUUGUUGGGACUAAAUUGGGACUUCAAUGUUGGAAUAUCUAGUAUUGCAUAAAAAAUAAAAAAAACUUAAAAAUUUAUCUUCGCAUGACUAAUUGUUUUUACAUCACAACUAACCUUAGUUAUUUUUUAAAGUUAUAGUAUUAUUAAAUUGCCCUAACUGGUUAUCAAAAGAUGAAAGCAUGUUAAAAUAAGAAAUUACUAAGAAACAUGUGCUUAAACAGAGGUUAAGGCUACGAACAAUUAAGAAGAAACAACUUACAAUCAAAGGUUAAGAUUAUGAACAAAUUAAGGAAGGUAGAUAAAGGGACGGAAUCAUUGUCUGAAUUGCCGGUGACAAGAAUGCUUGUGUUGUGAAAAGAAACCUGAUGGUUUGUAAAUGGGUUGAAUUUUUUAUUCGCUCGCUCCAACUAACUUACUAAUGCCAAAUUUAUUACUUUGCACAAUAGUGUUUAGGAUCCUCAAGAUCAACUCUUAAUUUGGUCCCAAUUAGUGUAGAAAUCAUCUAUUGAGCAAUAGAAUAAGAAUUUUUCUAGUCAUGAAAUUUAAUAUAUAAUAUAUCCUUGACACACAUCGAUUAGAACUUAACUGUUAGAAUUCAUAACAUUACUCUACUCUCAAGGGGAGUUCUCUUAACAUAUUAUGUUAAGUUGCCUACAUUCAAAAUAUGUUAGACUGCUCUUUGAAAGCAAUAUUCCCUUUUCCAUAACUUUGAAUUGGUCCAAUAGCUCUUGAAAAGCACAUAAUAAUCAUUAUAAAUUUAAUCAAAGACUAAGCAGGUCUUCUUUGAAUUUGAUCACUGGCAUUUCAGUUAAGUUUGUCGUUUACUUAAAUUUUUCUUGCUUUCAAUUUCCACUGUUGUUUUUUUUCUAAAAUAAUUUAUUUAAACUAGUCAUAGAAAUAAGAGAGAAAGGGCGCCAUUUCUUGACUCAAAGUCAAUUAUAAUUAUCAAAACUUGAGCGGACAUUGCAUGCCUAAAUUCCACGCACCCUAAAACGGUUUGAUUUGCUUUCACGCGUUCAUGAUUUUCCAUGAAAGAGAGUGCCUCUCGUCUCUUUCCGGACAGUGACUGCAAUUAUGUUAACGUGACGAAUACAAAACGUUAUUACAUACAAGAAUAAGUUUUUGGACCCGAGACUUGAGGGAGGUUCUAUCUAAUUCUAAAGAUUGUAACCAAAUCAUUAUCCCCAAAUUUUUUCAGUUAAAUAAAAUAAAAUUUAUGCUUAAGUAUAAAUAAUUUUUUAAAGUUAAAUAUAAAAUAAAAAAAUUCAUGAACUUCCUAGAAAGAAAGAAGACCCUUCACCUUCUUCGUGACAACAAAUGAUGUUGAUAUGACAAAUACAUGCGCUAUUACAGGUAACAGCAUAAGACCAAGACUUGAUAAAUAUUAAAUAUAUAAAAUAAGUGGAGCAAACGAAUAGAAUAAUAGAUUUUUAUAAUAUUCUUCAUAAAAAUCCAAGUUUUGAGCUGGCCCAUAAGCUUAUCUAGUGAAGUCUGGGUAUCCGCGUUGCCCAAGGUUCCGUUUGAAUCCAGGCUGUGCAGAUGUUUAUGACAUCCCAUAUGGACGGAGAGGAAAUAUUUUCAGUUGACUUAAUUAAAUAAAAAAAAAGAAAUGAAGAAAAACGAAUACAAGACUUGAAAAAGCUGGGAGUAUCAUCAGUUCAAUUGGUUAUAAAUAGCAUAGAGCCAUCCUCUCGUUGUUGCAGAACUGAAGCAAAGAGAGACAGAAAGAGUGUGUGUAGGUGAUUAUAAUUAAGAAGAUAUAAUGUGUGGUUCAAAAAGAGUGUGGUUGAGUGAGUUAAUUUUCAUAUUAUUUGUAGUAAAAGGGUGGUGGAGUGAGGGAUGUUUGCAGCAAGAGAAGUCUGCUCUCCUCCAACUUAGACAUUUCUUCAAUGAUGAUCACCGUCUUCGAAAAGGGGCAGACGCAGGAGAUGAUGAGAAUUAUUCAGAUUGUUGUCAGUGGGAAGGGGUUGAGUGCAACAACACCACUGGCAGAGUGAUUAAAUUAGAUCUAGCAUUUCGAAAAUGGGAAUCAGCAGAGUGGUAUAUGAAUGCCUCUCUGUUUACUCCUUUUCAACAAUUAGAGUCUCUUGAUCUAAUUGGGAACAAUAUAGUCGGUUGUGUUGAAAAUGAAGGUCCUUAAUUUACUUUAUUUUAAUUCUUCCUGUAAAUUUCUUACAUUUAUCUGAUCCCUUUUGGCUUUUGUUUAAUUUGUACGUGAUACAAUAAAAUUAUUUUUUAUUUUUUGGCAGGUCUAGAUAGGUUAUCAAGGUUGAACAACUUGAAGUUUCUUUUUUUAGAUGAUAACGACUUCAACAACAGCAUCUUUUCAUCUCUAGGUGGUCUUUCAUCACUCAGAGACUUAUCAUUGGCUGGUAAUGGAUUGAAUGGAAGUAUUGAUAUUAAAGGUAAGCAAGCUUCAUCCCUUCUCCCGUGUCCCAUUUUUCAGAUUAGCCAUAUUCUUUUCACUGAGAUUUAACAUAAAAAAAAAAGGAGAAAAUAAGUUAUUUAAUUAACUCUAUUUUAAGUGUUGGCAUAAAUACAGGACUCGAUUCCUUGAGUAACUUGGAGAUACUGGACAUGAGCAACAAUGCAAUCGACAAUCUAGUGGUUCCUAAAGGUAUACAAAAUGUUCAAAUAUUAAUAAUUUGGAGGACAAUUUAAUUGAUUUGAUAAGGGAAUGUCCAAUGACACUUACCCAAAAUAAUUUAAUCCGAAAUUGUAUCUCAAAUAGAUUACAGAGGUUUUGAGGAAGUUGAAUACCCUUGAUUUGGGGGGGGGGGGGGGGAGGGAAAUUGCAGUGAUAUAUGGAAGCAAGGUGUUGCAAUCAAUAAAGAAAUUCAUUGGUCAAUGUUCAAGGACUCAUCCAAAGUAAUCGUUAAAGUCUAGAGGUCUGCUCUCCACCAACUCAAACAUUUCUUCAAUGAUGAUCAACGUCUUCAAAACUAGGUAGACGCGGGAGAUGAUGAGAAUAAUUUAGAUGUUGUCAGUGGGAAGGGGUUGAGUGCAACAACACCACUGGCAGAGUGAUUAAAUUAGAUCUAGCAUUUCGAAAAUGGGAAUCAACAGAGUGGUAUAUGAAUGCCUCUCUGUUUACUCCCUUUCAACAAUUAGAGUCUCUUGAUCUAAGUUGGAACAACAUAGCCGGUUGUGUUCAAAAUGAAGGUCCUUAAUUUACUCUAUUUUAGUUCUUCCUCGUAAUUUCUUACAUUUAUCUGAUCCCUUUUGGCUUUUGUUUAAUUUGUACGUAAUACAAUAAAAAUUUUUUUUAGUUUUUAUUUUUUAUUUUUUAUUUUUUGGCAGGUCUAGAGAGGCUAUCAAGGUUGAACAACUUGAAGUUUCUUUAUUUAGACAAUAACCACUUCAACAACAGCAUCUUUUCAUCUCUAGGUGGUCUUUCAUCACUCAUACACUUAUCAUUGGUUGGUAAUCGAUUGAAUGGAAGUAUUGAUAUUAAAGGUAAGCAAGCUUCAUCCCUUCUCCCGUGUCCCAUCUUUGUGGAUUUUAUUUCAUCGACCAGCUGGAAGAAUUGAUACGAGAUCUAGCUAGACUCUUGCUAGUUUAAGCUUCAAGGCUUUGAAUAUUAUAAAAAUAGGUUUAAGGAAUUAUCAUUAUAUGCAAUUUUCUAUGCUUCUCAUAAUCAGACACAAUUCAAUCUAAUUAUUUCGUAUGUCCUGUCUUCAAAAGUAAAGAAUUGUACACUAAACGGAAAUCGACAUUGUAGCUUUUUAAUUUUUCUAAUGCUCUUUCUUUGUUAACGAGUUUAUAUCCUGAGAGUGGAUUGGAUUCAAAAAAAAAAAAGUUUUGAUGUUCAAGGUAAGCCAUAAUAACAUGCAUCUUAUUUAUCUGCCUAUAUCUAAAUUUGUGCACUGAAUUUAGUAUUUUGGUUAGUGUGAAGGGAUCAGAUAUUGACUUCCAUAAACCAACUUGUAUUUACUUAAUUAAUUAAGUAAAUUUUUUGAAACAAGAAUAAGGUAUAGCAGGUUGGAUAUGUAUUUAUUUAGUUUAAAUAACUUUUCCAUCCAUCCAAAACCUUUAAGCAUGUAGUUGAAGAGGGGUGGCAAUUCAAGUUGGAUAUGUAUUUAUUUAGUUUAAUUGGAUCUGAUAUUAUAUAUUCUAAACCUUUUGAAUAUGGAUAUGGAUGUUUUUAAAAUAGUCAAUUGGAUACUGGAUGAAUAUGGAUAUUAGAUAUUUAAUUCAUUUAUGUUAAAAAAUAAAGUAAGAAGUUAUAUAUAUUUACCAUGAUAUCCAUUUAUUGAAUGCCUUUUUUUUUUAUAUUUUCAAAUUAGCAAACCAUAGUUUAUCUCUUUUAGUUUCACACACUAGCCGUUCGUUCCUCGUUGGCCACUGAUAUCGUCGACCGUCGCUUGUUUGAUAUAUAUUAGUUAUUCAUGAUUUUGCUCUCUUCUUUUGUGAUACAGUUGCUUCUUCUUCUUUUAAUUUAGGAUAUCUGUGUCUCUAUAUUUCUCUAUAUGUAUCAAUUACACGCCGUUGUCAGCCAAAUAUACCUACUUAAAACCACUCAAUCAGGCCCUUGACAACUGUUUUUUACGUUUUCCUGGUUAGCCGUAUACUUUUUUGCUUAUUAAUAAAAUUAUUUUGCACCGAGAUUUAAAAUAAAAAAACGGAGAAAAUAAGUUAUUUAAUUAACCCUGCUUUAAGUGUUGGCAUAAAUGCAGGACUGAAUUCCUUGAGUAACUUGGAGGAGCUGGACAUGAGCGCCAAUGCAAUCGACAAUCUAGUGGUCCUAAAGGUAUACAAAAUGUUCAAAUAUUAAUAAUUUGGAGGAUAGUUUAAUUGAUUUGAUUAGGGAAUGCCCAAUGACACUUACCCAAAAUAAUUUAAUCCGAAAUUGUAUCCCAAACAGAUUUCAGAGGUUUGAGGAAGUUGAAUACCCUUCUUUUACGGGGAAGCAGAAUUCGAAUGAUAGAUGGAAGCAAGGUGUUGCAAUCAAUAGGAUCACUACCAUCCCUCAAAACGCUUUACCUUUUCUUUAUUAAUUUUAAGGGAACAGUAGUUAAUCAGGGUGAGUAAAUUUUUUUAUGUCGAAAAUAAUUGAAUUAAUAUAUAUAGCUAAAAUUUAUUGUUUCUACUUCUUUCUAAAUAGAAUUGCACAAUUUCACCAACUUGGAAGAAUUGAUAUUGGUCGAGUGUGAUCUCCAUGUAAGCCAGCUUCUGCGAAGCAUCGCAUCAUUCACUUCGUUAAAGUAUUUGUCAAUGCAAGAUAGUGUACUCAAGGGUGCCCUGCAUGGUCAAGGUAAAUUACGGGUAUCUGAAGCUUUUAUGAUAUUAAUUCGAUAAUAAUUCUUUCUUUUCAAGUUAAUUUUCUCCCGUAAAAUAAUAUUUUUUUCUUUUAAAUUUUAUACAUUUUCACUGUCCAAUAGUUCUACCUUCUCUAAAUUGUAGGAUUCUUGAUUAAGGUUAAUGAAAUUUUAGUUCUGUUAUGUUAAGAAUAUUUCGAUCGCUUAGAAGAGUAAAGAAAAAUAAGUAAAUUAACCCAAAAAAAGAAAAGAACAGGACCGGAUUAUCCUUAUUCCCUUGCAUUAUGUGAUCAAUAUCAAAAUUAUAACCAUUUCUUGUUUAUUGCUUGUAGAUUUUCGUAAAUUCAACAAUUUGGAACAUCUGUACAUGGGUGAGGUGCAGGUUGACGUCAACACCAGUUUUCUUCAAAUUGUCGGCGAAUCGAUGCCUUCCCUUAAGUUUUUAUCACUGAAUGAUUCAAGUCUUAAUAAAAACACCAUUCUUGAUCAAGGUUAAUUAAUGAUUCUCUUUCUCCCUCUCGCGCAUCUUAACUAAAUUUAAUUGAGAAUAUCUAUAAUGCUAGCUAUUUAUAAACUUAAUGAAAGUUGAUGAGGAGCCAUUAUAAUGACUAAAACAACUGUAAAAUAGUGCGCUGUUGUAGUGUUGAUUGAACUAUUGGACUGUAAAACAACUGUAACAACACUAUAACGCUGCAUAAUUUUACAGUUAUUUUGUUGCCAUUACGUCAGAUUCCACUGUUAAACUAUCAGUACUCAAACUUAAUUUUUAAUAUGUACUUUAAAGAUUUUAUGCAAUUAUUUAAGUUUUAUGCAAUUAUAUUUUUCAGGACUUUGUCGGUUAGUGCAUCUGCAAGAGUUAUACAUCGGCCAUAACGAUUUGAGAGGUAGCUUGCCAUGGUGCUUGGCAAACAUGACAUCCCUUCAAGUGUUAGAUGCCUCAUCUAAUAAACUUACUGGAGACAUCUCCCCAGGCCUUUGUGAGUUGGUGCUUCUGAGAGAGUUAUACAUACAUAACAAUGAUUUAAGAGGUAGCUUGCCAUGGUGCUUGGCAAACAUGACAUCCCUUCAAGUGUUAAAUGCCUCUUCUAAUCAACUUACUAGAAACAUCUCCCUAGGCCUUUGUGAGUUGGUGCUUCUGAGAGAGUUAUCCAUUGAUAACAAUGAUUUAAGAGGUAUCUUGCCUCUGUGCUUGGCAAAUUUGACUUCCCUUCGAGUAUUAGAUGUCUCUUACAAUCAACUUACUGAAAACAUCUCCCCAGGCCUUUGUGAGUUGGUGCUUCUGAGAGAGUUAUCCAUUCAUAACAAUGAUUUAAGAGGUAGCUUGCCUUUGUGCUUGGCAAAUUUGACUUCCCUUCAAGUAUUAGAUGUCUCUUACAAUCAACUUACUGAAAAUAUCUCAUCUUCCCUCAUGCAUCUAAUAUCUAUGGAAAAGCUCAUACUUUCAAAUAAUCACUUCUUCCAAAUUCCUAUUUCACUCGAACCACUUUUCAAUCUCUCAAAACUCAAGACUUUUGAUGGUGAAAUAUGCGCAGAAACUGAGUCACAUUAUAAUUCUUUGACCCCAAAAUUCCAACUGACUUCUAUCUCACUGUCUGGUUACAUAGAUGGUGGCACAUUUCCCAAAUUCUUGUACCAUCAGCAUGACUUGAAGAAUGCUAAUCUCUCACACCUUAACUUGAGUGGAGAAUUUCCAAAUUGGUUGGUAGAAAACAAUACAAACUUAGAGACGCUUCUUCUUGCCAAUAACUCUCUUUUUGGAUCAUUUCGGAUGCCAAUUCAUUCCCACCAGAAAUUAGCAACAUUGCAUGUCUCCAACAAUUUCUUUCAAGGCCAUAUCCCAGUAGAAAUCGGAACAUAUCUGCCAGGCUUAAUGGAAUUAAACUUAUCUACAAAUGCUUUCAACGGUAGCAUUCCCUCUUCAUUUGCUGAUAUGAAAAUGUUGCAAAGCUUGGACAUAUCCCACAAUCAGUUGACGGGUGAAAUCCCUGAGCUCAUGGCCACGGGUUGCUUCUCAUUAGAAAUUCUUGCAUUGUCAAACAAUAGUUUGCAAGGCCAUAUAUUCUCUAAAAAAUUUAGCUUGACAAAUUUGAUGACGUUGCAGUUGGAUGGUAAUAAUUUCAGUGGAGAGAUCCCAGAAAGCUUAUCUAAGUGCCGUUGGUUAGGAGGAUUAUAUCUGAGUGAUAAUCAUCUCUCUGGUAAGAUUCCAAGAUGGUUGGGUAAUUUGUCAGCUUUAGAAGAUAUUAUAAUGCCUAAUAACAAUCUUGAAGGACCAAUUCCAAUCGAGUUUUGUCAGCUUGAUUCUCUGAAGAUUUUAGACCUUUCAAACAAUAGUAUUUUCGGAACCUUACCAUCUUGUUUUAGUCCAGCAUAUAUCGAACAAGUUCAUUUGUCAAAAAACAAGAUAGAAGGACGGUUGGAAAGUAUAAUCCAUUACAGCCCUUUUUUGGUGACAUUAGAUCUUAGUUAUAACCGCUUACACGGAAGUAUUCCAAAUCGGAUUAACAGACUACGUCAGUUAAACUACCUUCUUUUAGGUCAUAAUUAUAUUAAAGGCGAAAUACCAGUUCAAUUAUGCCAGUUGAAGGAAGUUCGGUUGAUUGAUCUUUCUCAUAAUAAUCUAUCUGGGCAUGUUCCUCCUUGCUUUGUUAACACUUCACUCAGUGAAGGUCAUCAUGAGGCAGUAGUCCCUGAACAUUUAGAUCUGCAAUCAAAUGAAUCUUCGAUGGGAAAGGAAGAAACUGUACAGUUCACAACAAAGAAAAUUUCCUACUAUUAUCAAGGAAGCAUUUUGAGGAGUAUGUGUGGGAUUGAUCUUUCUUGUAACAAACUGACAGGUGAGAUUCCUACUCAAAUUGGAUAUCUUACAAGGAUUCGUGCGCUAAAUCUAUCUCAUAACAAUUUGACGGGCACAAUCCCGACAACAUUUUCAAACCUGAAGCAAAUCGAAAGCUUGGACCUCUCCUACAACCUACUGCAUGGGAAAAUCCCUUCUCAGCUCACUGUGCUAACUACAUUGGCGGUCUUCAGAGUAGCAUACAAUAACUUAUCAGGAAAAACCCCAGAUAGAGUUGCACAAUUUUCAACAUUUGAGGAAGAUAGUUAUGAGGGGAAUCCUUUUCUUUGUGGAUGGCCACUGUCUAAAAGUUGCAAUGAUAGUGGAUUAUCAGCAGUGACACCAGAAGCUUACACUGAUAAUGAAGAAGGUGAUAGUUUAAUUGACAUGGACAGUUUCUUGAUCACUUUUACAGCAUCUUAUGGAAUUGUGAUAUUAGGAAUUAUUGGAGUUUUGUACAUAAACCCCUAUUGGCGACAAAGAUGGUUUUACCUUGUUGAAGUAUGUAUGAUCUCUUGCUACUAUUUUGUAGUAGAUAAUCUUAUUCCUAGAAGAUUCUGUCGUGGAUGGAUGUAAUUUCAUUUACUUUACAACUUAUAUGUAAUUUUUAAAGAAUUUUCUUUUGCUUGCAUGGAAUAGCAACUCAAUAAAAGUAUUUGAUGCAAAUUGUCCAAGAACAACUUAGUAAUUUCAUUGCUACUAUUCGGUUAUAUAUGUACAGUUAAUGAAAUUUUUAACCAUUCGCAGUAGGAAUUUCUUUAGAUGGCGGCCAAAACUAACAGAUUUGGGGCUCUACUUCUACACAUCAUAACAGGCAAAAGGUCUCUCUUUUACACGAUCUGAAUGAAGAUUAGCUUACGCCCUCUGGAGUGUGUGCAAGUUCUCUAUUAAACUUGACGGUUGAGAUUUCAGGUCCAGAUGAAAGUAAAAUGCAGGCGACGAGACUUCACUUUAAGUAAACUGGUACAAACUUAAAUUAAAAAAAAUUAUAGUCCAGUGUGAGAGUAAUGGGUAGCUCAACCUAUGGAGGAUAACUAGGACUUGGAAUAACUAUCAGAUUUGCAACUCUUGUUAUACGCUAGUGGGGAUUAUCACUUUCAGCAGCUACAUAAUGGUAUCACUUUCAGCUCGUCAUGAAUGGUGUGCAUUCAGCAGUGCUCGAUAGACCAUGUCUAUGAAUUGAUUGUCCUAUUACAUAUAAAAGCUGGUCAGAUAUACAAGGAAAAAAAUAAUAAUUGAAAAUGCAUCACAAAAAAUAAGUGUCUCGCAUUAGUGUUUGCACUCUAAGCAUGGCAAAGUGGUGUGGGGUUCAUGAUUUUGAAGACUGAUAAGUGAAAAAUAGUUCAAUCCACUGAUGACCAUAAAUUUAUUUACAUGUCAAUUUAGAUAUCAUCAAAAAGUAAACAGUAAUUCACAGUCACGUAAAAUAGUUGAUAAAAUGCGUGCCAUGAAUGCAUUUUUGUACAUAAGAAAUCCAAAGAGUAUUUCUGACAAUACAAAUAUGCUAGCUUUAAGUCUGCUGUCAAUAUGCAAUUAAGAAGAUUAUACCAGCUGCAUGAUAAAGUUCCCCUAAUCUUAAUAACAGUAAACAUGAACAUGUCAGAUGCAAUUAUAGCUUCGAGCAUUUGCAUAACCAGAAAUCCUAACCUGAACAAGCACCAGAAGUGUCUCUCGAACUUUCUCCUUGCUGAUAAAUGGUCUGCUGUUUGAAGAGCAGGAGUAAGAGAUGGUGGAGGGGUUGGUGGUGGAAAAGGUUGAAGCACUGGAGCACCAUAUGGGCGUUGCAGACUCAGGGGAGGAUUAAGUGGCGGAGCUGUUGGUGUAGAUGAAGAGACAAGCUGCAUCAUCCGUGCAUAGGACGAUGGAGGAGGAACAAAGAAUAAGGAAGGCUUUACAAGAUUAGGCGUCCAGUUGCCAGAUUCAGAGGUGUCAACGGGUGGUAUUAAAGGGGUAGGUGCUGAUAGAGGUGGAGAUGGUAUUUGCAAGGUCGGCACGAUAGGCGAAGCAACACUGGCGGGAUGAGAAGGUAAAGAAAUAGUUGUAUUGGACUGGUAAGGUUGUGCAGAGAUUGCUGCAUUAGAAGUAUUCCCCACAGUCAAAGCUGUCUGCAAUGAUAAGGACAGAUGUCAUAUACAAGGACUUCAUAGAAGUUGAACCUCACACAAAAAUGAAGUGAUAACAUAUGAAAAUAGUAUAUGACUUGCUGCAUUUUUGUGGUAAUGUUGCAUACUCAUGUAGAAACAUAUUAUUUCAAAGAAAACAUACACUGAAGAAGUUCACAAAAGCAGGAUCUUCAGGAACAUCAGCAGCAUUUGAGGGAGUUGACUCUAGAGGACCAUCCAUAACUGCCAUAGUUGGAACAGCUUCCAGUUCCUCAAACUCACUGCAGUUUAACAUAAAAGGAACUUGAUGACCAAUUUAAGUAAUAAUUAGAUGAUAUAAGAGGUUAGGGAAAAUGAUGAGUGGACCCUUAUGGAAGGUGAUUUCACCUUAGCUAAACACGAAAAUAAAAAGAAAUCAAAGCUGAAUCCUCGAGUGCAAUGCAAAGAAUUUUUUCUCUCUCUUCUCUAACUCCUCUUAUUCGAAAUUGCUCAUCAUUGUGCUGUUCUUCGAGAUAUCGCUAGAGUAGAGAAAGCUAUUCUACCGUUAAGUGCAGAGGAAAGAGAAGGGCAAGGGCCUGGUAUGAUGCUAUUCUAUAGGAAGUGAGAAGGUGAAGGGUUAAAAUAUUUUGCAAUUUGGAGGUGGUGUUUGUUAGUGUGUGUACUUCUGAAUUUAUUACCUCUUUAGGAUCCAUAGAAAUUGCCUCUUGUUCAGCAUGCACUGUGCCUACGAGUAAGGCGAGCUUGCAUGAUAUCUAUUGUCUAUUUACUUGGAUAUUCAAACAGGACUACCAGCAACCAAACACAAAUCCCCAAACAAAACACUCUUUCAAGUGCAAGGAAAGAGUAACUUGGGCAUAUUUAUGGUUCAAGCACUACCAUAACUAAGAAUGUGAUGCUGUCCACAAACACUAUAUCAGUGCCUUUUGAACUACAUCACAUGCUCGAAGACUUUUUUUUUAGUCAUACAUAAAUUAGCUAUAAAAUAAAGACCAUUAUACAACUAAAAAGAAAGAAAAAUUGUUUGCUACUACGUAUCAAAACUGGUAAUAGCAAUGUAAGAUGGCAGACUUCUUACUUAAACAGAUGAGAGGCUACAAAUAAAAAAUUUGUGCAAAUAAAAUAUAUGAUAAAGAGCGUAAUACUAUAUUGGGGGCUAAAAAUAAUAUACAACUUGUGAAAUAUAAAUUGAGCUACCAUUACCUUUUCGAUGUGGCAACUUUCGACUUUUGAGGCACCUUGGAAUAUGCAUUCAGAAUCCUGCAUUUGGAAGCCAAAUAAAUAAUGUUAAUAACAAUUUUACAAUAGAAAAAUUAAAAAUUGAUAAAUGGCAGUUGUAAUUUAUGUGUGUAAAGAUAGCAUCGCAUCCAGGUUCCUCCCAUAAACAUGCUUGUAACAAGAAUUAGUUUGCCUCAACUGCUAGCAACUAUACAAUAGUAAAAAUCACUCUUAUGAACUCAACAAUACUAGGCACCAAUAAGAGUAUGACACAGCCAUUCUAAAUGGAAGAGAAUACAACUGUUUUACAACUAUGUUGCAUCAGGAGAUAUGUUAGGAGGAUUAAUCCAGAUACCUUCCAACCCAAUUAGGAAAACUCGAGUCAGAAACCAGGAGCUGCAACCAAACCUUACAAUCUUGAAGGAAGAAGGAGACUUGGGGCAUUUUUCCAGAUAGGUGACUUACAAGAUCUCCUGCCAAGAAAAUAUCUAUUGCUUUGAACCUCCAUUGAAAUUUCUUUUCCCUUUUUCUUGUUUUGACUUGGAACUUUCCAGCAUCAUCUAUUUGAUCUUUUUUAAAGCUAAAAUAGCAAUCUAUGGGUUGUCAACAUCUUAUCCCCCCCCCCCCCCCCCGGGGGGCCACCAAAAAACAAAACCAAUGAGUUGUCAAUAAAUAGCGCCUACUCAACUUAUGUUCUCCAAUGAUGACAAUGUGCAAAUCGACCUAGCAGCCACAUUUUUCCCCCCUUUCAACCACCUUUAGGCAACUUUUCUAACCUUUCUUCAUUGCCCACGUCUACAGAACUAUCAUAUAAAGACUACAUUAUUAUUGGGAUAGAGAAAAAAAUACGGACUAUAUUAUUAUUAUUAUAUCUCAUUUUAUUAAUGAACUAGUGCAAGACUUAUUUAGUGUCAAAUCAAGAACUAAUUAGAAAAGACAACUCAUGAUAAUACAGACCUUAAAAAGCAAUAGCUAGCAACACCCCAUAUACUCCUAUUUUAGCCUUCAAUAUCCUGGUAAAAACACAAUUAAGUCUUGCCAAAGAACAUUCACAAGUAAAUUCAACAUUAAUUAAGAUUAAGUAUCUACUGCACCUUCAAUCAAUGACUGGGUGAAUAGCAUGGUCAACCAUCCAGUUCCUGUAGCCCUCCUUGUACCUAUGUUAGUUACAUUUUACAUAUUAAGCCACGAAAAUGAAGGAUCACAGCCUGGUAAAGAAAGCCAUUAAUUAAUAGUUUUUGUUUAAAAAGUUCUCGUUUAGAUCUUUCCUAUUCAAUGAAUCAAUGUAAUCCAUGGAGAACUCUUCCAUUUCAAGCAGUGUUAGAAGAUAAUUGGAAAGCCUAAAGAUAAUAUACAAGGACCAAGAUAUCAAUUAGGUCAAAUAGUGAAUGUCAAAUAUAAAAAAUAAAUAAAAGAAGUUGUACAUGAUCAUUUACUAUCAAGUUCUGUAAAACUGAAAAUACCAUUAUCCCUGUAUAGAUUCUCAAACAACUCUUUAGCAAAUUAUAAAAUAGUUAAAAAAAGAACGAAAGUUUUAAAAAAAAAAAUGUACAACAGCCAUAUCAGGAGAUGUUUUUCUUCUCAAUCUCAAUAUUUUCUUGCCGUAAAAAAUUGAAAAGCUUAACACCAAGUGAAUUAUUAAGAAUUCAUCAUUUAAAUUCCCAAAUCGCAAAAUGUUGGUGCAACUAGGAAAGUGCAAAUGCAAUCACUUUACUAACACAAGAAACAUCAAUAGUGAGAAGCCAACUUUGUAUCAAAUUUGAAACAGAUAGAUAGAGGUCAAAAAAAUUAUAAAGACACUCAAUUAAAAGCCUUUCAAACAGCUUUUGCAUGCAACAAGAACAAAUCAAAGGCGAUGUGAAUGUAUUGAAAGACUAAUUUACAAUCAUCUACAGGACAUAAAUAUCUUGGAUAACUACUCUCUACACCUUACUGUCCCACUGAAAAUCAUCAAAUCCCUCCAAACAAAAAUGACAAAAUGGAUAAGAAUUGUGUGGUCAAACUUCAAUAACUUAGCAGCCACAGCAAAAACUUAUGUAGACACGCAAGCCACUCAAAAUAGUCAUAUUGUUUGCUUUCUAAACACAAGCCACAUUGUAAUGAAUAUUCAUAAAUUGCUACUACCAUGUUUGUUAAAACACGUGAAAACCACCAUAACUAACUAAAUGUAACUGAUGAUCAUCAUCACAUUCAUGGAAUCACAUAUCCGACAGUAUUAAUUAGUGCAAAUGGCAUGCUUCUUAAAACUCCUUAUUUAUCACAUGGGCGCCAUUCCAAUCAACCAAUGAUUCUGAUCUAGUCAGCAUAUUCAACCCACGAGCGAGUAAUACCUCCAUUGCUUCUUUAGAUUUCUCAACGAAAUUCCACAUUCUAACCAUACUUCUGAACUUGUUGCUCCCAUAGACUAAUACAAUAUAAAGAUUUCUUCCCACACCACCUCAGCCCCCACUCCUAAAAAACCAAUUUAAAUUCUCAUUGACUGUACAACCUAUAGUCCAUACCAAAUUGAAAAAUUUACAAAUAUAGAACCUCAAAGAAUCUUCUUGCGUUCCAUUUUUUACGGCAAGAAAAUUGACUUUUACCACAUGCAAGUCAACAAAUAAAACAAUCAUGUCUUUGUGAGAUGCACAUUUUCAGACGAAUCUGAAGAGCAAUGAAACCAUAAAAACCUAAUGUGAGAACACCGAGGACUCCAGAUAUCAUCCAUAGAAUCUUUGGUCCACCCUUGCAUGAUGAAAAAAAAUUGAAGGCUUCGUCACCAACUCCCCAGGUUGUUUUGUUCUCCUAUCUCCUAAAUGUAAAGGAAAGACAACCCGUUCUUUUUCCAAUCUUAAGGGACACAGAACGACUCUAGUAUAAAAUAGUCAGUUUCUAUACAAAAAUAACUCCUUUGCACUUGGCACUGCACAUCUCAAAAUAAAAAGCAUGCAAGGAGGAGAAUAUAAUAGCAGUAAACAAGUUUUAUUAACCAAACUUCAAAGAUGCCACACAAGGCAAAAAAGAAAUCUGUACAAGCCAGAUCCCAAGAAUAAUAAUUCCAAUAUACAAUUCAGGAAAACAAUAACUAAAAACAGGUUCAUGAGGCCUCAGCAGAAGCAACAUGUAAUAACCAUACUCUAUUAUUUGAAACACAUUUCCAAGUUUGGUUAAGAUUCUAAACUAUUCUCUAUCUGUCAAUUAUUAACAUGUAAAACAUAAUAAUAUACACUUAAACUACUACAGUAGUAAAACCAGUAAAACAACAAUACCUGCUAAAAAGAUUGGCUACCUCUUCACAUUCACGAGCAUUGUAGAACCAAAUCCCAUUUACUUCUUGGGAUGCAUUUCGAUAUAACAAAUACGGAAUCUGAACUUCAAACUCAAAAUCUCCCAAAAGAUUUUCCACUAAAUUAUCUGCACAUAUACAAGAUAUUGAAGCUUAUCAGUGCAAAAACAUAUACAAAAAGACAUGAAGGUUAGGAGACAUAACUAAAACUUAGCAACAACUGAUAAGCACAACAAGAAAUGAAAUAUAACACGAGUUGUAAACAAGAUAGACACACGGUAUCUAAAAAAUUGUACCAACUCCCUCUCCUGGUUGUCAUAAAACGGCCAAUAUUUAACCCUAGACAACAAAAUUGCAAAUACUCUAGCCUCUGUAAUAUUGGCAUAUAAAUAUUUUCGGUUAGGUACAUUAUAUUCUUCGUUCUAAAACCUCAAUUAUUAGCUAGUACUGUGAUAAAAUGAUUCAUCACUGAAAUUAAAACUUCACGUACAAAUAAUCAAAACUGAAAUAGAAGCAACGAUAAACCAACCUGUAUUACGUCGAUUAAUCACAACAAACUGAAAUCGAGGCUGUGUGUUCCUGAAAAUUGAAAAAAUAAUAAUUUCACCAACUUCAUAUGUAAUACAAUCUCCAAAACAACGAAUAUCAAAUGAAAAAAAGGGAAAGCAUAAGAGAGAAAAGAAUCUAAUUUUAUUGACCUUUUGACGACGAAGAGAGAGCCUUCAACAUCGUUACGACUCCAUAUGCUGAGAUCGAUGUUGAACUCGUAGAAGGUGACAUGAGCGGCCGUGAUGAGGAUCUCCUCAAUGAAUGGAUCGAUUCGCUGAAGAACUGUCAGGUUUAGGAGUUUUGUGCUCUGCUGGUCCAGAUUAGGCAUCAAUUUUCCGUUCUGCGACAUUUUUCAUAGUCCUUUUGGGCUUCUGCCCCGAUCACUAGCCCUCAGGUUUUUCUGUGAGCUCUCGCUCUUUUGUAAAUAAAGUGUUUGAUGAGAUAGCCGAAAGAGAGUGAAAGAGUUGAACAGCCAAACAAGGUGAGGUGAACAGUUUCGGACUGAGACUCGAGAUUGAUCUUUGCUUUAACGUCUUUCAAACAUUUGGGAAAUAGCAUUUAUUUCUUUCAAUUUCUCUACUUUUUUUUUCCUUUAUGUUAUUUAGACCCCAAAAUUAGAUUUAUUAUAAUCAUAUUUUACCCAUACACUAUUAAUCCCUUUUAUUUUUUAAAUUGUCAAUAUUAAUGUAUUAGAAUAAUGUUAGAAAUCCCAAUUAUUAUCGCAAUGUUUCAAUCAUAACUAAUGUGAUAACUCAUCGGUAACUACAACAUUAACUUAAUUAUUAAUGUUUAUCAUGAAAUGAUGAGAUUAUUAUUCAAGAAAAACUUAGUAAACAUCAAUGACUAAUAUAAUAUGACAAUUACAACUGAAUAUUAGUACAAUAAUUAGGAUCCCUAAAGUUAGUGAAUGUAUUAUAAUAUAUGUGUGUUACACCACUUUAUGUCUCUCAAAUUCAAUUAAGUAAUUUCAGAAACCUGAUCUUUUAUUACAUUAAUUAGGAAUGCAUACAUGAACGAAAGAUGUGCAAUUUUUGUUCUAUUUUUCACUAUUAUUUACCAUUCAUCUACUUACAUCACUUGAUUUUUUGUGAUUAAUAUGCUUAAAUGGAUCUCUUAGAUAUAAAUAAAAUAAACGAAAAGUCUAAGAGAAAAAAAAAUGAGGACCGAAAUUAUUACACCUACAACAAAUUUGCCCAGAGAGCAAUAAAUCAAACUUGCUUAGGAAGUACAAUGAUUAGUUAAUAACUAAAAGAGCCUUCACCUGACAUGUUAAAGCUUCUGUCAAGCAAAACACCCAUUGAAAGCUGUUUAGGUCCGUCUUAGAUCAUCGGAAAUUUGACAAAAUCAUAAAAACCCUCAUCUUAUGAUAAUCUUUUCCAGAUAGGUGACUUACUAGAUCUCCUGCCAAGAGAAUAUCUAUGGUUUUGAACCUCCAUUGAAAUUUCUUUUUCCCUUUUUCUUGUUUUGACUUGGAACAAUUUAUUUGAUCUUUUUUAAAGGUAAAAUAACAAUUUAUAGGUUGCCAACAUCGUAUUCUGCCAAAUCCCACCCCAAAACAAAAAAAAAAAAUCAAUGGGUUGACAACAAAUAGCGCCUACUCAACUUAUGUUCUCCAACGGACGACAAUAUGCAAAUCGACCUAGUAGCCACAUUUUUCCCCCUUUCAACCACCGUUAGGCACCUUUUCUAACCUUCCUUCAUUGCCCACACCUGCAGAACUAUAAUAAAAAGACUACAUUAUUAUUGAGGUAGAGAAAAUAUACAGACUGUAUUAUUAUUACAUCCCAUUUUACUAAUUAACUAGUGCAAGACUUCUUUAGUGUCAAAUCAAGAACUGAUUAGAAAAGACAACUCAUGAUAAUACAGACCUUAAUAAGCAAUAGCUAACAACAUCCCAUAUACUCCUAUUUUAGCCUUCACUAUCCUGGUAAAAACACAAUUAAGUCUUGCAAAAGAACAUUCAUAAGUAAAUUCAACAUUAAUUAAGAUUAGGUAUCUACUGCACCUAAUAGCAUGGUCAACCAUCUAGUUCCUGUAGCCUUCCAUGUACCUAUGUUAGUUACAUUUUACAUAUUAAGCCACGAAAACGAAGAAUCACAGCCUGGUAAAGAAAGCCAUUAAUUAAUAGUUUUUGUUUAAAAAGUUCUCCCUUAGAUCUUUCCUACUCAAUGAAUCAAUGUAAUCUAAAGAGAACUCUUCCAUUUCAAACAGUGUUAGAAGAUAUUUGCAAAGCCUAAAGAUAACAUACAAGGACCAAGAUAUACACGGAUGGUUUCUUUAUGAGACUAAAGAGCUUUUUUAGAUGUUAAAACUGUUUCAAACUGUUUUUCUGGUUUGGUUUAACUAAGGAAGAGCUUGUGGAAGAUUAAAAAUGAUGUUUCCUGUUCUCUGUAGGAAGCUUUUAGGAGAUUUUUUGGGCUUUUUUGAAAGGUUGAAUUGUCAAAAAUACCUUGAUGUUAUUGUUUGCUAAAAGAUGUUAUGGACAACUAAACAACCAACAACAUUUUGCACAAUUUUCAACUUUCAAGGAAGAUAGCUAUGAGGGGAAUCCUUUUCUUUGUGGAUGGCCACUGUCCAAAAGUUGCGAUGAUAAUGGAUUAACAACAGUGACAACAGAAGCUGACACUGAAAAUGAAGAAGUUGAUAGUUUAAUUGACAUGGACAGUUUCCUGAUCACUUUUACAGUAUCUUAUGGAAUUGUGAUAUUCGGAAUUAUUGGAGUUUUGUACGUAAACCCCUAUUGGCGGCGAAGUUGGUUUUACCUUGUUGAAGUAUGUAUGACCUCUUGCUACUAUUUUGCAGCAGACAAUCUUGUUCCUAGAAAAUUCUAUGGUGGAUGGAUGUAAUUUCAUUACAUUACAACUUAUAUGUAAUUUUCAAAGAAUUUUCUUUUGCAUGCAUGGAAUAGCAACUCAAUAAAAGUAUUUGAUGCAAAUUGUCCAAGAACAACUUAGUAAUUUCAUUGCUACUAUUCGGUUGUAUGUAUACAGUUAAUGAAAUUUUUAACCAUUCGCAGAAUACCCUUAGGAAUUUCUUUAGAUGGCGGCCAAAAACUAAGAGAUUCGGGGCUCUACACAGUCUGAAUGAAGAUUAACUUAAUGCCCUCAGGAUUAUGUGUAAGUUCUCUUUUAAAUUUAAGGGGUUGAGAUUUCAGGUCCGGAUGAAAGUUGAAUGCAGGUCACGAGACUUCACUGGGACAAACUUAAAAUAAAAAAUUAUAGUCCACAGUAAGAGCAAUGGGUAGCUUAACUUAUGGAAGAUAACUAGAACUUGGAAUAACUUAAAUUAGCUAUAAAAUUAAGACCAUUAUACAACUAAAAAGAAAGAAAAAUUGUUUGCUACUACAUAUCAAAACUGGUAAUAGCAAUGUAAGAUGGCAGACUUCUUACUUAAACAGAUGAGAGGCUACAAAUAAAAAAAUUGUGCAAAUAAAAGAUAUGAUAAAGAGCAUAAUACUUUCUUGGGGGCUAAAAAUAAUAUACAACUUGUGAAAUAUAAAUUGAGCUACCAUUACCUUUUAGAUGUGGCAACUUUCGACUUUUGAGGCACUUUGGAAUAUGCAUUCAGAAUCCUGCAUUUGGAAGCCAAAUAAAUAAUGUUAAUAACAAUUUUACAAUAGAAAAAUUAAAAAUUGAUAAAUGGCAGUUGUAAUUUAUGUAUGUGUAAAGAUAGCAUCACAUCCAGGGUCCUCCCAUAAACAUGCUUGUAACAAGAAUUAGUUUGCCUCAACUGCUAGCAACUGCUAACAAUAUACAAUAGUAAAAAUCACUCUUAUGAACUCAACAAUACUAGGCACCAAUAAGAGUAUGAUACAGCCAUUCUAAAUGGAAGAGAAUAUAACUGUUUUACAACUAUGUUGCAUCAGGAGAUAUGUUAGGAGGAUUAAUCCAGAUACCUUCCAACCCAAUUAGGAAAACUCAAGUCAGAAACCAGGAGCUGCAACCGAACCUUACAAUCUUGAAGGAAGAAGGAGACUUGGGGCAUUUUUCCAGAUAGGUGACUUACUAGAUCUCCUGCCAAGAGAAUAUCUAUUGCUUUGAACCUCCAUUGAAUUUUCUUUUCCCUUUUUCUUGUUUUGACUUGGAACUUUCCAGCAUCAUCUAUUUGAGCUUUUUUAAAGCUAAAAAAGCAAUCUAUGGGUUGUCAACAUCUUAUCACCCCCCCCCCCCGCGGGCCCCCCAAAAAAAAAUCAAUGAGUUGUCAAUAAAUAGCGCCUACUCAAAUGUUUUCCAAUGGAUGACAAUGUGCAAAUCGACCUAGCAGCCACAUUUUUCCCCCCUUUCAACCACCAUUAGGCAACUUUUCUAACCUUUCUUCAUUGCCCACAUCUAGAGAACUAUCAUAUAAAGACUACAUUAUUAUUGGGAUAGAGAAAAAUAUACAGACUAUAUUAUUAUAACUCAUUUUAUUAAUUAACUAGUGCAAGACUUAUUUAGUGUCAAAUCAAGAACUAAUUAGAAAAGACAACUCCUGAUAAUACAGACCUUAAAAAGCAAUAGCUAGCAACACCCCAUAUACUCCUAUUUUAGCCUUCAAUAUCCUGGUAAAAACACAAUUAAGUCUUGCAAAAGAACAUUCACAAGUAAAUUCAACAUUAAUUAAGAUUAAGUAUCUACUGCACCUUCAAUCAAUGACUGGGUGAAUAGCAUGGUCAACCAUCUAGUUCGUGUAGCCCUCCUUGUACCUAUGUUAGUUACAUUUUACAUAUUAAGCCAUGAAAAUGAAGGAUCACAGCCUGGUAAAGAAAGCCAUUAAUUAAUAGUGUUUGUUUAAAAAGUUCUCGUUUAGAUCUUUCCUAUUCAAUGAAUCAAUGUAAUCUAAGGAGAACUCUUCCAUUUCAAGCGGUGUUAGAAGAUAAUUGGAAAGCCUAAAGAUAAUAUACAAGGACCAAGAUAUCGAUUAGGUCAAAUAGUGAAUGUCAAAUAUAAAAAAUAAAUAAAAGAAGUUGUACAUGAUCAUUUACUAUCAAGUUAUGUAAAAUUGAAAAUACCAUUAUUCCUGUAGAGAUUCUCAAACAACUCUUUGGCAAAUUAUAAAAUAGUUAAAAAAAGAACGAAAGUUUAAAAAAAAAAAGAAAAUGUACAACAUCCAUAUCAGGAGAUGUUUUUCUUCUCAAUCUCAAUAUUUUCUAGCCGUGAAGCAAUUGAAAAGCUUAACACUAAGUGAAUUAUUAAGAAUUCAUCAUUUAAAUUCCCAAAUCGCAAAAUGUUGGUGCAACUAGGAAAGUGCAAAUGCAAUCACUUAACUAACACAAGAAACACCAAUAGUGAGAGCCCACUUUGUAUCAAAUUUGAAACAGAUAGAGGUCAAAAAAAUUAUAGACACUCAAUUAAAAGCCUUUCAAACAGCUUUUGCAUGCAAUAAGAACAAAUCAAAGGCGAUGUGAAUGUAUUCAAAGACUAAUUUACAAUCAUCUACAGGACAUAAAUAUCUUGGAUACCUACUCUCUAUACCUUCCUGUCCAACUGAAAAUCACCAAAUCCCUCCAAACAAAAAUGACAAAAUGGAUAAGAAUUGUGUGGUCAAACUUCAAUAACUUAGCAGCCACAGCAAAAACUUAUGUAGACAUGCAAGCCACUCAAAAUAGUCAUAUUUUUUGCUUUCCAAACACAAGCCACUGUGUAAUGAAUGCUCAUAAAUUGCUACUACCAUGUUUGUUAAAACACGUGAAAACCACCAUAACUAACUCAAUGUAACUGAUGAUCAUCAUCACAUUCAUGGAAUCACAUAUCUGACAGUAUUAAUUAGUGCAAAUUGCAUGCUUCUUGAAACUCCUUGUUUAUCACAUGGGCGCCAUUCCAAUCAACCAAUGAUUCUGAUCUAGUCGGCAUAUUCAACCCACGAGCGAGUAAUACCUCUUAUUGCUUCUUUACAUUUCUCAACGAAAUUCCACAUUCAAACCAUACUUCUGAACUUGUUGCUCCCAUAGACUAAUACAAUAUAAAUAUUUCUUCCCACACCACCUCAAUCCCCACUCCUGAAAAACCAAUUUAAAUUCUCAUUGGCUGUACAACCUAUAGUCCAUACCAAAUUGAAAAAUUUACAAAUAUAGAACCUCAAAGAAUCUUCUUGCGUUCCAUUUUUUACGGCAAGAAAUUUGACUUUUACCACAUGCAAGUCAACAAAUAAAAAAAUCAUGUCUUUGUGAGAUGCACAUUUUCAGACGAAUUUGAAGAGCAAUGAAACUGUAAAAACCGAAUAUGAGAACACCGAGGACUGCAGAUAUCACCUAUAGAAUCUUCGGUCCACACUUGCAUGAUGAAAAUGAUGAAAAAAAAUUGAAGGCUUCGUCACCAGCUCCCCAGGUUGUUUUGUUCUCCUAUCUCCUAAACAUAAAGGAAAUGCAACCUGUUCUUUUUUCCAAUCUUAAGGGGCACAGAACGACCCUGGUAUAAAAUAGUCAGUUUCUAUACAAAAAUAACUCCUUUGCACUUGGCAUUCCACAUCUCAAAAUAAAAAGCAUGCAAGGAGGAGAACAUAAUAGCAUUAAACAAGUUUUAUUAACCAAACUUCAAAGAUGCCACACAAGGCAAAAAAGGAAUCUGUACAAGCCAGAUCCCAAGAAUAAUAAUUCCAAUAUACAAUUCACAAAAACAAUAACUAAAACCAUGUUCAUGAGGCCUCAGCAGAAGCAACAUGUAAUAACCAUACUCUAUUAUUUGAAACACAUUUCCAAGUUUGGUUAAGAUUCUAAACCAUUCUCUAUGUGUCAAUUAUUAACAUGUAAAACAUAAUAAUAUACACUUAAACUACUACAGUAGUAAAACCAGUAAAACAACAAUACCUGCUAAAAAGAUUUGCUACCUCUUCACAUUCACGAGCAUUGCAGAACCAAAUCCCAUUUACUUCUUGGGAUGCAUUCCGAUAUAAAAAAUACGGAACCUGAACUUCAAACUCAAAAUCUCCCAAAAGAUUUUCCACUAAAUUAUCUGCACAUAUCCAAGAAAUUGAAGCUUAUCAGUGCAAAAACAUAUGCAAAAAGACAUGAAGGUUAGGAGAUACAACUAAAACUUAGCAACAACUGAUAAGCACAACAAGAAAUGAAAUAUAACACGAGUUGUAAACAAGAUAGACACAUGGUAUCUAAAUAAUUGUACCAACCCCCUCUCCUGAUUGUCAUAAAAAGGCCAAUAUUUAACCCUAGACAACAAAAUUGCAAAUACUCUAGCCUCUAUAUUAUUGGCAUAUAAAUAUUUUCGGUUAGGUACAUUAUAUUCUUCCUUCUAAAACCUCAAUUAUUAGCUAGUACUGUGAUAAAAUGAUUCAAAACUGAAAUAGAAACAACGACAAACCAACCUGUAUUACGUCGAUUCAUUACAACAAACUGAAAUCGAGGCUGUGUGUUCCUGAAAAUUGAAAAAAUAAUAAUUUCACCAACUUCAUAUGUAAUACAAUCUCCAAAACACUGAAUAUCAAAUGAAAAAAAUGGAAAGCAUAAGAGAGAAAAGAAUCUAAUUUUAUUGACCUUUUGACGACGAAGAGAGAGCCUUCAACAUCCUUACGACUCCAUUGGCUGAGAUCGAUGUUGAACUCGUAGAAGGUGACAUGAGCGGCCGUGAUGAGGAUCUCCUCAAUGAAUGGAUCGAUUCGCUGAAGAACUGUCAGGUUUAGGAGUUUUGUGCUCUGCUGGUCCAGAUUAGGCAUCAAUUUUCCGUUCUGCGACAUUUUUCAUAGUCCUUUUGGGCUCUGCCCCGAGCACAAGCCCCAUGGUUUUUCUGUGAGCUCUCUCUUUUGUAAAUAAAGUGUUUCAUGAGAUAGUCGAGAGAGAGUGAAAGAGUUGAACAGCUAAACAAGGUGAGGUGAACACUUUCGGACUGAGACUCGAGAUUGAUCUUUGCUUUAACGUCUUUCAAACAUUUGGGAAAUAGCAUUUAUUUCUUUCACAGGGAUUUGUCUGUGGUAUACCCCAAAAAAAGGGUAUUUAUCUAAAAAUACCUCCAUACUCAAAAAUUUCUCGUAUAUGCCUUUUCUAAUAUGCAGUUACGAAAUUACCCUAAUGAAAAACCUAAAUCAACUAAACUACCACAAUCAAUCGUGUAACAAAAUCCCUAAUUUUUUCUCAUGAGCAGCUUCUUCUUCAGCCCGUUCUUCUGGGUUUCUCCUCCUCCAUUUUACAAAUCCCUAUUAUUUUACAACAAUUCUUCUACACACUCUCGCCUCUCUGCAAAUCAGUAGCUGCAAUUCCCCCACUCUGCUUCAGCAUCUCCUCUUCCAGGUACUUUUAGAAAGUCAAAUUUUUUGUUUUAAUGUAAAAUAAAAUUUGAAAGUUUCAAAGCUCAAGUUAUUGAUUUUUCUGAAAAAAAUCAUUUGCAGCUGGUAUUGAAAUGUGUGCAAAGUCUUGUGCCAAAAGCUUAAUUUUCAUUUCUCGCAAAAGUCAGAUGACAAGACUUCACUUGAUUAGGCUUAUGCUUGUCUUUUACCUUGCAUUAAUUUUCAUCUCUUGUAAAAGUCAGAUAAUAAGGCUUCACUCGAUUAGACUAAUAAUUGAUUUAACAUAUUCAUUUUCUGAUUAAUUGUCAUCCAAUUUGCACGCACAUCGGAUAGAAUUCAUCCAAAAAAAUGGCUCGUAAGGUACGGGAGUCCAAAUACUUAUAAACCUACACACCAAGCCUUAGCUUAGCAAUAUGACACUCAAUUAUAGUUCAUAACCGAUAUGCAUGGUGGCCAUAUAUGGGGCUGAGUGACUUCACAGAUUUCAUACAAGGUGAAUAGCAGGUCUUCUUCUCAACUUACUUCGUCUGUGAAGAGAGAUUUCAUCAAAAAAUUGGUAAAACUCAUUCAAAAGACCGACUUAUGAUGUUAGAAAGACCAAAUACCCUAUAAAAUGCUUAAUAAAGUGGUCGCACAAUUAUUCUUGUGUACACAGUACCAAUGCAAUAGAAAAUAGGGUAAACAUUAAUGUCUCUAGCUACUCAGUCCAAUAGACAGUAUAAUCUAAAGAUGUCGUGUUGUUGUAUUGUUACACUGGUGAGACAAUUGCUGCAUGUUGCAGACAUGAUACCUCUAGUACUUCAAAAGAUAGCAUAUCACGAAACACAUCCAGACUGUAGUGAGGUUAUUUCGAAAAUUCCUUGGCCCAUUGUGUGAGUGCGUGACAUCCCGCAACAAAAAUCAGGGUAUGUACUAUAUAUAUAAUGUGUUUUGAACAUAAUAAUAAAAAUGAUGAUUUUUAACAAUUGAUUUAUAUGAAUAUUUUUAGUGGUGACUGUGGAGCAUUUUUGUUGCGGUACUUGGAGGUCCUAGCCCAUGGACUUGAUGUCAAUUCAUACUGCCAACAAGAUCAUGUUACACAAUUUCGACAAGCCUUGGCUGUAAAAUUAUUUGGGCAUAGGUCAUGGAAAAAAACUCCGUAGUGUCAUUUUUUGGAUUAUGAGAUGUAAUAGUUGUAAUGAGGAUGUUGUUGAUAUUUGAUGUCAUUAAAGACAAUUGACAGCAUUAAUAUAUUUUAUUUCUUUGUUAUUUAUAUUAAUGAUAGAUAAGAUAGUUUGCACAAUAUAUGCACAGGGAAUACACUGUAAGAGAAUACACGACUGCAGUCGGGUAUUUGCACAGAUACACGACUGCGGUCGGGUAUUUGGAAAUAAACAUAAUACGCUCUGUGUAAAAUACUCGACUGCAGUCGGGUAUUUGGAAAUAAACAUAAUACGCUCUGUGUAAAAUACUCGACUGCAGUCGGGUAUUUGCACAGAUACACGACUGCGGUCGGGUAUUUGGAAAUAAACAUAAUACGCUCUGUGUAAAAUACUCGACUGCAGUCGGGUAUUUGCACAGAUACACGACUGCGGUCGGGUAUUUGAAAAUAAACAUAAUAAGCUGUAACAAAAUACUCGACUGCGGUCGGGUAUUUGCAAAUAAACAUAAUAAGCUCUGUGACAAAAUACUCGACUGCAGUUGUGUAUUUGCACAAAUACACGACUGUAGUCGGGUAUUUACAAAUAAAAAUGACAAGCUCUCUGUGAAAAAAUACUCGACUGCAGUCGAGUAUUUGCACAGAUACGCGACUAUAGUUGAGUAUUUAGAAAUAAAUAUGACAAGCUCUCUGUGACAGUCGGGUAUUUACACAGAUACACGACUGUAGUCGAGUAUUUAGAAAUAAACAUGACCAGUUUUGUAACAGUCAAAAUACACUAUUGUACUGGGGUAUGUGCACAGAAUAAAAACUCUUUUCAAUCAUUCAUUAUAUUGAUGACACAAUCAAUAUAGAUUUUAAACAUAUCAAACUUCAAAUAAAUGAAACUAACUAUAGUCUGGUUGCCUAUCAAAUAACACAAAUCCAAUAGUUAUUGAAAUCGUAAAUAAGUCGUAAUACAAUAGAAGUUGUUUAACAUUCAUCAUAAAUUUUUGGCAUAUUCAACCCAAACACUCGGUCCAUAUUUUAUAAGCCUCUGGUCGCCUCCCUUCAAUACUUGUUCUUAGAAAGUCACACAAACAUGUUUAUUCAUCUGCGAAACAAAAAGGUAGAAAUUUAUCACUAAAUAUGAAAGAUAUUAAAAAAAUUAAAACAACAAAAAAUAACAAGUAUAUAAGGUUCAUAGUAGUCGUGUAACUUAUUAACAAUUAUAGUAUGUAAGUUUAUACGUACACGCUAGUAGUCGUGUAACUUAUUAACACACAUGACUAUAGUCUAGUAAUAGUAAAAGGAUAUAUAUAGUGAAAAAUAUAUAUUUUUUGAACCAAUAGAAUAAUAAGGUGUCAUAAUAAUUGAAUUUUUUUGCACAUUUUCACGACUACAGUCGUGUAAAUACAUACAUACACGACUGAUGUCGUGUAUGUCGGGUGCAGAAAAAAAAUUUGACAACAACUUCAGAUUUUAACGAAUGUAGUUAUAAAAUCCAUCAAAUAACAGUCAUAUGAUGCAAAUGUAAUAAAAAUAUGAGUUGCUUUAGUGUUUAUCACAAACCAAACAAAACCCUAAAAAUAAUAUAAUGUCAACAAAUUGAAUAGAUAGCCCAAAAUAAAAUAAAAAAAGUUUCAAAUACCUUAUUCAUGGGAUGAAUAAUACACCCAGCUGCAAACAAACUCAGUGCAUUAGCUGUUUGUGAGUGAUUUUGAGUGUGGUGUGAGUUUUUGUAUAGGUGAUAAAUACGUGAGAAGCAAAGAGUGUUGUGAGUUGUGUGUGUGUUUUAUAUUUUUCUUUAGGGAUAUUUUAGACAAUGUACCACAUAAAAAGGCAUACUUAAAUAAUUUUCAAACAUGAGGUAUAUUUAACUAAAUACACUACUUUUAAGGCAUAUUUAAUUAAAAACCCCUUUCUUUCAAUUUCUCUACUUUUUUUUGUUUUCCUUUAUGUCAUUUAGACCCCAAAAUUAGAUUUAUUAUAAUCAUAUUUUACCCAUUCACUAUUAACCCCUUUUAUUUUUAAAAUUGUCAAUAUUAAUGUAUUAGAAUAAUGUUAGAAAUCCCAAUUAUUAUCUCAAUGUUUAAAUCAUAACUAAUAUGAUAACUCAUCGGUUACUGCAACAUUAACUUAAUUAUUAAUGUUUAUCAUGAAAUGAUGAGAUUAUUAGUCAAGAAAGAAUUAGAAAAUAUCAAUGACUAAUACAAUGUGGCAAUUACAGUUGAAUAUUAAUACAAUAAUUAGGAUCCCAAAAGCUAGUGAAUGUAUUAUAAUAUAUGUGUGUUACACCACUUUAUGUCUCUCAAAUUCAAAUAAGUAAUUUCAUAAACCUGAUCUUUUAUUACAUUAAUUAGGAAUGCAUACAUGAACGAAAGAUGUGCAAUUUUUGUUCUAUUUUUCACUAUUAUUUACCAUUCAUCUGCUUACGUCACUUGAUUUUUUGCGAUUAAUAUGCUUAAAUGGAUCUCUUAGAUAUAAAUAAAAUAAACGAAAAGUCUUAAGAGAAAAAAAAAUGAGGACCGAAAUUAUUACACCUACGACAAAUUUGCCCGGAGAGCAAUAAACCAAACUUGCUUAGGAAAUACAAUGAUUAGUUAACAACUAAAAGAGCCUUCACCUUACAACUUAAAGCUUCUGUCAAGCAAACACCCAUUGAAAGCUGUUUAGGUCCGUUUUUAGAUCAUCGGAAAUUUGACAAAAUCAUAAAAACCCUCAUCUUAGAAAUUCCAAGCAUCAGGCAGUAGAUCAGGCAGUAGUCCGACUUUAUUGAUAUUGAGAGUAACACAAUAAAAGUUUCGUACAGAUUUUGCAAACGAAAAGCACAUAAUACACUUAACUAGGAGGAAAAAUUAAAGUGUACAUAUUACAAUCUGCUAACAAUAUACAAUAGUAUAUUGUAUAUACAAUAGUAUAUAUACAAAUUAACUAGGCACCAAUAAGAGUAUGAUACAACCAUUCUAAAUGAAAGAGAAUACAAUUGUUUUACAACUAUGUCACAUCAGGAGAUAUGUUAGCAGGAUUAAUCCAGAUACCUUCGAACCCAAUUAACGAACUCGAGUCAGAAACCAGGGGCCCCUAACUGAACCUUACAAUCUUGAAGGAAGAAGGAGACUUGUGGUCCAGAUAGGAGACUUACUAGAUCUCCUGCAAAAGAGAAUAUCUAUUGCUUUGAACCUCCAUUGAAAUUUCUUUUUCCCUUUUUCUUGUUUUGACUUGGAACUUUCCAGCAUCAUCUAUUUGAUCUUUUUUGAAGGUAAAAUAGCAAUCUAUAGGUUGCCAACAUGUUAUUCUGCCAAACCCCACCCCACCCCCCCGGGGGACAACAAAUCGACCUAGCACACACCUUUCUUCAUUGCCCACACCUACAGAACUAUAAUAAAAAGACUACGUUACUAUUGGGGUAGAGAAAAUAUACAGACUGUAUUAUUAUUACAUCGCAUUUUACUAAUUAACUAGUGCAAGACUUCUUUAGUGUCAAAUCAAGAACUAAUUAGAAAAGACAACUCAUGAUAAUACAGACCUUAAUAAGCAAUUGCUAACAACAUCCCAUAUACUCCUAUUUUAGCCUUCAUUAUCCUGGUAAAAACACAAAUAAGUCUUGCAAACGAACAUUAUAAGUAAAUUCAACAUUAAUUAAGAUUAGGUAUCUACUGCACCUAAUAGCAUGGUCAACCAUCUAGUUCCUGUAGCCUUCCAUGUACCUAUGUUAGUUACAUUUUACAUAUUAAGCCACGAAAACGAAGAAUCACAGCCUGGUAAAGAAAGACAUUAAUUAAUAGUUUUUGUUUAAAAAGUUCUCGUUUAGAUCUUUCCUAGUCAAUGAAUCAAUGUAAUUUAAAGAGAACUCUUCUAUUUCAAACAGUGUUAGAAGAUAUUUGCAAAGCCUAAAGAUAAUAUACAAGGACCAAGAUAUACACAGAUUGUUUCUUUAUGGGACUAAAGAGCUUUUUUAGAUGUUAAAACUGUUUCAAACUGUUUUUCUGGUUUGGUUUAACUAAGGAAGAGCUUGUGGAAGAUUAAAAAUGAUGUUUCCUGUUCUCUGUAGGAAGCUUUUAGGAGAUUUUUUGGGCUUUUUUGAAAGGUUGAAUUGUCAAAAAUACCUUCAUGUUAUUGUUUGCUAAAAGAUGUUAUGGACAACUAAACAACCAACAAUAUUUUGUUAAAAGCUCUACUAGUGUAGGAUCUACUUAAAGAAGCUAUACCAAACAGACUCUUAGACUGAAUAACUCGAUCUUAAGUUUGUAAAAUUGGGCUCAGAAUCUCCACUAACAACCCCGCUUCGGUGAGAAAGCCCAAGCCUGUUACUUUGUAUAACCUUAUUCUGUAUGUUUGAUUGCAGGAACUGGCCAAUCAUACCGACGAGGUGAGUGUGCAGCAUGACGUGCUUGACGGGAUGGUUACUUUCUAUGAUACAACUAAAGCUAGCCUCAACAUAUAUCAGGUGCCUGCUUGUUUUUACCUUAUAGAUACUAAUAUUGUUUAGACGUGUAAUCUCUCUCUCCAUUGAACGCUAGACGGCUCGUCUCAAGCCUUCUACGUACUUCAGAGUCCUUCAUUAGCUUUUUAUGUAUAAAGUUUUGAUCUUUUUCCUUCAUUUGCUUGAAGCUCAUUACUGCAGAUUUGUUUUACAGGUUGGUAGUGUAACAUUCGACUUGCUGUUGCUUCUAGUGUUGGGAUCGUAUUUAAUUGUGCUUUUCAGCUUUCUUGUCAUAACAACUUGGGUAUUACUCUUUCUCCAUAUCAAGCUUGAAGUUCUAAAUUUCAGUUUUAUCUUGUAUUUGAUUUUUUAUAAUUUCAUUGCAAACAGAUUAGAAUAGAAACUUCAAAAGUUCCAAGGUUUCCAACAGGGUCUUGAUGAUCUAAUCAGUUUGUUUCGAAGACCCCAUCCCGUAAGGUAAAAAAAGCUUGAUGCGGAAGCACGAUGCUGCACCUGUCCUGUGUAACUUUUUCAGGGAAGAUUUUCUCUGAUAACCGAGGUGGAAGUCUCCCAGGAGAAGUUGGCAAAUGAUAACUACGAAUGUGUUAUGGUUUAGCUCAGUGACACAAAGGACAUUUUUCAACAAUUGAUCCUAGGAAGAUGCCUAUAGCUUGUUGUGCCAAACAUAGAAAAUCAAAGAUGCGAAAAAAUUUUGUUGAGAUUCAUUUUAGUUAAAAUUGUUUUAUUGAGUGUUUAGCAAACGAGAAAAUGGAAGAAAGUUGAGAGAAUAAAACUGAAGCUAAGAGGAUUCUAGAACAUCUUUCAAUUUGUUCCGAAUACUCAAAAUGUGAAUACAUUGUUGUUUAUGUACACAGCUGAAGAUAACAGCUCAAUUGUAUAACUAACUACUACUUAGCAAUUUACUAACUGUAACUAAUCAAACUAAAUCUUCACGUGCACUGGUAAUCACAUAACCACUAGGUGCCAGCUGGACAGCCAAGUCAUCAACCUUUAACCGUGUGCCAUAGCUGCUGCAAUCCUCUGCUUUAUCUUCUGUUUUGCAUACUGUACAGCAAGCAUGAUGAGCUUCCUUAACAAUUUUUUUUGGGGCAGAGAAUAAUGCUUAUGUGAUUUCUGAACUUGGGGAUUAUGGCGGAUAGAGGCACUAAGGCAAGAGAAAUGUCUGAAUUAUCGAAACAAGAUGAAUUAUUUUUUGUUUAUCGCAGCAGACGAUCUAUGAGCGGAAUUUCUUACAACAAAAGAUGUGUGUCCACCGGCUUGUAUUUAGUCUCGUAAUGCAUUAUAUAUAUGCACGCACACACAGUUUGAGAAGAAUCAGACCAUUGAUUUUCUUUUGAGCCAAUCAACAGAAUGUACAUUUCUUCUAAGAUCUUGUAACCGAAACCGCAGUUUUUCAAGUUUGAUGCAUCUGGGAAAAUUGUCAGAUGGAAUAAAACCACCAUGCGCCAAGGUACCAAUGAUGUUUCUUCCAGCUUAUGAGCACUUCAAAUCAACUUAGGUCAUAUUUACACAAGGGCGCACAUGAUAUCAAUCUAAUGGCAAUUAUAUCAUCUAAAAUCCAAAACCAAGAGUCUCCCAUUUUCCCGUUCUCUACUCUGUUCAUAUUAUCAUAACUUCGAAGAUUGCAAGGCAGCCGCAGAUCCAGCGCAAUCUCUCAGAUCUUUGCUCCUUCCUCAUUGCAGUUAGUCAAAAGAUAAACAGAGGUGUCCCAUGUCAACAAGAAGGUAAUCAUAAAAGAACAACAGAAUUGUAAAACAUAUUUUGUUAUAGAUGAAAUGAUAUGAGCAUCCAUGUAUCUAUCCAGCAUUUAGGACACCGCAAUAUAUUCAUAUGAAACGUAAAACGAUUUAAUAUCAAUUUUCUUAAGGAGACUGAGCAGGUUGUCUCGCAAGUGGCGCAUUAGUAUUGUAACGUCUGUGGGGUCUUACAUUAUCCACAAAAAUAACUCGUCCAUCUAGUAAAUUAGAGAAAAAUGAUGCAAUUUCACCUUCCCACUCAUGUCUGCCAAGGCUUUUUGGGCUUCCUCUUCUGUACGGAAAGUCACAUACCCGUAACCUUUUGAUCUGUUCUUACCUUUAUCCAUUAUUAUGGUAGCUGCAAAAAGAAAAGAAUCGGAUAUUAGAAAACAGUGAAGAGGGAACAGGGGUUGAGACUUAAAAUAGAAAUAGACCAAACCCUCAGUGACUUGGCCAAAUUGUGAAAAAGCAUCAGCUAACAUUCCUUUAGUGGUUGAGAAAGAUACGCCUGCAAAGGAUGCCAGUUAAUUUUAUCAUAAUUAGAUGGUAAGAUUGCAAAUUCUGCAGCCAAAGGCAGUACGCAACUGAAUGAAGGAAAUCAAAUAUGAACAUGUUUUCAAUCUCAAAAUAUGAAGAGUAGCAGAAGUAACUUGUGAAACAGUUAUAAGUUCAAGGGAAUUAGAUGAUGGCAUGGUUGAAUUUUAUAAAUAUUUGAUAUUUUGGACCGAACAGGGCAAACAGAUGGAUCCAGAUAAUUAAGAAAAACAUCAAUUCCAUGCAACCAAAUUAGUGUGGACAAUGCAAUUGCCUUUCCCUAUGAGAGUAGAGGGCCUAAAUACAAGCAAAAACCUACUGAUGCAUCUACAGAAGCUCACAUUCACUAGCUGCAUGAUUAAAUCACUGGAUGGUCUCACUAUGCAGUAAAGAAUGAAAUAAUUAACGACCUGAUAAGCUGCAAGGUGAAGAAAAUAUUCACCAGAAAAGUUCAAAAUCAAAUCAACGUGGCUUUGAUUAUGGAAAAAAUGAAACAAUAUGUAGUGAAUGAAUCUUCUCGUAACUAUGCAAGACACAAUCACUUCCCAGGAUCUCAGAUAUAGAUUUACCAAGUUGCACAGAUUGAAGAACGAAUCCAGAAAGAAUCAAUUUAAGACAAGAAUUAAGAGAACUGAAAACAAUAGAAACAAACACAGACAACACAAGAAUCAAUUACGUGGUUCGGUUGCACCAAGGAGGCACAACCUACAUCCACGGGAGAUGCUUUCUGGAGAGCUUUUAUUGAAUAACAAUGGAGGAUCUUUUACGGGGCUUUUACUUAAGAUUACAGAGAACUCAUCUUUCACAUUCUCUGAUAUCUCUCUCUCUCUUAACACGGUUACACACCCGCUCAGCUCACAAACUGAACUACAAGAGCAACGAAUCAGCUAAAUCCAGAUUGCACAGCUUGUUGACACGUUGAGUAACAAACUUAACGAACUGAAUCAAGUUGCCUCGCACGGCUAUCACGUGCAUCACUUAAAGCUUUCCCUUAAACGACAAAGAUGAACUGCCGUUUCAAGCUUAAGAAACAAGUGAUUACACACGUGCUUCAGCCCGUGACUUUUAAGUGCUCUUAUCUUAUAUUGCCAAAACGCUGCCGUUUAGAGCUGAUGAGUUUGAUUCACCAGCAAGCCUCACACAAUAUCAGUUGAGCAACACUAUAAAAUUAUUCAAAGAAAUCUCUAGGUCAGUAUCCAAAUAUGUGGCUCCGUCAGAAGCAGAAAAGUUCAAAACCAAAGUAAGAGGUGAGCAGAAGCGGCCCAGUUUAGUUAUAUGCCAUGCAUGCGAUCAAAAUUGAAUGGUUAAAUUCAGUUGUUUCCAAUAAUUUUAUGUUGUAUCUUUUUUAAGAAUAAAGAAAACUUGCAUUAAAACUAAAAGUAGGGUAAUACCUGAUUUUCUAAAUAGAUUGCAAUGUAAUUUUGAAAAAUAAAACAAUAAUUUACGAAAUGGUUAUAACAUUAUUUUAAUUUUUUUUUCAAAAAGGAAAAACAACAAAAAUAAGAAAUAAAGAAUGAGGGCUACAAACUUUUUAUCUUAAACGGCCGUUAGAUUAUUUGUAAAUGAAAGCAACGGUCAGAUAUUGGUGGCUUAUGGAAACAGGUAAUCAUAAGGACUACGAGUUUUUUUUUUUUUUUUUUGUUCCAUUGAUAUAUAACAAUCGGGAUUCUAUUAAUAUUUACAAUUAGAAUUUUAUCUAACUAUCUUUGAUAAUUCUAAACUAGUACAACCCAAAUUCCUAUUCUCAUAUAAUAUGAAAGAGAGAUAUAUAUUCUUUUCCUCUAUUAACGAAGAGACAUUUUUACUUCUAUCCAAUUUAACUGGAACGAGAAUUAAAUCCUUUCAAUAGUCAGGACUCAGACCUCAUACACGCUAAUUUGAGAGUGUGAGGUGUGACAAUGGGCCAAGAGACCAUUGACAAGUACAAAAGAGUGAUUGCAAUUAAUUCAAACCGCUACACACGCUAAAUUAAGGGUCCAUUUUUGUUUAUUUCAUUGCAAAGUAGUUUGCACAAUUAAUUCAAACCGCUACACACACUAUUGCAUCUUUUGAAAAAGAAAAAUGGAAUAGUUUGAAUUGCCCAUGACAAGAAUGCUUGUGUUGUGAAAAGAAAUCCAAUGGUUUGUAAAUGGGUUGAAUUUUUCGCUUACUUCAAUGACUUGCUUAUGCCCAAUAUAUUACUUUGCACAGUAGUAUUUGGGAUCCUAACAAUCAACUCUUAAUUUGGUCCCAAUAUAUUACUUUAUGAAUGCUUGUGCUGUUUUUUUAAUAUAAAAUAAUUUAUUUAACUAAUCAUAGAAAUAAGAGAGAAAAGGGGGCAUUUGUUGACUCAAAGUCAAUUACAAAUAUUCCAUGCCUAACUUCCACGCACCCUAAAACGGUUUGAUUUGCUUUCAUGCGUUCAUGAAUUUCCAUGAAAGAGAGUGCCUCCCGUCUCUUUACGGACAGUGACUCCAAUUAUGUUAGCGUGACAAAUACAUAACGUUAUUACAUACAAGAAUAAGUUUUUGGAGCCGAGACUUGAGGGAGGUUCUAUCUAAUUCUAAAGAUUGUAACCAAAUCAUUAUCCCCAAUUUUUUUCAGUUAAAUAAAAUAAAAUUUAUGCUUAAAUAUAAAUAAUACUUUGGACAUUCUUGAUAUUUGUCCUUUUAAGAUAAACAGCAACCCAAUUAUCUAUUUGUUUGUCUUUUUUUUUUAGUAACAGUUUGUUAGCAUAAAUAUUUACCUGUGAAGUCGAGGAGGAGAAAAUAUUAGAAAAAUAAAAAGAAAAAAAAAUUAAGGGAGAUAGAAUCAGAUUUUCUUUUUUGAGCAAAGAACAUACGUAAAAAGAUAUUAAAUCUAUUAAGUCUAAUUGUCUAUAACAGUAAAUUGCAUAACGAAUAAUUUAUCAGCGUAAAAUAAAUUUUAUUAUGUUAUGAGUGUUCUGAUUAUUUUCUAGAGUACGAAUUGUCCCAUCGUAAAACAAACGACGAGAAAUAUAACCUUUGCGGUGGUCUUUUACCGUGUCGUUGUAAAAAGGUUAGUAGUUGAGUACUAUUAGUAAUUUAAUGCACCAAUAUUCUUUCUUUGUCUUAUGAAAUUUUUUCGUUAUCCAAGAGUUUUAAUUGAAAUACUUGGCUUCCAGUUAUUUUGUAAAGCUGUUGAAAACUACCACAGUAAUUUUUAUUUGAGGGCCAAUGUUUAGCGAUUUGGGGUCAAUUCAAAGUCAACUAACGUGUAAAACAUGAUUUCCUUUCAUGAACUUCCAAGAAAGAAAGGAGACCAUUCACCUUCUUCGUGACAACAAAUGAUGUUGAUAUGACAAAUACAAACGCUAUUACAGUAUAAGACCGAGACUUGAUAAAUUGUUAAAUUACAUGUCAUUUUCUUGUUGACUAAAUUGGAAGAAAAAAAUUAAAAUAAAAUAAAAUUGUAAUCAGGGUGAUGUGUGGAAUAUAUUGAAAUAAAUAAAUGGAGAAGAGAAAUUCGUUGAUCAAUAUUCAAGAACUCAUCCAAAGUGACCGUUAAAGUCUGGAGGUUCCGUAUGAUUAGCAUUUAUUUUUAAUUUUUUGGCUUAACAUCAUAUGUAGUCAUUGGUCGUGUGAUCUAGGACAGGUUUAGAAAUCUUUUUUUUUAACUUCCGUAUUCUUAUUAUUUAAUUAGUUAUAGGAUUUUUUAGUAUUUGAGUAGUGAUCGCAUGUCUCCUAAUCUAAAAAUAUGUUUCUACGAGUACAAAUAAAAACUAAGAUUUUAACAACCUUUUAUACUAAACCCUAAAAAUACAUGAAUUUAUCAAAAUAAAUAAAUUUGAAUUGGUAUGCCAUAAUAAAAAUUUUACUUGCCAAAACAAAUUAAAAAAAUGUGACGCUUAAAUCAAAUGUUGACAAAAAUAGACAAAAAUCCAACAAGAAUCUCAAAAAUAAGAAAGAUAUCUUCAAACAAAAAUAAAAGCGCUCAAGAGAAAUUUGGCGACGAUCUGCUAAUCCAUAUUAAAAAUGUCACUUUGACUCACACUCUUUUCCUCGAGAACUUCAGAAUGAUAUAUUAUGAGCCUAAGACAAAUAGCUAUUGCUCAAGUUAUGGCCUUAUGAAUACAUCUUACUCAAUGGCCAUCCUAAAUCAAUAGAGCAACUUGGACGUGUCGAACAUGUUUGCAUUCAAAUUUAGGUAAAAAUCUAUUCUUAUUGAAGGUAUAUAUAGGUGCCUGUGAAGUCUCAUACCGGAUAUAAUGUGAAAGCAAAUCAUGAAUUUAAUCAUUCAGCCAAUUAUUAGUGUGUACGUAUGGUAGGGAUGGCAAAAACCCCGACCGUAGGUAUAGUAUUACCCAGAUUUGGCCUAAUCAUUUUUUUUUAACACCUAGACUUUUUCAAUCAGAGCUUAAAAACCUAUAAUAUUAUAUAUAUUUUUAAUUUAUUUUAUAAUUUUAUAUUUUCAAAUUUUAUUUUAAUAAAAUUAGACUUGAAAAUAUGAAUUUUAAAUAUUUAAAACUUUAAAUAUAGAUAAUAAGUGGACCAAAUGAACAAAAUAAUAGAUAUUUUAUAAUAUUCUUCAUAAAAAUCCAAGUUUUGAGCUGGCCCAUAAGCUUGUGUGGUGAAGUCUGGGAACCCGCGUUGCCCAAGGUUCCGUCAGAAUCCAGGCUGUGCAGAUAUUUAUGACAUCCCAUAUGGACGGAGAGGAAAUAUUUUCAGUUGACUGAAUUAAAUAAAAAUAUAUUACAAUCAUAUUAUAUAUUAACAGAAAAAAUAAAAAGAAAUGAAGAAAAACGUAUGCAAGACUUAGAGAAGUCAAUUAAAAGCUGGGAGUAUCAUCAGUUCAAUUGGUUAUAAAUAGCGUAGAGCCAUCCUCUCGUUGUUGCAGAACUGAAGGAAAGAGAGACAUAAAGAGUGUGUGUAGGUGAUUAUAAUUAAGAAGAUAUAAUGUGUGGUUCAAAAAGAGUGUGGGUGAGUGAGUUGAUUUUCAUAUUAUUAGUAGUAAAAGGGUGGUGGAGUGAAGGAUGUUUGGAGCAAGAGAGGUCUGCUCUCCUCCAACUCAAACAUUUCUUCAAUGGUGAUCAACGUCUUCAAAACUGGGUAGACGCAGGAGAUGAUGAGAAUUAUUCAGAUUGUUGUCAGUGGGAAGGGGUUGAGUGUAAUAACACCACUGGCAGAGUGAUUGAAUUACAUCUAGGAUAUACUCGGAAUUGGGAAUCAGCAGAGUGGUAUAUGAAUGCCUCUCUCUUUACUUCCUUUCAACAAUUAGAGUCUCUUGAUCUAAGUUGGAACAAUAUAGCUGGUUGUGUUGAAAAUGAAGGUCCUUAAUUUACUCUAUUUUAGUUCUUCCUCGUAAUUUCUUACAUUUAUCUGAUCCCUUUGGGCUUUUGUUUAAUUUGUACAUGAUACAAUAACAUUUUUUUUAGUUUUUAUUUUUUAUUUUUUGGCAGGUCUAGAGAGGCUAUCAAGGUUGAACAACUUGAAGUUUCUUUAUUUAGACGAUAACCACUUCAACAACAGCAUCUUUUCAUCUCUAGGUGGUCUUUCAUCACUCAGACGCUUAUCAUUGGUUGAUAAUAGAUUGAAUGGAAGUAUUGAUAUUAAAGGUAAGCAAGCUUCAUCCCUUCUCCCGUGUCCCAUCUUUUGUGGAUCUUAUUUCAUUGACCGGCUGGAAGUAUUGAUAUAAGAUCUGGCUAAACUCUUGCUAGUUUAAGCUUCAAGGAUUUAAAUAUUAUAAAAAUAGGUUUAAGAAAUUAUCAAUAUAUGCAAUUUUCAAUGCUUCUCAUAAUCAGACACAAUUCAAUCUAAUUAUUUUGUAUGUCCUGUCUUCAAAAGUAAAGAAUUGUACACUAAAUGGAAAUCGACAUCGUAGCUUUUUAUUUUUUCUAAUGCUCUUUUUUCGUUAACAAGUUUAUAUCCUAAGAGGGAUUGGAUUAAAAAAAAAAAAAAGUUUUGAUGUUCAAGGUAGGCCAUAAUAACCUGCAUGUUAUUUGUCUGCCUGUAUCUAAAUUUGUGCACUGAAUUUAGUAUUUUGGUUAUUGUGAAGGGAUCAGAUAUUGGCUUCCAUAGACCAACUUGUAUUUAGUUAAUUAAUUAAUUAACUACAUUUAGUAUUUAACAAAUUAAAAUUUAGUGUUUAAUCUAUUUUAAUUUUUUUAAGAAAAAAGAAAAAGAUAUAGCAGUAGGUAAAGCUAAAAUAAAUUUUAAUUCCUUACAAAUUUAAAUUCAUGGUUGUCAGCUAAAUAUACUUGCUUAAAGCCACUUAGUCGAGCCCUUUGAGAGCUGCUUUAAAUUUUUCGGAUUAGCCAUAUUCUUUUCUUAUUAAUAAAAAUCUUUUCGUUGAGAUUUAACAUAAAAAAGGAGAAAAUAAGUUAUUUAAUUAACUCUGUUUUAAGUGUUGGAAUAAAUACAGGACUGGAUUCCUUGAGUAACUUGGAGGAGAUGGACAUGAGCGACAAUGCAAUCGAAAAUCUAGUGGUUCCUAAAGGUAUACAAAAUGUUCAAAUAUUAAUAAUUUGGAGGACAAUUUAAUUGAUUUGAUUAGGGAAUGCCCAAUGACACUUACCCAAAAUAAUUUAAUCCGAAAUUGUAUCUCAAAUAGAUUACAGAGGUUUGAGGAAGUUGAAUACCUUUUAUUUGGAAGCAAGGUGUUGCAAUCAAUAAAGAAAUUCGUUGGUAAAUAUUCAAGGACUCAUCCAAAGUGAUCAUUAAAGUCUAGAGGUUUGCUCUCCUCCAAUUCAAACAUUUCUUCAAUGAUGAUCAACGUCUUCAAAACUGGGUAGACGCGGGAGAUGAUGAGAAUUAUUCAGAUUGUUUUCAGUGGGAAGGGGUUGAGUGCAACAACACCACUGGCAGAGUGAUUAAAUUAUAUCUAGGAUAUGCUCGGAAUUGGGAAUCAGCAGAGUGGCAUAUGAAUGCUUCUCUGUUUACUCCCUUUCAACAAUUAGAGUCUCUUCAUCUAAUUGGGAACAAUAUAGCCGAUUGUGUUGAAAAUGAAGGUCCUUAAUUUACUCUAUUUUAAUUCUUCCUCAUAAUUUCUUACAUUAAUCUGAUCCCUUUUGGCUUUUGUUUAAUUUGUAGGUGAUACAAUAAAAUUAUUUUUUAUUUUUUGUCAGGUCUAGAGAGGUUAUCAAAGUUGAACAACUUGAAGUUUCUUCGUUUAGAAUCUAACUACUUCAACAACAACAUCUUCUCAUCUCUAGGCGGUCUUUCAUCACUCAGAAACUUAUCAUUGGCUAGUAAUAAAUUGAAUGGAAGUAUUGAUAUUAAAGGUAAGCAAGCUUCAUCCCUUCUCCCAUGUCCCAUCUUUGUGGAUCUUAUUUCAUCGACCAGCUGGAAGUAUUGAUACGAGAUCUAGCUAGACUCUUGCUAGUUUAGGCUUCAAGGCUUUGAAUAUUAUAAAAAUAGGAUUAAGAAAUCAUCAAUAUAUGCAAUUUUCAAUGCUUCUCAUAAUCAGACAGAAUUCAAUCUAAUUAUUUUGUAUGUCCUGUCUUCAAAGGUAAAGAAUUGUACACUAAAUGGAAAUCGACAUUGUAGCUUUUUAUUUUUUUCUAAUGCUCUUUCUUCGUUAACGAGUUUAUAUCCUACGAGGGAUUGGAUUAAAAAAAAAAAAAGUUUUGAUGUUCAAGGUAAGCCAAAAUAACAUGCAUCUUAUUUAUCUGCCAAUAUCUAAAUUUGUGCAUUGAAUUUAGUAUUUUGUUUAGUGUGAAGAGAUCAUUUAUUGGCUUCCAAAAACCAACUUGUAUUUACUUAAUUAAUUAAUUAAUUAACACCAUUUAGUAUUUAACAAAUUAAAAUUUCGUGUUUAAUUUGUUUAAUUUUUUAUUUUUUGAAACAAGAAUAAGGUAUAGAAGUAGGUAAAGUUGAAAUAAAUUUUUAUUCCUUACAAAUUUAAAUUCGCCAUUGUCAGCCAAAUAUACCUACUUAAAACCACUCAAUCAGGCCCUUGGCAUCUGUUUUUUAGGUUUUUCUAAUUAGCCGUAUACUUUUUUGCUUAUUAAUAAAAUUCUUUUGCACCAAGAUUUAAAAAUAAAGGAGGAGAAAAUAAGUUAUUUAAUUAACCUUGUUUUAAGUGUUGGCAUAAAUACAGGACUGGAUUCCUUGAGCAACUUGGAGGAGCUGGACAUGAGCUUCAAUGCAAUCGACAAUCUAGUUGUUCCUAAAGGUAUACAAAACGUUCAAAUAUUGAUAAUUUGGAGGGCGGUUUAAGAGAUUUGAUUAGGGAAUGCCCAAUGACUUACCCAAAAUAAUUUAAUCCGAAAUUAUAUCCCAAACAGAUUACAAAGGUUUAAGGAAGUUGAAUACCCUUCAUUUAGGGGGAAGGGAAAAUGCAAUGAUAGAUGGAAGACAGGUGUUGCACUCAAUAGGAUCACUGUCGUCCCUCAAAACACUUUACCUUUUGUAUACCAAUUUUAUGGGAACAGUAGUUAAUCAAGGUAAGUAAAUCUUUUAUCUCGAAAAUAAUUGAAUUAAUAUAUAUAGCUAAAAUUUAUUGUUUCUACUUCUUUCUAAAUAGAAUUGCACAAUUUCACCAACUUGGAAGAAUUGAUAUUGCUCGAGUCUUAUCUCCAUGUAAGCCAGCUUCUACAAAGUAUCGCAUCAUUCACUUCGUUAAAGUAUUUGUCAAUGCAACAUAGUGUACUCAAGGGUGCCCUGCAUGGUCAAGGUAAAUUACGGGUAUAUGAAGCGUUUGUGAUAUUAAUUCGAUGAUAAUUCUUUCUUUUCAAGUUAAGUUUUUCUUGUAAAAUAAUUUUUUUCUUUUUAAUUUUAUAUAUUUUCACUGUCCAAUAGUUCUAUCUUCUCUAAUUUGCUGGAUUCUUGAUUAAGGUUAAUGAAAUUUUAGUUCUGUUAUGUUAAGAAUAUUUCGAUCGCUUAAAAGAGUAAAGAAAAAUAAGUAAAUUAACCCAAAAAAAAAAGAAAAGAAUAGGACCGGAUUAUCCUUAUUCCCUUGCAUUAUGUGAUCAAUAUCAAAAUUAUAACCAUUUCUUGUUUAUUGCUUGUAGAUUUUCGUAAAUUCAAGAAUUUGGAACGUCUGGACAUGGGUGGGGCGCAGGUUGACGUCAACACCAAUUUUCUUCAAAUUGUCGGCGAAUCGAUGCCUUCUCUUAAGUUUUUAUCACUGACAUAUUCAAGUCUUAAUAAAAACACCAUUCUUGAUCAAGGUUAAUUAAUGAUUCUCCGUCUCCCUCUCUCGCAUCAUAACUAAAUUUAAUUGAAAAUAUCUAUAAUGUGAGCUAUUUAUAAACUUAAUGAAAGAUGAUAAGGAGCCAUAAUAAUGACAAAAACAACUGUAAAAUUUUACAGUUAUUUUGUUGCCAUUACGUCAGAUUCUACUGUUCAACUAUCAGUGAUCAAACUUAAUUUUUAAUAUGUACUUUAAAGAUUUUAUGCAAUUAUUUAUCUAUGUGUACUGAAGGAUGAAUUAUAUAUUUUUCAGGACUUUGUCAGUUAGUGCAUCUGUACGAGUUAGACAUCGGCCGUAACGAUUUGAGAGGUAGCUUGCCAUGGUGCUUGGCAAACAUGACAUCCCUUCAAGUGUUAGAUGCCUCUUCUAAUCAACUUACUGGAAACAUCUCCCCAGGCCUUUGUGAGUUGGUGCUUCUGAGAGAGUUAUACAUUGAUAACAAUGAUUUAAGAGGUAGCUUGCCUUUGUGCUUGGCAAAUUUGACUUCCCUUCGAGUAUUAGAUGUCUCUUACAAUCAACUUACUGAAAACAUCUCAUCUUCCCUCAUGCAUCUAAUAUCUAUAGAAAAGCUCAUACUUUCAAAUAAUCACUUCUUCCAAAUCCCUAUUUCACUUGAACCACUUUUCAAUCUCUCAAAACUCAAGACUUUCGAUGGUGAAAUAUGCACAGAAACUGAGUCACAUUAUAAUUCUUUGACCCCAAAAUUCCAACUGACUUCUAUCUCACUGUCUGGUUACAUAGAUGGUGGCACAUUUCCUAAAUUCUUGUACCAUCAGCAUGACUUGAAGAAUGCUGAUCUCUCACACCUUAACUUGAGUGGAAAAUUUCCAAAUUGGUUGGUAGAAAACAAUACGAACUUAGAGACGCUUCUUCUUGCCAACAACUCUCUUUUUGGGUCAUUUCGGAUGCCAAUUCAUUCCCACCAGAAAUUGACAAUAGUGGAUGUCUCCAACAAUUUCUUUCAAGGCCAUAUUCCGGUGGAAAUCGGAACAUAUCUGCCAGGUUUAAUGGAUUUAAACUUAUCUAGAAAUGCUUUCAACAGUAGCAUUCCCUCUUCAUUUGCUGAUAUGAAAAUGUUGAAAAGGUUGGACAUAUCCUACAAUCAGUUGACUGGUGAAAUCCCUGAGCGCAUGGCCACGGGUUGCUUCUCUUUGGAAAUUCUUGCAUUGUCAAACAACAGUUUGCAAGGUCAUAUAUUCUCUAAAAAAUUUAACUUGACAAAUUUAAUGAGGUUGCAGUUGGAUGGUAAUAAUUUCACUGGAGAGAUCCCAGAAAGCUUAUCUAAGUGCCGUUUGUUAGGAGGACUAUAUCUGAGUGAUAAUCAUCUCUUUGGUAAGAUUCCAAGAUGGUUGGGUAAUUUUUCAGCUUUAGAAGAUAUUAUAAUGCCCAAUAACAAUCUUGAAGGACCAAUACCAAUCGAGUUUUGUCAGCUUGAUUCUCUGACGAUUUUAGACCUUUCAAACAAUGCUAUUUUCGGAACCUUACCAUCUUGUUUUAGUCCAUCAUUUAUCGAACAAGUUCAUUUGUCAAAAAACAAGAUAGAAGGACGGCUGGAAAGUAUAAUCCAUGACAGCCCUUAUUUGGUGACAUUAGAUCUUAGUUAUAACCGCUUCCACGGAAGUAUUCCAAAUUGGAUUGACAUACUUUUUCAGUUAAGCUACCUUCUUCUAGGUAAUAAUUAUAUUGAAGGAGAAAUACCAGUUGAAUUAUGCCAGUUGAAGGAAGUGCAGUUGAUUGAUCUUUCUCAUAAUAAUCUAUCUGGUCAUAUUCCUCCUUGCUUGGUUAACACUGCACUCAGUGAGGCAGUAGCUCCAACUUCUAGUUCGUGUGGUCGAGCGUCUGGCUAUGCACGUCCAUGUGAGAAAAAUACAAGUGGACCUCCGAUGGGAAAGGAAGAAACUGUACAGUUCACAACAAAGAAGAUGUCCUACUAUUAUCAAGGAAGAAUUUUGACGAGUAUGUCUGGGAUUGAUCUUUCUUGUAACAAACUGAUAGGUGAAAUUCCUACUCAAAUUGGAUAUCUUACUAGGAUUCAUGCACUAAAUCUAUCUCAUAACAAUUUGACGGGCACAAUCCCGACAACAUUUUCAAACCUGAAGCAAAUUGAAAGCUUGGACCUCUCCUACAACCUAUUGCAUGGGAAAAUCCCUCCUCAACUAGUUGCGCUAAAUACAUUGGCAGUCUUCAGAGUAGCAUACAAUAACUUAUCAGGUAAAAUUCCAGAUAGAAUUGCACAAUUUUCAACUUUUGAGGAAGAUAACUAUGAGGGGAAUCCUUUUCUUUGUGGAUUGCCACUGUCUAAAAGUUGCAAUGAUAGUGGAUUAUCAGCAGUGACACCGGAAGCUUACAUUGAAGAUGAAGAAGGUGAUUGUUUCAUUGACACGAGCAGUUUCCUGAUCACUUUUACAGUAUCUUAUGGAAUUGUUAUAAUAGGAAUUAUUGGAGUUUUGUACAUAAACCCCUAUUGGCGACGAAGAUGGUUUUACCUUGUUGAAGUAUGUAUGAUCUCUUGCUACUAUUUUGUAGUAGAUAAUCUUAUUCCUAGAAGAUUCUAUCGUGGAUGGAUGUAAUUUCCUUACAUUACAACUUAUAUGUAAUUUUUAAAGAAUUUUCUUUUGCAUGCAUGGAAUAGCAACUCAAUAAAAGUAUUUGAUGCAAAUUGUCCAAGAACAACUUAGUAAUUUCAUUGCAACUAUUCGGUUGUAUAUAUACAGUUAAUGAAAUUUUUAACCAUUCGCAGAAUACCCUUAGGAAUUUCUUUAGAUGGCGGCCAAAAAGAGAUUCGGGGCUCUACACGGUCUGGAUGAAGAUUAACUUAAUGCCCUCUGGAUUAUGUGUAAGUUCUCUUUUAAAUUUAAGGGUUGAGAUUUCAGGUCCGGAUGAAAGUUGAAUGCAGGUGACGAGACUUCACUGGGACAAACUUAAAAUAAAAAAUUAUAGUCCACAAUAAGUGUAAUACCCUACCCCUGGUUUUUGACCAUGCUGACCACCCAUAUAUAUAUAUAUAUAUAUAUAUAUAGAGAGAGAGAGAGAAGUAAAGAGAGAAGAGACGAGAGAGAGAGUGAAAGGAGUUGACCCGAGUUUGACCCGAAUCCGACCCGGAACCCGCGACUUUGACCCAGCGAUUUCUCCCAUUUCCGGCCACCGUUCCGGGCAAGCUUGGUACCGAUUCGAAGCUUGAGAGACGAGCUACGUGUCCAUGCCAUCCUUGCCGCCGGAAAACGAUCGGAAAGCCACCGAUCGAAGCUUUGAAGUUCCGCGGAAUCACCGGCUCGAUUCGCCGGUUUCCGGUGAAGCCAUCACUUGGGUUUGGUCCUUACCUUGCCCUCUGCCAUUUCCGACUAACCACUGACGCCGGGGACAUCGUUUUAUCGGUGAUCAGCCGUUAGAGGAUUCACGACUUCGGGAGCUCGAUUCGGAGCCAUCGCCGCGCGUGGGAGGUCACCACCGCCAUCAUUGGACUCAGCGUGGCUUGAACUUUCAGUUCUGAGCUUCCCGUCGCCGUCGGAUGAAUUCCGGUGACCGUUGACCGGCAAGGGUAUUUCGGUGAUUUCACAGUCUAAGGGCAAUUUUGUAAUUUCAGAUUUUGUGGGUAUUUUCGUAAUUGCAUUGAUUGAGGAUAAAGUUGGUAAUUUAUGAUUUUGAGGUUAAUUUGGUAAUUUUGAUAUGGGGGUAUUUUGGUAAUAUUGAAUUCAAGGGUAUUUUGGUAAAUUUUGUAAUUUGAGGGUAAAUAUGUAAUUUGUGGAAUCAAUGGAUAAUUGGUAAUUUUAAGUGAGGGCAGUGAGGUAAUUUGAGAUUACGAUGGUAACUCGGUAAUUUAAGUCGUAAAGGAUAUUUUGGUAAUUUUACGUUCCGAGGGUAAUUUCGUAAUUUCUGACAUUGUGGUUAUUUUUGUGAUCUGAAUUGAGGACUAUUUAGUAAUUGAAGAUUAUGAGGAUAAGUUGGUAAAAUAAUGAUGUUGGGGGCAUUUUGGUAAUUUUGGCAUGUAGGGGUAUUUCGGUAAUUUUGUGCAUGCGGGAAUAGUUUAUUGUUAAUAGAUAUUCGUUUCGAGAUUUAUUAUAUAAAAUUGGUUGUAUUUCAAUUUACGGAAAAUGAUUAUGGCGUUUCCUUGAUUAGGAGGAUUCGCGAACGAGAAUCAACCCGCGGACGUUGUUGGCACCAAAUCUGGAUAUUGUCACUCUGAGUGGAAUAUACGAAACUUAUUUUUAGAGUUAAUUAUGAUAGUAAAGCAUGUUUGCGGAAUAAGUAUUUUAAAUGUUCUGAUUUAAUGAUUUCUUGAAAUGGAUUUAAUGUGAUUUCCUCGAAAUGGAUUUAAUGUGAUUUCCUCGAAAUAGAUUUUAUUCAUGUGUUGAUAUUUUAUUAAAGUGUUUGGUCAAUGAUUUUGCGUAUCCAUUUUGAAUAACGCAUGAUAUUAUUUGAAAAAUAAGAAAAGUGGAUUCAAAUGUGGUAUGAUUUAAAAUAUGGUUAAGAGGAUUGUUUUUGAAAUCAUUAGACAGUACCCUUCCCCUCCAGAUACAGUGAUAUAAAUGAUAUGAGAUGAGAGGCCUUUGGGGUUCGUCUGAACACACAUAGAGGCUUUGGGCCGUGUGUUUGAGCGUUUUUGCCUUUAUAUGCAUGCAGUACAGAUAUUGAGUUACAGUGAUACAGAUAUGGGCUACAGACAUAUAUUGAGUACAGUGAUACGGAUAUGGGAUACAGAUCAGUUAUUGAGAUUCAGAGAUACAGUGAUACAGAUAUGAGAUACAGACAGUUGAGAUACAGAUGAGAUACAGGCCUUUGGGGCCCGUCUGAGUACACACAGAGGCUUUGGGCCGUGUGCUUGGGCGCUAUUGUCCUUUGGGGACUAGAUUAUGCAUGCACAGAUAUGAUGAGAUAUGAAAUAGUAUUUCCCUAUUUAUCCGUGUAGCUCUGGGGUGUGACGUUACCCAGAUAGUACGUCAUUGCCCGUCCGUUGAGGUCCGUAUAUGACGAGAUUAUUUCCCUGGGUACUUGUUUGAUGAUAGUUUUGGUAUUUAGUAUUUGAUAUGAUAAGUAUGGGUAAUUUUUAAAAACCUCCCCUGAGGUUUGAGGCUGUUGCAAGUAGAUGGUGAAAAUCAUUUUAUUUGUAAAAGACCCCCUACCGUCAGUUAAAAUUUUUAUUGACUAACUGUUGACUUUAAAAAGACAAUAUUACCGCCAAUAAUAGUUUACGUCAGUUAAAAUUUCCUUAAAAUCUUAAAAAAAUAAAAUUACAAACUUAAAAAAAUUAUAUUUUUAUAUCAAAUAAUUAAGAUUUGUAAUUUUAUUACAAACUUUAAAAAAUUACAUUUUUAUAUCAAAUAAUUAAGAUUUGUAAUUUUAUUACAAACUUAAAAAAAAUUAUUUUAAGAUUUGUAAUUUUAUUUUUUUAAGAUUUUAAGGAAAUAUCAAUAACUUAAUCAUGGUGAAAAUAAUUGUUUUAAUUACUUAUGAAAUUGUAAAUAUUUGGAAUUGUAAAUAUUGGGGGUAAUAUUGUCUUUUCAAAGUCAACAGUUAGUCAAUGGAAAUUUUAACUAACGGUAGGGGGCCUUUUACAAAUAAAAUAAUUUUCACCAUCUACUUGCAACAGCCUCAAACCUCAGGGGAGGUUUUUAAAAAUUAUCCUGAUAAGUAUUAUGUUUCCAUCGAUUUUAUGCAGAUUUAUGUAAUAUAGUAUUUCAGUGACUGAUUUGAAUUAAAUAAGUUUAUAUAAGUUCUUAUGAUAUUCUGAUGAAAUUGAUUUGAGAAAUUGAUUUGAGAAAGAUUAAAUCAUUUUAAAAGAAUUGAUUUUUUAAAAUUACUAUCCACUCACUGAGUUCACUGAGUUUUAUACUCAUUCCGCUUUUAUUAUAUUUUCUUCCCCCCACAGGAGAUUUGCAGGUACAUCAGUCGACCUAGUAUCGAAUGUUAGUUUUGAAAUUGUUGCCACGUGAUGGUGUUAGGAUGUCAUAGAGUUAAUACUGUGAUAUUUAGGAUAUUGCGAAUUGUAUUUAUUUAUUAUAUUUUGUAAUUAAGGAUAACCAUUGUAUUUUUUAAUAUUAGAAUGACUUGGGUGGUACUUGGUAUGUUGACUUGAGAAGUUGGUUAUGGAAGAUGGUUGGAUAUUGAAUUAUUUUAGGAGUAUUGUUUUGUAAUUUGCAGGUUUGAGAAUGUUAUAUUUAUAAGGGAGAUUCUGCCGAAAUUUUUAUAGAAUUCGUACUUAAUAUCGAUUCAAUUUUACGAGUUUAGAUGGACUUGCCCUGGGGGUGCGGGGCGGGUCGUUUCAGUAAGAGCAAUGGGUAGUUUAACUUAUGGAAGAUAACUAGAACUUGGAAUAACUAUCCGAUCUGCACCUCUUUAUUUGUUAUAUGCUAGUGGGGAUUUUAGGUAGCGUUUAUCGCCAGGGGAGUUACAGUAAUCGAUUCAUAUAUCCUCCUUUACUUCCGAGGGUAACCCAGCUCUAUACAAGAACAACAAGAGGGUUCAAUUAAGAACUCUCUCUCUUCCUCACAACAAAUACACCUAACAGACCAAACCGUGCGCAAAAUAAUUCUAUUCCGUUCUAUUCAUGUCAUGAAUCCCACAAGUCAAAAACUAUCGCAACUCAUUUUGUUUAAUCAGCAUAACUAAAUUGUGGGUAUAAAUGAGCAAACUUUUGAAGCCUGUAACUUAUAAUAAACGCAAACCCAAAAAUGACAUUUAAAUCCUCAUCAUCCCUAACAAAAAGAAACAGGAAUAAUUAUAUACCAAUAAUUUUUCCACAACAAAUACUGAUUUGAGUUGAAACACUAUACAAACUGGGUCCUAUACACUUGCAGAAAGCUACACAGUAGAGAAAAUCUAGCAGCUACAUAAUGGUAUCACUUUCAGCUGGUCACGAAUGGUGUGCAUUCAGCAGUGCUCGACAGACCAUGUCUACGAAUUGAUUGUCCUAUUACAUAUAAAAGCUGGUUAGAUAUACAAGGAAAAAAUUAAUAAUUGAAAAUGCAUCACAAAAAUUAAGAGUAUCGCAUUAGUGUUUGCACUCUAAGCAUGGCAAAGUGGUGGGGGGUUCAUUAUUUUGAAGACUGGGAUAAGUGAAAAAUAGUUCAAUCCACUGAUGAGCAUAAAUUUAUUUACAUGUCAAUUUAGAUAUCAUCAAAAAGUAAACAGUAAUUCACAGUCACUUAAAAGAGUGGACAAAAUGCAUACCAUGAAUGCAUUUUUGUACGUAAGAAAUCCAAAGAAUAUUUCUGAUAAUACAAAUAUGCUGGCUUUAAAUCUGCUGUCAAUAAGCAAUUAAGAAGAUUAUACCAGCUGCAUGGUAAAGUUCCCCUACUCUUAAUAACAGUAAACAUGAACAUGUCAGAUGCAAUUCUAGCAUCGACCAUUUGCAUAACCAGAAAUCCUAACCUGAACAAGCACCAGAAGUGCCUCCCGGACUUUCUCCUUGCUGAUAAAUGGUCCACAGUUUGAAGUAAGAGCAGGAGUAAGAGAUGGUGGAGGGAUUGGUGGUGGAAAAGGUUGAAGCACUGGGGCACCACAUGGGCGUUGUAGACUCAAGGGAGUAUUAAGUGGCGGAGCUGUUGGUGUAGAUGAAGAGACAGGCUGCAUCAUCCGCGCAGAGGAGGAUGGAGGAGGAACAAAGAAUAAGGAAGGCUUUACAAGAUUAGGUGUCCAGUUGCCAGAUUCAGAGGUGUCAAUGGGUGGCAUUAAAGGGGUAGGUGCUGAUAGAGGCGGGGAUGGUAUUUGCAAGGUUGGCACGAUAGGAUAAGCAACACUGGCGGGAUGAGAAGGUACAGAAAUAGUUGUAUCAGACUGCUAAGGUUGUGCAGAGAUUGCUGCAUUAGAAGUACUCCCCACAAUCAUAGCUGUCUGUAAUGAUAAGGACAGAUGUCAGAUACAAGGACUUCAUAGAAGUUGAACCUCACACUAAAAAGAAGUGAUAACAUAUGAAAAUAGUAUAUGACUUGCAGCAUUUUUGUGGUAAUGUUGCAUACUUAUGUAGAAACAUAUUAUUUCAAAGAAAACAUACACUGAAGAAGUUCACAAAAGCAGGAUCCUCAGGAACAUCAGCAGCAUUUGAGGGAGUUGACUCUAGAGGACCAUCCAUAACUGCCGUAGUUGGAACAGCUUCCAGUUCCUCAAACUCACUGCAGUUUAACAAUAAAAGGAACUCGAUGACCAAUUUAAGUAACAAUUAGAUGAUAUAAGAGGUUAGGGAAAAUGAUGAGCGGACCCUUAUGGAAGGUGAUUUCACCUUAGCUAAACACGAAAAUAAAAAGAAAUCAAGGCCGACUCCUCGAGUGCAAUGCAAAAAAUAUUUUCCCUCUUCUCUAACUCCUCUUAUUCAAAAUUGCUCAUCAUUGUGCUGUUCUUUGAGUUUUCACUAGAGUAGAGAACGCUAUUCUCCUGUUAAGUGCAGAGGAAAGAGAAGGGCAAGGGCCUGGUAUGACGCUAUUCUAUAGAAAGUGAGAAGGUGAAGGGUUAAAAUAUUUUGCAAUUUGGAGGUGGUGUUUGUUAGUGUUCGUACUUCUGAGUUUAUUACCUCUUUAGGAUCCAUAGAAAUUGCCUCUUGUUUAGCAUGCACUGUGCCUAAGAGUAAGGCGAGCUUGCAGAGUAUCUAUUAUUUAUUUACUUGGAUAUUCAAACAGGACUACCAGCAACCAAACCUGUCCCAGCACACUAAUCCCCAAACAAAACACUCCUUCAAGUGCAAGGAAAGAGUAACGUGGGCAUAUUUAUGGUUCAAGCACUACAAUAACUAAGAAUGUGAUGACUGUCCACAAACACUAUAUCAGAACCUUUUGAACUACAUCACAUGCUCGAAGAUUGUUUUUUCAGUCAUACAUAAAUUAGCCAUAAAAUUAAGGCCAUUAUACAACUAAAAAGAAAGAAAAAUUGUUUGCUACUACAUAUCAAAACUGGUAAUAGAAAUGUAAUAUGGCAGACUUCUUACUUAAACAGAUGAGAGGCUACAAAAAAAAAAUUGUGCAAAUAAAAUAUAUGAUAAAGAGCAUAAUACUUUCUUGGGGGCUAAAAAUAAUAUACAACAUGUAAAAUAUAAAUUGAGCUAUCAUUACCUUUUAGACGUGGCAACUUUCGACUUUUGAGGCACCUUGGAAUAUGCAUUCAGAAUCCUGCAUUUGGAAGCCAAAUAAAUAAUGUUAAAAACAAUUUUACAAUAGAAACAUUAAAAAUUGAUAAAUUACAGUUGCAAUUUAUGUAUGCGAAAAGAUAGCAUCACAUCCAGGGUCCUCCCCUAAACAUGCUUGUAACGAGAAUUAGUCUGCCUCCACUGUUAGCAACUGCUAACAAUAUACAAUAGUAAAAAUCACUCUCAUGAACUCACCAAUACCAGACACCAAUAAGAGUAUGAUACAACUAUUCUAAAUGGAAGAGAAAACCACUGUUUUAUAACUAUGUCGCAUCCAAAGAUAUGUUAGGAGGAUUAAUCCAAAUACCUUCGAACCCAAUUAACAAACUUGAGGCAAAAACCAGGGGCCCCAACUGAACCUUACAAUCUUGAAGGAAGGAGGCUUCUGGCAUUUUUCAGAUAGGUGAGUUACUAGAUCUCCUGCGAAGAGAAUAUCUUUUGCUUUGAACCUCCAUUGAAAUUUCUUUUUCCCUUUUUCUUGUUUUGACUUGGAACUUUCCAGCAUCAUCUAUUUGACCUUUUUUAAAGCUAAAAUAGCAAUCUAUGGGUUGUCAACAUCUUAUCUCCCCUUCCCCCCCCCCCCCCAAAAAAAAAAAAUCAAUGGGUUGUCAAUAAAUAGUGCCUACUCAACUUAUGUUUUCCAAGGGAUGACAAUGUGCAAAUCGACCUAGUAGCCACACUUUUCCCCCACUUUCAACCACCGUUAGGCAACUUUUCUAACCUUUCUUCAUUGCCCACAUCUACAGAACUAUCAUAUAAAGACUACAUUAUUAUUGGGGUAGAGGAAAAAAUACAGACUAUAUUAUUAUAUCUCAUUUUACUAAUUGGAAAAGACACUCAUGAUAAUACAGACCUUAAAAAGCAAUAGCUAGUAACACCCCAUGUACUCCUAUUUUAGCCUUCACUAUCCUAGUAAAAACACAAUUAAGUCUUGCAAAAGAACAUUCACAAGUAAAUUCAACAUUAAAUGAGAUUAGGUAUCCACUGCACCUUCAAUCGAUGACUGGGUGAAUAGCAUGGUCAACCAUCUAGUUCCUGCAGCCCUCCUUGUACCUAUGUUAGUUACAUUUUACAUAUUACGCCACGAAAAUGAAGGAUCACAGCCUGGUAAAGAAAGCCAUUAAUUAAUAGCUUUUGUUUAAAAAGUUCUCAUUUAGAUCUUUCCUAUUCAAUUAAUCAAUGUAAUCCAAAGAGAACUCUUCCAUUUCAAGCAGUGUUAGAAGAUAAUUGCAAAGCCUAAAGAUAAUAUACAAGGACCAAGAUAUCAAUAAAGUCAAAUAGUGAAUGUCAAAUAUAAAAAAUAAAUAAAAUAGUUGAACGUGAUCAUUUACUAUCAAGUUCUGUAAAACUGAAAAUACCAUUAUCCCUGUAGAGAUUCUCAAAAAACUCUUUAGCAAAUCAUUAAAUAGCAAAAAAAAGAACGAAAGUUCAAAAAAAAAAAUGUACAACAUCCAUAUCAGGAGAUAUUUUUCUUCUCAAUAUCAAUAUUUUCUAGCCGUGAAGCAAUUGAAAAGCUUAACACCAAGUGAAUUAUUAAGAAUUCAUCAUUUAAAUUCCCAAAUCGCAAAAUGUUGGUGCAACUAGGAAAGUGCAAAUGCAGUCACUUAACUAACACAAUAAGCACCAAUAGUGAGAAGCCCACUUUGUAUCAAAUUUGAAACAGAUAGAUAGAGGUCAAAAAAUUUAUAAAGACACUCAAUUGAAAGCCUUUCAAGCAGCUUUUGCAUGCAACAAGAGCAAAUCAAAGGCGAUGAGAAUGUAUUCAAAGACUAAUUUACAAUCAUCUAUAGACAUAAAUAUCUUGGAUACCUACUCUCUAUACCUUACUGUCCCACUGAAAAUCAUCAAAUCCCUCCAAACAAAAAUGACAAAAUGUAUAAGAAUUGUGUGGUCAAACUUCAAUAACUUAGCAGCCACAGCAAAAACUUAUGUAGACAUGCAAGCCACUCAAAAUAGUCAUAUUUUUUGCUUUCCAAACACAAGCCACUGUGUAAUGAAUGCUCAUAAAUUGCUACUACCAUGUUUGUUAAAACACGUGAAAACCACCAUAACUAACUCAAUGUAACUGAUGAUCACAUCACAUUCAUGGAAUCACAUAUCUGACAGUAUUAAUUAGUGCAAACUGCAUGCUUCUUGAAACUCCUUAUUUAUCACAUGGGUGCCAUUCCAAUCAACCAAUGAUUCUGAUCUAGUCAGCAAAUUCAACCCACGAGCGAGUAAUACCUCCUAUUGCUUCUUUACAUUUCUCAACAAAAUUCCACAUUCUACCCAUACUUCUGAACUUGAUGCUCCCAUAGACUAAUACAAUAUAAAGAUUUCUUCCCACACCACCCCAACCCCCACCCCUAAAAAACCAAUUUAAAUUCUCAUUGGAUGUACAACUUAUAGUCCAUACCAAAUUGAAAAAUUUGCAAAUAUAGAACCUCAAAGAAUCUGCUUGCGUUCCAUUUUCUACAGCAAGAAAAUUGACCUUUACCACAUGCAAGUCAACAUAUAAAACAAUCAUGUCUUUGUGAGAUGCACAUUUUCAGAUGAAUCUGGAGAGCAAUGAAACCAUAAAAACCUAAUAUGAGAACACCGAGGGCUCCAGAUAUCAUCUAUAGAAUCUUUGGUGCACCCUUGCAUGAUGAAAAAAAUUGAAGGCUUCGUCACCAACUCCCCAGGUUGUUUUGUUCUCCUAUCUCCUAAAUGCACAGGAAAGGCAACCCGUUCUUUUUUCCAAUCUUAAGGGGCACAGAAUGACUCCGGUAUAAAAUAGUCAGUUUCUAUACAAAAAUAACUCCUUUGCACUUGGCAUUGCACAUCUCAAAAUAAAAAGCAUGCAAGGAGGAGAAUAUAAUAGCAUUAAACAAGUUUUAUUAACCAAACUUCAAAGAUGCCAGACAAGGCAAAAAAGGAAUCUGUACAAGCCAGAUUCCAAGAAUAAUAAUUCCAAUAUACAAUUCAAGAAAACAAUAACUAAAACCAUGUUCAUGAGGCCUCAGUAGAAGCAACAUGUAAUAACCAUACUCUAUUAUUUGAAACACAUUUCCAAGUUUGGUUAAGAUUCUAAACUAUUCUCUAUCUGUCAAUUAUUAACAUGUAAAACAUAAUAAUAUACACUUAAACUACUACAGUAGUAAAACCAGUAAAACAACAAUACCUGCUAAAAAGAUUUGCUACCUCUUCACAUUCACGAGCAUUGUAGAACCAAAUCCCAUUUACUUCUUGGGAUGCAUUUCGAUAUAACAAAUACGGAACCUGAACUUCAAACUCAAAAUCUCCCAAAAGAUUUUCCACUAAAUUAUCUGCACAUAUACAAGAUAUUGAAGCUUAUCAGUGCAAAAACAUAUAUAAAAAGACAUGAAGGUUAGAAGACAUAACUAAAACUUAGCAACAACUGAUAAGCACAACAAGACAUGAAAUAUAACACUAGUUGUAAACAAGAUAGACACAUGGUAUCUAAAAAAUUGUACCAACCCCCUCUCCUGAUUGUCAUAAAACGGCCAAUAUUUAACCCUAGACAACAAAAUUGCAAAUACUCUAGCCUCUAUAUUAUUGGCAUAUAAAUAUUUUAGGUUAGGUACAUUAUAUUCUUCGUUCUAAAACCUCAAUUAUUAGCUAGUACUGUGAUAAAAUGAUUCAUCACUGAAAUUAAAACUAGGUCACGUACAAAUAAUCAAAACUGAAAUAGAAGCAACGAUAAACCAACCUGUAUUACGUCGAUUCAUCACAACAAACUGAAAUCGAGGCUGUGUGUUCCUGAAAAUUGAAAAAAAUAAUAAUUUCACCAACUUCAUGUGUAAUACAAUCUCCAAAACACCGAAUAUCAAAUGAAAAAAUGGAAAGCAUAAGAGAGAAAAGAAUCUAAUUUUAUUGACCUUUUGACGACGAACAGAGAUCCUUCAACAUCCUUACGACUCCAUUGGCUGAGAUCGAUGUUGAACUCGUAGAAGGUGACAUAAGCGGCCGUGAUGAGGAUCUCCUCAAUGAAUGGAUCGAUUCGCUGAAGAACUGUCAGGUUUAGGAGUUUUGUGCUCUGCUGGUCCAGAUUAGGCAUCAAUUUUCCGUUCUGCGACAUUUUUCGUAGUCCUUUCGGGCUCUGCCCCGAGCACAAGCCCCAUGGUUUUUCUGUGAGCUCUCUCUUUUGUAAAUAAAGUGUUUGAUGAGAUAGCCGAGAGAGAGUGAAAGAGUUGAACACCCAAACAAGGUGAGGUGAACAGUUUCGGAUUGAGACUCGAGAUUGAUCUUGCUUUAACGUCUUUCAAAUAUUUGGGAAAUAGCAUUUAUUUCUUUCAAUUUCUCUACUUUUUUUUUCCUUUAUGUCAUUUAGACCCAAAAAUUAGAUUUAUUAUAAAUUUAUAAUCAUAUUUUACCCAUUCACUAGUAACCCCUUUUAUUUUUGAAAUUUGUCAAUAUUAAUGUGUUAGAAUAAUGUUAGAAAUCCCAAUUAUUAUCUCAAUGUUUCAAUCAUAACUAAUGUGAUAACUCAUCGGUAACUGCAACAUUAACUUAAUUAUUAAUAUUUAUCAUGAAAUGAUGAGAUUAUUAUUCAAGAAAAAAUUAGUAAACAUCAAUGACUAAUAUAAUGUGACAAUUACAGCUGAAUAUUAGUACAAUAAUUAGGAUUCCUAAAGUUAGUGAUGUAUUAUAAUAUAUGUGUUAUACCACUUUAUGUCUCUCAAAUUCAAUUGAGUAAUUUCAUAUACCUGAGUACCUUUUAUUACAUUAAUUAAUUGGGUCCGCCUAACUUACGCUCAACGUAAGUUACGCUCAGCCCGUCCAAUUUCAUAUAGUCCCCCUAUACUCUAUACUAUUUAUAUUUUAUUCAUAAAUAUUAUAAAUUUUUUGAAAUGUAAAAUUUCAUUUAACCCCCUCUACUCAAUUUUAUUUUAUUAAAACCAUAGAGUAUGAAUUUGCCCCCAUAAUUUUAAAUUCUCAAAAUAACCCCCAUUUAAUUAAAAAUAUAAUUAUUUUUAAAUGAAUUAUAAUUAUAAUUAUAAUUUUAUUAUAAUCAUAAAUAUUUUUUUAAUAGAUUAUUGUUAUUAAAAUAAAAUUUUGUUUAGCCCCUCUACUCAAUUUUAUUUUAUUAAAACCAUAGAGUAUAAAUUCGCCCCCAUAAUUUUAAAUUCUCAAAAUAACCUCCAUUUAAUUAAAAAUAUAAUUAUUUUUAAAUGAAUUAUAAUUAUAAUUAUAAUUUUAUUAUAAUCAUAAAUAUUUUUUAAUAGAUUAUUGUUAUUAUUAAUAACGAUAAUAAAAAAUAUUAUAAUUAAUUAAUUAAUCUAUUAACAAUAAUUAAUAAUAUUUUUAUUAAAUUGUUAGUAAUAAUAAUAAUAAUUAAUGAUAAUCAACAUAUUUAUGAUUAUAAUAAAAUGGAAUAAACACUGAGUCUAUAUUUAUAUAGGAGACUCUUUUAUAUUUCUAUACAUUUUAAUUUCAAGUACUUUUAGGAUUUUUUUGUUACCUUCAUAAAUAAUGAUUUUGUAGGCAUCUCAUUAUUAAACGGUCAUUUUUAAGUGCUUCUAGUGUUGGGAUCGUAUUUAAUUGUGCUUUUCAGCUUUCUUGUCAUAACAACUAGGGUAUUACUCUUUCUCCAUAUCAAGCUUGAAGUUCUAAAUUUCAGUUUUAUCUUUUAUUUGAUGUUUUAUAAGUUCUAAAUUUCAGCUUUCUCUCAUAACAACUACGAACGUGUUAUGGUUUAGCUCAGUGACACAAAGGACAGUUUUCAACAAUUGAUCCUAGGAAGAUGCCCAUAGCUUGUUGUGCCAAAAAUAGAAAAUCUAAGAUGCGAAAAAAUUUUGUUGAGAUUCAUUUUUCAUCCUGAUGUUACAGCUGGCCUUUUUUUUUUUUUUUUUUGGCAGAGAAUAAUGCUUAUGUGAUUUCUGAACUUGGUUAUUGUUGAAAUGAGCUGAAAAUGAGCUGGAAAUGUGUUUGGUUAAUGAGAAAGAGAGCGAGAAAAUGAAAGAAAUCUAUUUCACUUUUUAUUUAUCAGAAUGAUUACAUUCACAAUGAAUCUAAGCUGAUAUUUAUACUUAAAUGAAUACACACGAGAUUCUUCUUGCUAGAUACUUCUAGAAACUCUACACGCACACUCACACUGAGCUAGUGGUUACUAAAACCGUUACAACAAUAUUGCCAGCUCAGCAUAACCAACUUAUAACUAACACACUCAGCUGCAGGGGAAACCAUCAAGCAUACGGUGCAUCCUCUGUAAUCAAGCUUCUUUAAGCAUGCUCUGCAGAUCAUACGUCUGAAUUAUCGAAACAAGAUGAAUUAUUUUUUGUUUAUUUUAGCAGGCGAUCUAUGAUCGGAAUUUCUUGCAACAAAAGAUGUGUGUCCACCAGCUUGUAUUCAAUUCGCGAACACAGUUUGAGAAGAAUCAGACCAUUAAUUUUCUUUUGAGCCAAUCAACAGAAUGUACAUUUCUUCUAAGAACCUGUAACCGAAACCGCAGUUUUUCAGGUUUGCUCCUUCCUCAUAGCAGUUAAUCAAACGAUAAACAGAGAUAUCCCAUGUCAACAAGAAGGUAAUCAUAAAAGAACAACAGAAUUGUUGCAACAUAUUCAUAUGAAAUGUAAAACAAUUUUGAGAAAAAAUAUUGGGAAGAUAUUUUUUUUUCAUAGAAGUUGCAAUCUUUACGUUAUUUACUAGUUGCAAUCAUACGCCUGCAAAGGAUGCCAGUUAAUUUUAUCACAAUUAGAUGGUAAGAUUGCAAAUUCUGCAGCCAAAGGUAGUACGGAGCUGAAUGAAGGAAAUCAAAUAUGAACAUGUUUUCAAUCUCAAAAUAUUAAGAGUAGCAUAAGUAACUUGUGAAACAGUCAUAAGUUCAAGGGAAUUAGAUGAUGGCAUGGUUGAAUUUAUAAAUAUUUGAUAUUUUGGACCGAACAGGGCAAACAGAUGGAUCCAGAUAAUUAAGAAAAACAUCAAUUCCAUGCAACCAAAUUAGUGUGUACAAUGCAAUUGCCUUUCCCUAUGAGAGUAGAGGGCCUAAGUACGCUGCCGUUUAGAGCUGAUGAGUUUGAUUCACCAGCAAGCCUCACACAAUAUCACUUGAGCAACACUAUAAAAUCAUUCAAAGAAAUCUCUAGGUCAGUAUCCAAAUAUGUGGCUCCGUCAGUUCCACCACAACCCAAAAUAUCAGAUCCCCCCAUUUGGAUUCGACUGAUCAAUUUGAGCAUAUAAAAUCGGGUUUUAAACUUCCCUAAUUAAAAUUUAUAUUCCACAGAAUCGUUUCCUUUAACAUGAUGCAUUACAUAAUAUUUUGUUUGCAAAAUAAAGAAGAAAGAUGACAUAAUAGAAACACUCACAGAGAGAGAAUACCUUUGACGAAAAGCUUAGAAGUGAAUCCUCUGUAAAAUACGAGUUGAGCUGCUGAAUUUUUCGAGUUUGAAUGAGAGACUGCGCCGUUUCUGAAAAUGUUUUUUUCUCAGUAGCGCCGCCAUUUUUGUAAUAGAGGGUAAAGAAAUAAGUAACAGAGUAAGAGGUGAGCAGAAACGGCCCAAUUUAGUUAUAUGCCAUGCAUGCGAUCAAAAUUGAAUGGUUAAAUGGCAGCCACUAUGUUACAUCUUGUGUAAGUAACAAACCGCCUACAUGGAUCGUUGGAUUUGGGAAUAUGAAAUCCAAUGGAUAAUAUUGAAUUUAACGAAAAAUAGAUUACAGGUUGCAUUAGUCCAAGUUUAUUUCAAACAAACCAGCUGACGAAAUAGCCGCUAAUCAAAUUUAAAAGGGAAAAAAAUUCAAAUUAUAGGUUAUAGAUCUUAUUUCCAUCUUAAAUCUAUUUGUCUUUCAUGGUGUCUCAAUGUGUAUACUAAUUUAUAAUUUGGAUUUAUAUUAGAGCUAAUGCUUCCCUAAAUAACUAAGAAAAUUUUCUUUUCAUUGAUUUAAUAUUUAUUUCCAAUAUCUUGUAUAUGUAGGAUUUGAAAAGAGGAAAAAUAGUAGGGAUGAUAAUGAGAGAAGAUAAAGGUGUCGAUUCUCAAAUCUAAUAUUAAUGCUAUACUUAUAUUCCUAUACUAAAUAAAUUAUCCAAGGUUCGUGGUUAACAAUACGUUGCAAAAUUUUAAUUUCUAUUUAAAGCUCUGUCUAAUAUGACUUUUCAUAAAGCUUAGAGAAAAGUAGAGCUUUUACCAAAAAAAAAUAAUUAUUAGAAUUGUCAAUGAUAAAUUUUAAAAAGUACUUUAAUAAAUAAGCUUUUAAAGUUAUAUAUAUUAUGAAAGAAAUGAAAUAAGAUUAUAUAAUAAAUUAAGAGUAUCUUAGAUAAUUGAACUUAAAAAAAAAAACUCGCUAAGAGGUUUAAAAUUUGAGUUUUAAUAGUGGAUACAAAAUAGUUUAUUUAAUUCUCAAAAGCUCUACUCAAAAUAGUUUAUUUAAUUCUCAAAAAAUAUUUUUUUCAUUGAGUAAAUAAUACUAAACAUGCACUAAAGUGUUAGGACCAGAAGUUGUACAAAAAAUGAUGGCUACAACUUAAAUUAUGAAUGGAGUAAUCGGAGAAUAUUGAAACCCGUUUAAUUUGGAUCGUGCAUUGAGGGACGAAAGGAUAAAAAAUUUAAUUUUGAAAUUGCUGUUGGGUACGGUACAAUGACUUACCGUUGACAGCUUUUGCAACCGGAUUACAAUCGGUUAGUUCAAUAAUUUUAUAUCCCCAUUUAACCGCCAUGUGCUGCUGUUACAUGGGUCAAUUAGUCAUGUCAUUACUGUUACUUACAGAUGCCGCAACAUAACCGGACCCUGGUUAAAUUCUGUUGUUUCCAAUAAUUUUAUGCUGUAUCUUCUUUAAUAAUAAAGAAAACUUGCAUUAAAAUUAAAAUUAGGGUAAUACCUGAUUUUAUAAAUAGAUUGCAAUGUAAUUUUGAAAAAUAAAACAAUAAUUUACAAAAUGUUUAUAACAUAAUUUUAAUUUUUUUCAAAAAGGAAAAACAACAAAAGUAAGAAAUAGAGAAUUAGGGCUACAAACUUUGUAUCUUAAACGGCCGUUAGAUUAUUUGUAAAUGAAAGCAACGGUCAGAUAUUGGUGGAUUAUGGAAACAUGUAAUCAUAAGGACUACGAGUUUUUUUUGUUACAUUGAUAUAUUACAAUCAAAAUUCUAUUGGUAUUUACAAUCAGAAUUUUAUUUGACUAUCUUUGAUAAUUCUAAACUAGUACAACCCAAAUUCUUAUUCUCAUAUAAUAUCAAAGAGAGAUAUAUAUUCUUCUCCUCUAUUAAUAAAGAGACAUUUUUACUUCCUUUUAAUAGUUAGGACUCAGAACUCAUACACGCUAGUUUGAGAGUGUGGGGUGUGACAAUGGGCCAAGAGACCAUUGACAAAUACAAAAGAGUGGUAGAAAUUAAUUCAAACCGCUACACACGCUAUUGCAACCAAAUUGAGGGCACAUUUUUGUUUAUUUAGUUGAAAAGUAGUCUGUAAAAUUAACUCAAACCGCUACAUACGCUAUUGCAACCCAAUUGAGGGCCCAUUUUGUUUAUUUUGUUGAAAAGUAGUUUGCGCAAUUAAUUCAAACCGCUACACACGCUAUUGCAUCUUUUGAAAAAGAAAAAUGGAAUAAUUUUUCAAAAUUAAUUUAGAGAAUAAGAUUUACUAAUAAUGAUGUUAGAAAUCUUGAUAUUUGAAUCUUAAUAUUAUCUAUCACUCAUUUAUUAAAUAAUAGAUUUCAUAGUUUGUAAAAUUACUUAACCACUUGAUAAAUGUUAUAUUUGUUGGGACUAGAUUGGGACUUAAAUAUUGGAAUAUCUAGUAUUGCAUAAAAAAAAACUUAACAAUUUAUCUUCACACGACUAAUUGUUUUUACAUCACAACUAACCUUAAUUAUUUUAAAAGUUAUAGUAUUAUUAAAUUGCCCUAACUAGUUAUCAAAAGGUGAAACCAUGUUUUAAAAAGAAAUUACUAAGAAACAUUUGUUUAAACGAAGGUUAAGGUUAUGAUCAAUUAAUUAAGAAGAAACUUACUAUCAAAGGUUAAGAUUAUGAACAAUUUAAGGAAGUUAUUGAGUAGAGAAAGGGACAGAAUGGUUGUCUGAUUUGUCGGUGACAAGAAUGCUUGUGUUGUGAAAAGAAAGCCGAUGGUUUGUAAAUUUGUUGAAUUUUUCGCUCGCUUCAAUGACUUGCUUAUGCCCAAUAUAUUACUUUGCACAGUAGUAUUUGGGAUCCUAACAAUCAACUCUUAAUUUGGUCCCAAUUAGUAUAGUAAUCAUCUAUUGAGCGGUAAAAUAUUAAUUCUAAUAGUCAUGAAAUCCAAUAUAUAAUAGAUUAAUAACACACAUAAAUUAAAACAUAACUGUCUGAAAUCAUAACAUUACUCUACUCUUCAGUGAAGUUCUCUUAAACUGAUUAUGUGAAAGCAAUAUUCGCUUUUUGAUUAUAUCCAUAACUUUGAAUUGAUAAAGUUGUAUUCAACAGCUCUUGAAAAGACUAAGCAGGUCUUCUUUGCAUUUGAUCACUGGCAUUUCAGUUAAGUUUGUCACUUACUUAAAAUUUUCUUGCUUUCAAUUUCCACUGUUAUUUUUUUUUAAUAAAAUAAUUUAUUUAAACUAGUCAUAGAAAUAAGAGAGAAAAGGGGUCAUUUCUUGACUCAAAGUCAAUUAUAAUUAUCAAAACUUGAGGGGACAUCGCAUGCCUAAAUUCCACGCACCCUAAAACGGUUUGAUUUGCUUUCACGCGUUCAUGAAUUUCCAUGAAAGAGCCUGCCUUUCGUCUCUUUCGGGACAAUGACUACAAUUAUGGAAAAAAUUAUAAUUCUCGUUAGAUUGUAACCAAAUUAUUAUCCCUAAUUUUUUUAAGUUAAAUAAAAUAAAAUUCAUGCCUAAGUAUUUAGUAAUUAGAGAGAGAUAGAGAGGAUUGAGGGCCAAUGUUUCACGAUUUGGGGUCAAUUCAAAGUCAACUAACGUGUAAAACACGUGUAUGCAUAGAAAACGCUUAGAUUAUUUGUGUUCCAAGUGCAAGAAAUUAAGAAAAGAAAAAUUGAUUUCCUUUCAUGAACUUCCAAGAAAGAAAGAAGACCCUUCACCUUCUUCGUUACAACAAAUGAAUGAAUGAUGUUGAUAUGACAAAUACAAGCGCUAUUACAGGGAACAGCAUAAGACUGAGACUUGAUAAAGUGUUUGUUAAAUUACAUGUUAUUUUCUUUUAACUUGAAUGAUGUUGAAAAUAAAAUAAAAUAAAAUUGUAAUCAGGGUGAUGUGUGGAAUAUAGUGAAAUAAAUAAAUAGAGAAGAGAAAUUUGUUGAUCAAUAUUAAAGACACAUCCAAAGUGAUCGUCAAAGUCUAGAGGUUCGGUAUGAUUAGCAUUUAUUUUAUUUUUUUUGGCUUAGCAUCAUAUAUAGUCACCUGUCGUGUGAUCUAGGACAGGUUUAGAAAUCCUUUUAUUUUAACUUCUGUAUUCUUAUUAUUUAAUUAGUUAUAGGGUUUUUAAGUAUUUGAGUAUUGAUCACAUGUCUCCUAAUCUAAAAAUAUGUUUUUACGAGUACAAAUAACAAACUAGGAUUUUAACAGCCUUUUAUACUAAACCCUAAAAAUACAUGAAUUUAUCAAAAUAAGUAAAUUAAUUUAAAUUGGUAUGGCAUAGUAGAAGUUUUACCUGCCGAAACAAAUUAAAAAAAUAUUACACUUAAAUCAAAUAUUGACAAAAAUAGAUAACAAUCUAAUGAGAAUCUUAACUAGACAUUUUUACUUCUAUCCAAUUUAACUGGAAUGAGAAUUAAGUCCUGUCAAUAGUUAGGACUCAUAACUCAUACACACUAAUUUGAGAGUGUGGGGUGUGACAAUGGGUCAAAAGACCAUUGACAAGUAUAAAAGAGUGGUCGUAAUUAAUUCAAACCGCUACACACGCUAUAUUGAGGGCCCACUUUUGUUUAUUUCGUUGAAAAGUAGUUUUCACAAUUAAUUCAAACUGCUACACAUGCUAUUGCGUUUUUUUUUUUUUUUUUUUGAAGGGAAGCAAUUUCAUUAAACCAAAACGAAUUACAGACUAUGUAAUAACCACAAAGGUGGAACGAAAUUCCACUCUUGGGGACCUGACAUAGAACCUACUGCCCUUGCAACAGAGUGAGCAGCCAGGUUCGCAGACCGACGUACAAACGAGAAUUGUACUUCUCUUAAAGACUUAGCUAAAGCUCGACAUUCAUCAACUAUUAAACCAAAACCGUUAGGCCCUGAAAACUCCUCAACUAGAGCUUGAAAUACUUGUAAACAAUCAGUUUCAACAAUGACACAAGGAAAUUGUAAGCCUUUAAGCCAACUAAGGGCCUCCCGAAUACCAAGAGCUUCAGCCUCCCUUGCUCCAAAAUUCCCAGCCAUUCCAGCACAUCUUGCUGUUAAGAAAACACCCUCUGAAUUUCGAAGCACACACCCAAAACCAAUAUUUCCCUGAGAUGAAAAGAUAGCAGCGUCAACAUUACAUUUGACCCAACCAAACUUUGGCCUCUCCCAACAUAUUGCCCCAUGGACCAGCUUAUGGACAUCAGUAUCAGCAUAGAAUUGUUGCUUCUUUGCUGCUUGCCACUGAUAGAGAAGUUGCCCAGCAGAAUUGAGCACUUGAUUCACUGAAUCAGUUUUGUUAUUCCAUACUUUGUCAUUCCGAUUAAUCCAAACUCUCCAGCAGAUCAUCAUGGCAACAUGGCAUUCUUCUUUGCUGCAGCGUGUAAAGAUGUGAUCAAGCCACUCUAAGAAAGAAUAACAAUGGCCAACAAAACCCACAGAGGAAGAAAUCCAGCAAGCCUUAGCAACAUUACACUCAACCAACGAAUGGAGAAUAGUUUCAUCAGAAGCAAGACACACAGCACAAGUAGGGGGGAUAUUCACCCUCUUAGAAAUUAAAUUAACUGCAGUAGGCAGCACAUUAGUUGCCGCUCGCCAAACAAAAUUCUUAACCUUAUUCGGCACAUUCAAGUUCCAUAGUUUUCGCCACACAUCUGUGAAAGGGUCAGGGGUAAGAGAAUGUAAAACCUUAUAACAGCUACGGACUGAAUAGCAUCCGCGAGAAUCAGCCAACCAAUACCACACAUCAUCAUUUCGGCGGGAACUAAGGGGAAUUUGAAGAAUCAACUCCUUGUCUCUUGCGUUGAAAAGAUCCGAAACAAGAUCAUAAUCCCAAGCUCGUUGAUUAGGCACCAGUAAACUACUAACAGGAGCUGCAGCAAGCUCGGCAUGGAGAUUAGAAGGAACAAAUCCAUUAUUAGUAUCAGGAAGCCACGGAUCCUUACCAAUGAAGAUCGAAUUUCCACAGCCAACUUGCAGUCUACUCCCUUGAAUUACCACAUCCUUUGCAGCCAAAAUAGAGCGCCACACAUAGCUAGGAUUAUGCCCCGCAGAAGCUUGAAGAACAGAGGUGCGCGGAUGGUAGCGAGCUUUAAUUAUCUUGGCCACAAGAGAUUCCGGACAAGUUAACAGCUUCCACAUUUGCUUUCCUAACAUCGCUAUAUUGAAUAAAUGAAGUUGUUUAAAACCAAGGCCACCAUAUCCUUUUGGUUUGCACAGAUUUUCCCAUUUGGACCAGUUUAAAAAAGAAAAAUGGAAUAGUUUUCCAAAAUUAAUUCAGAGAAGAAGAUUUACUAAUAAUGAUGUUAGAAAUCUUAAUAUUAUGUAUCACUCAUUUAUUAAAUAAUAGAUUUUAUAGUUUGUAAAUUUACUUAACCACUUGAUAAAUGUUAUAUUUGUUUGAAUUGAUCCAAUAGCUCUUGAAAAGCACAUAAUAAUCAUUAUAAAUUUAAUCAAAGACUAAGCAGGUCUUCUUUGCAUUUGAUCACUGGCAUUUCAGUUAAGUUUGUCAUUUAUUUAAAUUUUUCUUGCUUUCAAUUUCCACUGUUGUUUUUUUUAAUAAAAUAAUUUAUUUAAACUAGUCAUAGAAAUAAGAGAGAAAGGGCGCCAUUUCUUGACUCAAAGUCAAUUAUAAUUAUCAAAACUUGAGCGGACAUUGCAUGCCUAAAUUCCACGCACCCUAAAACGGUUUGAUUUGCCUUCACGCGUUCAUGAUUUUCCAUGAAAGAGAGUGCCUCUCGUCUCUUUCCGGACAGUGACUGCAAUUAUGUUAACGUGACGAAUACAAAACGUUAUUACAUACAAGAAUAAGUUUUUGGAGCCGAUACUUGAGGGAGGUUCUAUCUAAUUCUAAAGAUUGUAACCAAAUCAUUAUCCCUAAUUUUUUUAAGUUAAAUAAAAUAAAAUUCAUGCUUAAGUAUAAAUAAUUUUUUUAAGUUAAAUAUAAAAUAAAAUUCAUGAACUUCCUAGAAAGAAAGAAGACCCUUCACCUUCUUCGCGACAACAAAUGAUGUUGACAUGACAAAUACAAGCUCUAUUACAGGGAACAGCAUGAGACCGAGACUUGAUAAAUAUUAAAUAUAUAAAAUAAGUGGAGCAAACGAACAGAAUAAUAGAUAUUUUAUAAUAUUCUUCAUAAAAAUCCAUGUUUUGAGCCUGCCUAUAAGCUUAUCUAGUGAAGUCUGGGUAUCCGCGUUGCCCAAGGUUCCGUUUGAAUCCAGGCCGUGUAGAUGUUUAAGACAUCGCAUAUGGACGGAGUGGAAAUAUUUUCAGUUGACUGAAUUAAAUAAAAAUAUAUUACAAUCAUAUUAUAUAUUAGCAGCAAAAAUAAAAAGAAAUGAAGAAAAACGCAUGCAAGACUUAGACAAGUCAAUUAAAAGCUGGGAGUAUCAUCAGUUCAAUUGGUUAUAAAUAGCGUAGAGCCAUCCUCUCGUUGUUGCAGAACUGAAGCAAAGAGACUCAGAAAGAGUGUGUGUAGGUGAUUAUAAUUAAGAAGAUAUAAUGUGUGGUUCAAAAAGAGUGUGGGUGAGUGAGUUAAUUUUCAUAUUAUUAGUAGUAAAAGGGUGGUGGAGUGAGGGAUGUUUGGAGCAAGAGAGGUCUGCUCUCCUACAACUCAGACAUUUCUUCAAUGAUGAUCAACUUCUUCAAAACUGGGUAGACGAUGAGUAUUAUUCAGAUUGUUGUCAGUGGGAACGGGUUGAGUGCAACAACACCACUGGAAGAGUGAUUGAAUUACAACUACUAGAAACUCGAAAACAGGGAUCAGCAGAGUGGUAUAUGAAUGCCUCUCUGUUUACUCCAUUUCAACAAUUAGAGUCUCUUGAUUUAAUGGGGAACAAUAUAGCCGGUUGUGUUGAAAAUGAAGGUCCUUAAUUUACUCUAUUUUAAUUCUUCCUCGUAAUUUCUUACAUUUAUCUGAUCCCUUUUGAUUUUUGUUUAAUUUGUUCGUGAUACAAUAAAAUUACUUUUUAUUUUUUGUCAGGUCUAGAUAGGUUAUCAAGGUUGAACAACUUGAAGUUUCUUUACUUAAACCUUAACCACUUCAACAACAGCAUCUUUUCAUCCAUAGGUGGUCUUUCAUCACUCAGACGCUUAUCAUUGGCUAGUAAUGAAUUGAAUGGAAGUAUUGAUAUUAAAGGUAAGCAAGCUUCAUCCCUUCUCCCGUGUCCCAUCUUUUGUGGAUCUUAUUUUAUUGACCGGCUGGAAGUAUUGAUAUAAGAUCUGGCUAGACUCUUGCUAGUUUAAGCUUCAAGGAUUUAAAUAUUAUAAAAAUAGGUUUAAGAAAUUAUCAAUAUAUGCAAUUUUCAAUGCUUCUCAUAAUCAGACACAAUUCAAUCUAAUUAUUUUGUAUGUCCUGUCUUCAAAAGUAAAGAAUUGUACACUAAAUGGAAAUCGACAUCGUAGCUUUUUAUUUUUUCUAAUGCUCUUUUUUCGUUAACGAGUUUAUAUCCUAAGAGGGAUUGGAUUGAAAAAAAAAAAGUUUUGAUGUUCAAGGUAGGCCAUAAUAACCCGCAUCUUAUUUGUCUGCCUGUAUCUAAAUUUGUGCACUGAAUUUAGUAUUUUGGUUAUUGUGAAGGGAUCAGAUAUUGGCUUCCAUAGACCAACUUGUAUUUAGUUAAUUAAUUAAUUAACGACAUUUAAUAUUUAACAAAUUAAAAUUUCGUGUUUAAUCUAUUUUAAUUUUUUUAAGAAAAAAGAAAAAGAUAUAGCAAUAGGUAAAGCUAAAAUAAAUUUUAAUUCCUUACAAAUUUAAAUUCAUGGUUGUCAGCUAAAUAUACUUACUUAAAGCCACUCAGUCGAGCCCUUUGAGAGCUGCUUUAAAUUUUUAGCCAUAUUCUUUUCUUAUUAAUAAAAUUCUUUUCGCUGAGAUUUAACAUAAAAAAAGGAGAAAAUAAGUUAUUUAAUUAACUCUGUUUUAAGUGUUGGAAUAAAUACAGGACUGGAAUCCUUGAGUAACUUGGAGGAGCUGGGCAUGAGCGACAAUGCAAUCGACAAUCUAGUGGUUCCUAAAGGUAUACAAAAUGUUCAAAUAUUAAUAAUUUGGAGGACAGUUUAAUUGAUUUGAUUAGGGAAUGCCCAAUGACACUUACCCAAAAUAAUUUAAUCCGAAAUUGUAUCCCAAAUAGAUUACAGAGGUUUGAGGUAGUUGAAUACCUUUUAUUUGGGGAGGGGGGGGGGGGGGGGGGGGGGGGGGGGGAGGGAGGGAAAUUGCAGUGAUAUAUGGAAGCAAGGUGUUGCAAUAAAUAAAGAAAUUCGUUGGUCAAUAUUCAAGGACUCAUCCAAAGUAAUCGUUAAAGUCUAAAGCUCUGCUCUCCUCCAACUCAAACAUUUCUUCAAUGAUGAGAAUUAUUCAGAUUGUUGUCAGUGGGAAGGGGUUGAGUGCAACAACACCACUGGCAGAGUGAUUAAAUUAGAUCUAGGAGCCACUAGGAAUCGGGAAUCAGCAGAGUGGCAUAUGAAAGAUAACUAGAACUUGGAAUAACUUAAAUUAGCUAUAAAAUUAAGACCAUUAUACAACUAAAAAGAAAGAAAAAUUGUUUGCUACUACAUAUCAAAACUAGUAAUAGCAAUGAAAGAUGGCAGACUUCUUACUUAAACAGAUGAGAGGCUACAAAUAAAAAAUUUGUGCAAAUAAAUAUAUGAUAAAGAGCAUAAUACUUUCUUGGGGGCUAAAAAUAAUAUACAACUUGUGAAAUAUAAAUUGAGCUACCAUUACCUUUUAGAUGUGGCAACUUUCGACUUUUGAGGCACUUUGGAAUAUGCAUUCAGAAUCCUGCAUUUGGAAGCCAAAUAAAUAAUGUUAAUAACAAUUUUACAAUAGAAAAAUUAAAAAUUGAUAAAUGGCAGUUGUAAUUUAUGUAUGUGUAAAGAUAGCAUCACAUCCAGGGUCCUCCCAUAAACAUGCUUGUAACAAGAAUUAGUUUGCGUCAACUGCUAGCAACUAUACAAUAGUAAAAAUCACUCUUAUGAACUCAACAAUACUAGGCACCAAUAAGAGUAUGAUACAGCCAUUCUAAAUGGAAGAGAAUACAACUGUUUUACAACUAUGUUGCAUCAGGAGAUAUGUUAGGAGUUUUAAUCCAGAUACCUUCCAACCCAAUUAGGAAAACUCGAGUCAGAAACCAGGAGCUGCAACUGAACCUUACAAUCUUGAAGGAAGAAGGAGACUUGGGGCAUUUUUCUAGAUAGGUGACUUACUAGAUCUACUGCCAAGAAAAUAUCUAUUGCUUUGAACCUCCAUUGAAAUUUCUUUUCCCUUUUUCUUAUUUUGACUUGGAACUUUCCAGCAUCAUCUAUUUGAUCUUUUUUAAAGCUAAAAUAGCAAUCUACGGGUUGUCAACAUCUUAUCCCCCCCCCCCCCCGGGGGCCCCCAAAAAAAAAACAUCAAUGAGUUGUCAAUAAAUAGCGCCUACUCAACUUAUGUUCUCCAAUGGAUGACAAUGUGCAAAUCGACCUAGCAGCCACAUUUUCCCCCCCUUUCAACCACCAUUAGGCAACUUUUCUAACCUUUCUUCAUUGCCCACGUCUACAGAACUAUCAUAUAAAGACUACAAGAUAGACGCACGGUAUCUAAAUAAUUGUACCAACCCCCUCUCCUGAUUGUCAUAAAACGGCCAAUAUUUAACGCUCGACAACAAAAUUGCAAAUACUCUAGCCUCUAUAUUAUUGGCAUAUAAAUAUUUUCGGUUAGGUACAUUAUAUUCUUCGUUCUAAAACCUCAAUUAUUGGCUAGUACUGUGAUAAAAUGAUUCAUCACUGAAAAUAAAACUAGUUCACGUACAAAUAAUCAAAAACUGAAAUAGAAGCAACGAUAAACCAACCUGUAUUACGUCGAUUCAUCACAACAAACUGAAAUCGAGGCUGUGUGUUCCUGAAAAUUGAAAAAAUAAUAAUUUCACCAACUUCAUGUGUAAUACAAUCUCCAAAACACCAAAUAUCAAAUGAAAAAAUGGAAAGCAUAAGAUAGAAAAGAAUCUAAUUUUAUUGACCUUUUGACGACGACGAGAGAGCCUUCAACAUCCUUACGACUCCAUUGGCUGAGGUCGAUGUUGAACUCGUAGAAGGUGACAUGAGCGGCCGUGAUGAGGAUCUCCUCAAUGAAUGGAUCGAUUCGCUGAAGAACUGUCAGGUUUAGGAGUUUUGUGCUCUGCUGGUCCAGAUUAGGCAUCAAUUUUCCGUUAUGCGACAUUUUUCAUAGUCGUUUUGGGCUCUGCCCCGAGCACAAGCCCCAGGGUUUUUCUGUGAGCUCUCUCUUUUGUAAAUAAAGUGUUUGAUGAGAUAGCCGAGAGAGAGUGAAAGUGUUGAACAGCCAAACACGGUCUCGAGAUUGAUCUUGCUUUAACUUCUUUUAAACAUUUGGGAAAUAGCAUUUAUUUCUUUUAGUUUCUCUACUUUUUUUUUCCUUUAUGUCAUUUAGACCCCAAAAUUAGAUUUAUUAUAAUCCUAUUUUACCCAUACACUAUUAACCCCUUUUAUUUUUAAAAUUUGUCAAUAUUAAUGUGUUAGAAUAAUGUUAAAAAUCCCAAUUAUUAUCUCAAUGUUUCAAUCAUAACUAAUGUGAUAACUCAUUGGUAACUGCAACAUUAACUUAAUUAUUAAUGUAACACAAUAAAAGUUUCGUACAGAUUUUGAUAUUGAGAGUAACACAAUAAAAGUUUCAUACAGAUUUUGCAAACGAAAAGCACAUAAUACACUUAACUAGGAGGAAAAAUUAAGGUGUAUAUAUUACAAACUGCUAACAAUAUACAAUUGUAAAAAUCACUCACAAAUACUAGGCACCAAUAAGAGUAUGAUACAGCCAUUCUAAAUGAAAGAGAAUACAACUGUUUUACAACUAUGUCACAUCAAGAGAUAUGUUAGCAGGAUUAAUCCAGAUACCUUCGAACCCAAUUAACGAACUCGAGUCAGAAACCAGGGGCCCCCAACUAAACCUUACAAUCUUGAAGGAAGAAGGAGACUCGUGGUCCAGAUAGGUGACUUACUAGAUCUCCUGCAAAAGAGAAUAUCUAUUGCUUUGAACCUCCAUUGAAAUUUUUUUUUCCCUUUUUCUUGUUUUGACUUGGAACUUUCCAACAUCAUCUAUUUGAUCUUUUUUGAAGGUAAAAUAGCAAUCUAUAGGUUGCCAACAUGUUAUUCUGCCAAACCCCACCCCACCCCCCCGGGGGACAACAAAUCGACCUAGCACACACCUUUCUUCAUUGCCCACACCUACAGAACUAUAAUAAAAAGACUACGUUACUAUUGGGGUAGAGAAAAUAUACAGACUGUAUUAUUAUUACAUCGCAUUUUACUAAUUAACUAGUGCAAGACUUCUUUAGUGUCAAAUCAAGAACUAAUUAGAAAAGACAACUCAUGAUAAUACAGACCUUAAUAAGCAAUUGCUAACAACAUCCCAUAUACUCCUAUUUUAGCCUUCAUUAUCCUGGUAAAAACACAAAUAAGUCUUGCAAACGAACAUUUAUAAGUAAAUUCAACAUUAAUUAAGAUUAGGUAUCUACUGCACCUAAUAGCAUGGUCAACCAUCCAGUUCCUGUAGCCUUCCAUGUACCUAUGUUAGUUACAUUUUACAUAUUAAGCCACGAAAACGAAGAAUCACAGCCUGGUAAAGAAAGACAUUAAUUAAUAGUUUUUGUUUAAAAAGUUCUCCUUUAGAUCUUUCCUAUUCAAUGAAUCAAUGUAAUCUAAAGAGAAUUCUUCCAUUUCAAACAGUGUUAGAAGGUAUUUGCAAAGCCUAAAGAUAAUAUACAAGGACCAAGAUAUACACAGAUGGUUUCUUUAUGGAAUUAAAGAGCUUUAUAGAUGUUAAAACUGUUUCAAACAAUUUUUCUUGUUUGGUUUAACUAAGGAAAAGCUUGUGGAAGAUUAAAAAUGAUGUUUCCUAUUCUCUGUAGGAAACUUUUAGGAGAUUUUUUGGGCUUUUUUGAAAGGUUGAAUUGUCAAAAAUACCUUGAUGUUAUUGUUUGCUAAAAGAUGUUACGGACAUCUAAACAACCAACAACAUUUUGUUAAAAGCUCUACUAGUGUAGGAUCUACUUAAAGAAGCUAUACCAAACAGACUCUUAGACUGAAUAACUCGAUCUUAAGUUUGUAAAAUUGGGCUCAGAAUCUCCACUAACAACCCCGCUUCGGUGAGAAAGCCCAAGCCUGUUACUUUGUAUAACCUUAUUCUGUAUGUUUGAUUGCAGGAACUGGCCGAUCAUACCGACGAGGUGAGUGUGCAACAUGAGGUGCUUGACGGGAUGUUUACUUUCUAUGAUACAACUAAAGCUAGCCUCAACAUAUAUCAGGUGCCUGCUUGUUUUUACCUUCUAGAUACUAAUAUUGUUUAGACGUGUAAUCUCUCUCUCCAUUGAACGCUAGACGGCUCGUCUCAAGCCUUCUACGUACUUCAGAGUCCUUCACUAGCUUUUUAUGUAUAAAGUUUUGAUCUUUUUCCUUCAUUUGCUUGAAGCUCAUUACUGCAGAUUUUUUUUACAGGUUGGUAGUGUAACAUUCGACUUGCUGUUGCUUCUAGUCUUGGGAUCGUAUUUAAUUGUGCUUUUCAGCUUUCUUGUCAUAACAACUAGGGUAUCACUCUUUCUCCAUAUCAAGCUUGAAGUUCUAAAUUUCAGUUUUAUCUUUUAUUUGAUGUUUUAUAAUUUCAUUGCAAACAGAUUAGAAUAGAAACUUCAAAAGUUCCAACUGACUAGUCCCGUGUAACUUUUUCAGGGAAGAUUUUCUCUCAUAACAACUACGAACGUGUUAUGGUUUAGCCCAGUGACACAAAGGACAGUUUUCAACAAUUGAUCCUAGGAAGAUGCCCAUAGCUUGUUGUGCCAAAAAUAGAAAAUCUAAGAUGCGAAAAAAUUUUGUUGAGAUUCAUUUUUCAUCCUGAUGUUACCGCUGGCCUUUUUUUUUUUUUUUUUUGGCAGAGAAUAAUGCUUAUGUGAUUUCUGAACUUGGUGAUUGUUGAAAUGAGCUGAAAAUGAGCUGGAAAUGUGUUUGGUUAAUGAGAAAGAGAGCAAGAAAAUGAAAGAAAUCUAUUUCACUUUUUAUUUAUCAGCAUGAUUACAUUCACAAUGAAUCUAAGCUGCUAUUUAUACUUAAAUGACUACACACGAGAAUCUUCUUGCUAGAUACUUCUAGAAACUCUACACGCACACUCACACUGAGCUAGUGGUUACCAAAACCGUUACAACGAUAUUGCCAGCUCAGCAUAACCAACUUAUAACUAACACACUCAGCUGCAGGGGAAACCAUCAAGCUUACUGUGCGUCCUCUGUAAUCAAGCUUCUUUAAGCAUGCUCUGCAGAUCAUACGUCUGAAUUAUCGAAACAAGAUGAAUUAUUUUUUGUUUAUUGCAGCAGGCGAUCAAUGAGCGGAAUUUCUAGCUUGUAUUCAAUUCGCGAACACAGUUUGAGAAGAAUCAGACCAUUAAUUUUCUUUUGAGCCAAUCAACAGAAUGUACAUUUCUUCUAAGAACUUGUAACCGAAACCGCAGUUUUUCAGGUUUGAUGCAUCUGGGAAAAUUGUCAGAUGGAAUAAAACCACCAUGCGCCAAGGUACCAAUGAUGUUUCUUCCAGCUUAUGAGCACUUCAAAUAAACUUAGGUCAUAUUUACACAAGGGCGCACAUGAUAUCAAUCUAAUGGCAAUUAUAUCAUCUAAAAUCCAAAACCAAGAGUCUCCCAUUUUCCCGCCCUCUACUCUGUUCGUAUUAUCAUAACUUGAAGAUUGCAAGGCAGCCGCAAUCUCCCAGAUCUUUGCUCCUUCCUCAUAGCAGUUAGUCAAACGAUAAACAGAGAUAUCCCAUGUCAACAAGAAGGUAAUCAUAAAAGAACAACAGAAUUGUUGCAAUAUAUUCAUAUGAAAUGUAAAACAAUUUUGAGAAAAAAUAUUGGGAAGAUGAUUUUUUUUUUCAUAGAAGUUGCAAUCUUUACGUUAUAUGCUAGUUUGACUAUGCUAUAUAAGGAAGCUAUAUGAAAUUAGAAAAAUAAGCUAUACUAGGAAAGAAUAAAUAUAUGUACAGAAAAUGAGGCUAUAAUCCCUGACUUUCAACAAAUUUAAUAUCAAUUUUCUUCUGGAAGUUGUCUCAAAUGGGGUGCAUCAGUAUUGUAACAUACUGUGAGAUGCUUAAACUCAACAAUAUAAGCAUGGUAAAUUAGAGAAAAAUGAUGCAAUUUUACCUUCCCAUUCAUGUAUGCCAAGGCUUUUUGGGCUUCCUCUUCUGUACUGAAAGUCACAUACCCGUAACCUUUUGAUCUAUUCUUACCUUUAUCCAUUAUUAUUGUAGCUGCAAAAAGAAAAGAACCGGAUAUUACAAAAUAGUGAAAGGGAAGAGGGGUUGAGACUUAAAACAGAAAUAGACCAAACCCUCAGUGACUUGGCCAAAUUGUGAAAAAGCAUCAGCUAACAUCUCUUUAGUGGUCGAGAAAGAUACGCCUGCAAAGAAUGCCAGUUAAUUUUAUCAUAAUUAGAUGGUAAGAUUGCAAAUUCUGCAGCCAAAGGUGGUACGGAACUGAAUGAAGGAAAUCAAAUAUGAAUAUGUUUUCAAUCUUAAAAUAUUAAGAGUAGCAUAAGUAACUUGUGAAACAGUUAUAAGUUCAAGGGAAUUAGAUGAUGGCAUGGUUGAAUUUUAUAAAUAUUUGAUAUUUUGGACCGAACAGGGCAAACAGAUGGAUCCAGAUAAUCAAGAAAAACAUCAAUUCCAUGCAGCCAAAUUAGUGUGGGCAAUGCAAUUGAGCAACACUAUAAAAUUAUUCAAAGAAAUCUCUAGGUCAGUAUCCAAAUAUAUGGCUCCGUCCGUUCCACCACCACAACCAAAAAAAUCAGAUCCCCCCAUUUGGAUUCGAUUGAUUAAUUUGAGCAUAAAAAAUCGGGUUUUAAACUUCCCUAAGCAAAAUUUAUAUUCCACAGAAUCAGUUCCUUUAACAUGAUGCAUUACAUAAUAUUUUGUUUGCAAAAUAAAGAAGAAAGAUGACAUAAUAGAAACACUCACAGAGAGAGAAUACCUUUGACGAAAAGCUUAGAAGUGAAUCCUCUGUAAAAUACGAGUUGAGCUGCUGAAUUUUUCGAGUUUGAAUGAGAGACUGCGGCAAUUCUGAAAAUGUUUUUUUCUCAUUAGCGCCGCCAUUUUUGUAAUAGAGGGUAAAGAAAUAAGUAACAAAGUAAGAGGUGAGCAGAAGCGGCCCAAUUUAGUUAUAUGCCAUGCAUGCGAUCAAAAUUGAAUGGUUAAAUGGCAGCCACUAUGUUACAUCUUGUGUAAGUAACAAACCGCCUACAUGGAUCGUUGGAUUUGGGAAUAUGAAAUCCAAUGGAUAAUAUUGAAUUUAACGAAAAAUAGAUUACAGGUUGCAUUAGUCCAAGUUUAUUUCAAACAAACCAGCUGAUGAAAUAGCCGCUAAUCGAAUUUAAAAGGGAAAAAAAAUCAAAUUAUAGGUUAUAGAUCUUAUUUCCAUCUUAAAUCUAUGUCUUUCAUGGUGACUCAAUGUGUAUACUAAUUUAUAAUUUGGAUCUAUAUUAGAGGCUUAGAGCCAAUGCUUCCCUAAAUAACUAAGAAAAUUUUCUUUUCAUUGAUUAAAUAUUUAUUUCCAAUAUCUUGUAUAUGUAGGAUUUGAAAAGAGGGAAAAUAGUAGGGAUGAUGAUGAGAGAAGAUAAAGAUGUCGAUUCUCAAAUCUAAUAUUAAUGCUAUACUUAUAUUCCUAUAGUAAAUAAAUUAUCCAAGGUUCGUGGUUAAUGAUACGUUGCGAAAUUUUAACUGUCUAAUAUGGCUUUUCAUAAAGCUUAGAGAAAAGUAGGGCUUUUACAAAAAAAAAAAUUUAAUUAGAAUUGUCAAUGAUAAAUUUUAAAAAGUACUUUAAUAAAUAAGCUUUUAAAAUUAUAUAUAUUAUGAAAGAAAUGAAAUAAGAUUAUAUAAUAAAUUAAGAGUAUCUUAGAUAAUUGAACUUUAAAAAUAAAACUUGCUAAGAGGUUUAAAAUUUGAGUUUUUAAUAGUGGAUACAAAAUAGUUUAUUUAAUUCUCAAAAGUACUAUUCAAAAUACAACCAUGUAACACAAAAAUUUUUAAUAAGUUUUUUGGACUAGUUAAGUACUUUUUUUGAAAAAAAAUAUAUUUUUUUCAUUGAGUAAAUAAUACUAAACAUGCACUAAAGUGUUAGGACCAGAAGUUGUACAAAUAAAACCAUGAAAUUAUAUGUUGUUGGAUGGAUAUUUUUCAAAUUUGCUGUAGUUUUUUUUUUUUAAUUUUCUGCUGGGAAAUUGAAAUGAUGGCUACAACUUAAAUUAUGAAUGGAGUAAUCGGAGAAUAUUGAAACCCAUUUAAUUUGGAUCGUGCAUUGAGGGACGAAAGGAUAAAAAAUUUAAUUUUGAAAUUGCUGUUGGGUACGGUACAAUGACUUACCGUUGACAGCUUUUGCAACCGGAUUACAAUCGGUUAGUUCAAUAAUUUUAUAUCCCUAUUUAACCGCCACGUGCUGCUGUUACAUGGGUCAAUUAAUCAUGUCUUUACCGAUACUUACAACUGCUGGUUAAAUUCUGUUGUUUCCAAUAAUUUUAUGCUGUAUCUUCUUUAAUAAUAAAGAAAACUUGCAUUAAAAUUAAAAUUAGGGUAAUACCUGAUUUUAUAAAUAGAUUGCAAUGUAAUUUUGAAAAAUAAAACAAUAAUUUACAAAAUGUUUAUAACAUAAUUUUAAUUUUUUUCAAAAAGGAAAAACAACAAAAGUAAGAAAUAGAGAAUAAGGGCUACCAACUUUGUAUCUUAAACGGCCGUUAAAUUAUUUGUAAAUGAAAGCAACGGUCAGAUAUUGGUGGAUUAUGGAAACAUGUAAUCAUAAGGACUACGAGUUUUUUUUGUUACAUUGAUAUAUUACAAUUAAAAUUCUAUUGGUAUUUACAACUAGAAUUUCAUCUGACUAUCUUUGAUAAUUCUAAACUAGUACAGCCCAAAUUCUUAUUCUCAUAUAAUAUCAAAGAUAGAUAUAUAUUCUUUUCCUCCAUUAAUAACGAGACAUUUUUACUUCUAUCCAAUUUAAAUAGAACAAGAAUUAAGUCAUUUUAAUAGUUAGGACUCAGAACUCAUACACACUAGUUUGAGAGUGUGGGGUGUGACAAUGGGCCAAGAGACCAUUGACAAGUACAAAAGAGUGGUAGAAAUUAAUUCAAACCGCUACACACGCUAUUGCAACCAAAUUGAGGGCCCAUUUUUGUUUAUUUCGUUGAAAAGUAGUCUGUAAAAUUAACUCAAACCGCUACAUACGCUAUUGCAACCCAAUUGAGGGCCCAUUUUUGUUUAUUUUGUUGAAAAGCAGUUUGCGCAAUUAAUUCAAACUGCUACACACGCUAUUGCAUCUUUUGAAAAAGAAAAAUGGAAUAGUUUUUCAAAAUUAGUUUAGAGAAUAAGAUUUACUAAUAAUGAUGUUAGAAAUCUUAAUAUUUGAAUCUUAAUAUUAUCUAUCACUCGUUUAUUAAAUAAUAGAUUUCAUAGUUUGUAAAAUUACUUAACCACUUGAUAAAUGUUAUAUUUGUUGGGACUAGAUUGGGACUUAAAUAUUGGAAUAUCUAGUAUUGCAUAAAAAAAAAAAAACUUAACAAUUUAUCUUCACACGACUAAUUGUUUUUACAUCACAACUAACCUUAAUUAUUUUAAAAGUUAUAGUAUUAUUAAAUUGCCCUAACUAGUUAUCAAAAGGUGAAAGCAUGUUUAAAAAAGAAAUUACUAAGAAACAUUUGUUUAAACGAAGGUUAAGGUUAUGAUCAAUUAAUUAAGAAGAAACUUACUAUCAAAGGUUAAGAUUAUGAACAAUUUAAGGAAGUUAUUGAGUAGAGAAAGGGACAGAAUGGUUGUCUGAUUUGUCGGUGACAAGAAUGCUUGUGUUGUGAAAAGAAAGCCGAUGGUUUGUAAAUUUGUUGAAUUGGUCCCAAUUAGUAUAGUAACCAUCUAUUGAGCGGUAAAAUAUUAAUUUAAAUAGUCAUGAAAUCUAAUAUAUAAUAGAUUACUAACACACAUAAAUUAAAACUUAAUUGUCAGAAAUCAUAACAUUAUUCUAAGCUUCAGUGGAGUUCUCUUAACAGAUUAUGUGAGAUUGCCUAUAUUAAAAAUAUGUUGAGACUGCUUGUUGAAAGCAAUAUUCGCUUUUCCAUUAUAUCCAUAACUUUGAAUUGAUAAAGUUGUAUUCAGCAGCUCUUGAAAAGACUAAUUUAUUUUAACUAGUCAUAGAAAUAAGAGAGAAAAGGGGCUAUUUCUUGACUCAAAGUCAAUUAUAAUUAUCAAAACUUGAGGGGACAUCGCAUGCCUAAAUUCCACGCACCCUAAUACGGUUUGAUUUGCUUUCACGCGUUCAUGAAUUUCCAUGAAAGAGCCUGCCUUUCGUCUCUUUCGGGACAGUGACUACAAUAAUGGAAAAAAUUAUAAUUCUCGUUAGAUUGUAACCAAAUUAUUAUCCCUAAUUUUUUUAAGUUACAUAUAAUAAAAUUCAUGCUUAAGUAUUUAGUAAUUAGAGAGAGAUAGAGAGGAUUGAGGGCCAAUGUUUCGCGAUUUGGGGUCAAUUCAAAGUCAACUAACGUGAAAAACACGUGUAUGCAUAGAAAACGCUUAGAUUAUUUGUGUUCCAAGUGCAAGAAAUUAAGAAAAGAAAAAUUGAUUUCCUUUCAUGAACUUCCAAGAAAGAAAGAAGACCCUUCACCUUCUUCGUUACAACAAAUGAAUGAAUGAUGUUGAUAUGACAAAUACAAGCGCUAUUACAGGGAACAACAUAAGACUGAGACUUGAUAAAGUGUUUGUUAAAUUACAUGUUAUUUUCUUUUAACUUGAAUGAUGUUGAAAAUAAAAUAAAAUAAAAUUGUAAUCAGGGUGAUGUGUGGAAUAUAGUGAAAUAAAUAAAUAGAGAAGAGAAAUUUGUUGAUCAAUAUUAAAGACACAUCCAAAGUGAUCGUCAAAGUCUAGAGGUUCGGUAUGAUUAGCAUUUAUUUUAUUUUUUUUGGCUUAGCAUCAUAUAUAGUCACCUGUCGUGUGAUCUAGGACAGGUUUAGAAAUCCUUUUAUUUUAACUUCUGUAUUCUUAUUAUUUAAUUAGUUAUAGGGUUUUUAAGUAUUUGAGUAUUGAUCACAUGUCUCCUAAUCUAAAAAUAUGUUUUUACGAGUACAAAUAACAAACUAGGAUUUUAACAGCCUUUUAUACUAAACCCUAAAAAUACAUGAAUUUAUCAAAAUAAGUAAAUUAAUUUAAAUUAGUAUGGCAUAGUAGAAGUUUUACCUGCCGAAACAAAUUAAAAAAAUAUUACACUUAAAUCAAAUAUUGACAAAAAUAGAUAACAAUCUAAUGAGAAUCUUAACUAGACAUUUUUACUUCUAUCCAAUUUAACUGGAAUGAGAAUUAAGUCAUGUCAAUAGUUAGGACUCAUAACUCAUACACACUAAUUUGAGAGUGUGGGGUGUGACAAUGGGUCAAAAGACCAUUGACAAGUAUAAAAGAGUGGUCGUAAUUAAUUCAAACCGCUACACACGCUAUAUUGAGGGCCCACUUUUGUUUAUUUCGUUGAAAAGUAGUUUUCACAAUUAAUUCAAACUGCUACACAUGCUAUUGCGUUUUUUUUUUUUUUUUUUUUUUUGAAGGGAAGCAAUUUCAUUAAACCAAAACGAAUUACAGACUAUGUAAUAACCACAAAGGUGGAACGAAAUUCCACUCUUGGGGACCUGACAUAGAACCUACUGCCCUUGCAACAGAGUGAGCAGCCAGGUUCGUAGACCGACGUACAAACGAGAAUUGUACUUCUCCUAAAGACUUAGCUAAAGCUCGACAUUCAUCAACUAUUAAACCAAAACCGUUAGGCCCUGAAAACUCCUCAACUAGAGCUUGAAAUACUUGUAAACAAUCAGUUUCAACAAUGACACAAGGAAAUUGUAAGCCUUUAAGCCAACUAAGGGCCUCCCGAAUACCAAGAGCUUCAGCCUCCCUUGCUCCAAAAUUCCCAGCCAUUCCAGCACAUCUUGCUGUUAAGAAAACACCCUCUGAAUUUCGAAGCACACACCCAAAACCAAUAUUUCCCUGAGAUGAAAAGAUAGCAGCGUCAACAUUACGUUUGACCCAACCAAACUUUGGCCUCUCCCAACAUAUUGCCCCAUGGACCAGCUUAUGGACAUCAGUAUCAGCAUAGAAUUGUUGCUUCUUUGCUGCUUGCCACUGAUAGAGAAGUUGCCCAGCAGAAUUGAGCACUUGAUUCACUGAACCAGUUUUGUUAUUCCAUACUUUGUCAUUCCGAUUAAUCCAAACUCUCCAGCAGAUCAUCAUGGCAACAUGGCAUUCUUCUUUGCUGCAGCGUGUAAAGAUGUGAUCAAGCCACUCUAAGAAAGAAUAACAAUGGCCAACAAAACCCACAGAGGAAGAAAUCCAGCAAGCCUUAGCAACAUUACACUCAACCAACGAAUGGAGAAUAGUUUCAUCAGAAGCAAGACACACAGCACAAGUAGGGGGGAUAUUCACCCUCUUAGAAAUUAAAUUAACUGCAGUAGGCAGCACAUUAGUUGCCGCUCGCCAAACAAAAUUCUUAACCUUAUUCGGCACAUUCAAGUUCCAUAGUUUUCGCCACACAUCUGUGAAAGGGCCAGGGGUAAGAGAAUGUAAAACGUUAUAACAGCUACGGACUGAAUAGCAUCCGCGAGAAUCAGCCAACCAAUACCACACAUCAUCAUUUCGGCGGGAACUAAGGGGAAUUUGAAGAAUCAACUCCUUGUCUCUUGCGUUGAAAAGAUCCAAAACAAGAUCAUAAUCCCAAGCUCGUUGAUUAGGCACCAGUAAACUACUAACAGGAGCUGCAGCAAGCUCGGCAUGGAGAUUAGAAGGAACAAAUCCAUUAUUAGUAUCAGGAAGCCACGGAUCCUUACCAAUGAAGAUCGAAUUUCCACAGCCAACUUGCAGUCUACUCCCUUGAAUUACCACAUCCUUUGCAGCCAAAAUAGAGCGCCACAUAUAGCUAGGAUUAUGCCCCGCAGAAGCUUGAAGAACAGAGGUGCGCGGAUGGUAGCGAGCUUUAAUUAUCUUGGCCACAAGAGAUUCCGGACAAGUUAACAGCUUCCACAUUUCCUUUCCUAACAUCGCUAUAUUGAAUAAAUGAAGUUGUUUAAAACCAAGGCCACCAUAUCCUUUUGGUUUGCACAGAUUUUCCCAUUUGGACCAGUUUAAAAAAGAAAAAUGGAAUAGUUUUCCAAAAUUAAUUCAGAGAAGAAGAUUUACUAAUAAUGAUGUUAGAAAUCUUAAUAUUAUGUAUCACUCAUUUAUUAAAUAAUAGAUUUCAUAGUUUGUAAAUUUACUUAACCACUUGAUAAAUGUUAUAUUUGUUUGAAUUGAUCCAAUAGCUCUUGAAAAGCACAUAAUAAUCAUUAUAAAUUUAAUCAAAGACUAAGCAGGUCUUCUUUGCAUUUGAUCACUGGCAUUUCAGUUAAGUUUGUCAUUUAUUUAAAUUUUUCUUGCUUUCAAUUUCCACUGUUGUUUUUUUUAAUAAAAUAAUUUAUUUAAACUAGUCAUAGAAAUAAGAGAGAAAGGGCGCCAUUUCUUGACUCAAAGUCAAUUAUAAUUAUCAAAACUUGAGCGGACAUUGCAUGCCUAAAUUCCACGCACCCUAAAACGGUUUGAUUUGCUUUCACGCGUUCAUGAUUUUGCAUGAAAGAGAGUGCCUCUCGUCUCUUUCCGGACAGUGACUGCAAUUAUGUUAACGUGACGAAUACAAAACGUUAUUACAUACAAGAAUAAGUUUUUGGAGCCGAUACUUGAGGGAGGUUCUAUCUAAUUCUAAAGAUUGUAACCAAAUCAUUAUCCCUAAUUUUUUUAAGUUAAAUAAAAUAAAAUUCAUGCUUAAGUAUAAAUAAUUUUUUUAAGUUAAAUAUAAAAUAAAAUUCAUGAACUUCCUAGAAAGAAAGAAGACCCUUCACCUUCUUCGCGACAACAAAUGAUGUUGACAUGACAAAUACAAGCUCUAUUACAGGGAACAGCAUGAGACCGAGACUUGAUAAAUAUUAAAUAUAUAAAAUAAGUGGAGCAAACGAACAGAAUAAUAGAUUUUUAUAAUAUUCUUCAUAAAAAUCCAAGUUUUGAGCUGGCCUAUAAGCUUAUCUAGUGAAGUCUGGGUAUCCGCGUUGCCCAAGGUUCCGUUUGAAUCCAGGCCGUGUAGAUGUUUAAGACAUCGCAUAUGGACGGAGUGGAAAUAUUUUCAGUUGACUGAAUUAAAUAAAAAUAUAUUACAAUCAUAUUAUAUAUUAGCAGCAAAAAUAAAAAGAAAUGAAGAAAAACGCAUGCAAGACUUAGACAAGUCAAUUAAAAGCUGGGAGUAUCAUCAGUUCAAUUGAUUAUAAAUAGCGUAGAGCCAUCCUCUCGUUGUUGCAGAACUGAAGCAAAGAGACUCAGAAAGAGUGUGUGUAGGUGAUUAUAAUUAAGAAGAUAUAAUGUGUGGUUCAAAAAGAGUGUGGGUGAGUGAGUUAAUUUUCAUAUUAUUAGUAGUAAAAGGGUGGUGGAGUGAGGGAUGUUUGGAGCAAGAGAGGUCUGCUCUCCUACAACUCAGACAUUUCUUCAAUGAUGAUCAACUUCUUCAAAACUGGGUAGACGAUGAGUAUUAUUCAGAUUGUUGUCAGUGGGAACGGGUUGAGUGCAACGACACCACUGGAAGAGUGAUUGAAUUACAACUACUAGAAACUCGAAAACAGGGAUCAGCAGAGUGGUAUAUGAAUGCCUCUCUGUUUACUCCAUUUCAACAAUUAGAGUCUCUUGAUUUAAUGGGGAACAAUAUAGCCGGUUGUGUUGAAAAUGAAGGUCCUUAAUUUACUCUAUUUUAAUUCUUCCUCGUAAUUUCUUACAUUUAUCUGAUCCCUUUUGAUUUUUGUUUAAUUUAUUCGUGAUACAAUAAAAUUACUUUUUAUUUUUUGUCAGGUCUAGAUAGGUUAUCAAGGUUGAACAACUUGAAGUUUCUUUACUUAAACCUUAACCACUUCAACAACAGCAUCUUUUCAUCCAUAGGUGGUCUUUCAUCACUCAGACGCUUAUCAUUGGCUAGUAAUGAAUUGAAUGGAAGUAUUGAUAUUAAAGGUAAGCAAGCUUCAUCCCUUCUCCCGUGUCCCAUCUUUUGUGGAUCUUAUUUUAUUGACCGGCUGGAAGUAUUGAUAUAAGAUCUGGCUAGACUCUUGCUAGUUUAAGCUUCAAGGAUUUAAAUAUUAUAAAAAUAGGUUUAAGAAAUUAUCAAUAUAUGCAAUUUUCAAUGCUUCUCAUAAUCAGACACAAUUCAAUCUAAUUAUUUUGUAUGUCCUGUCUUCAAAAGUAAAGAAUUGUACACUAAAUGGAAAUCGACAUCGUAGCUUUUUAUUUUUUCUAAUGCUCUUUUUUCGUUAACGAGUUUAUAUCCUAAGAGGGAUUGGAUUGAAAAAAAAAAAAGUUUUGAUGUUCAAGGUAGGCCAUAAUAACCCGCAUCUUAUUUGUCUGCCUGUAUCUAAAUUUGUGCACUGAAUUUAGUAUUUUGGUUAUUGUGAAGGGAUCAGAUAUUGGCUUCCAUAGACCAACUUGUAUUUAGUUAAUUAAUUAAUUAACGACAUUUAAUAUUUAACAAAUUAAAAUUUCGUGUUUAAUCUAUUUUAAUUUUUUUAAGAAAAAAGAAAAAGAUAUAGCAAUAGGUAAAGCUAAAAUAAAUUUUAAUUCCUUACAAAUUUAAAUUCAUGGUUGUCAGCUAAAUAUACUUACUUAAAGCCACUCAGUCGAGCCCUUUGAGAGCUGCUUUAAAUUUUUAGCCAUAUUCUUUUCUUAUUAAUAAAAUUCUUUUCGCUGAGAUUUAACAUAAAAAAAGGAGAAAAUAAGUUAUUUAAUUAACUCUGUUUUAAGUGUUGGAAUAAAUACAGGACUGGAAUCCUUGAGUAACUUGGAGGAGCUGGGCAUGAGCGACAAUGCAAUCGACAAUCUAGUGGUUCCUAAAGGUAUACAAAAUGUUCAAAUAUUAAUAAUUUGGAGGACAGUUUAAUUGAUUUGAUUAGGGAAUGCCCAAUGACACUUACCCAAAAUAAUUUAAUCCGAAAUUGUAUCCCAAAUAGAUUACAGAGGUUUGAGGUAGUUGAAUACCUUUUAUUUGGGGAGGGGGGGGGGGGGGAGGGAGGGAAAUUGCAGUGAUAUAUGGAAGCAAGGUGUUGCAAUAAAUAAAGAAAUUCGUUGGUCAAUAUUCAAGGACUCAUCCAAAGUAAUCGUUAAAGUCUAAAGGUCUGCUCUCCUCCAACUCAAACAUUUCUUCAAUGAUGAGAAUUAUUCAGAUUGUUGUCAGUGGGAAGGGGUUGAGUGCAACAACACCACUGGCAGAGUGAUUAAAUUAGAUCUAGGAGCCACUAGAAAUCGGGAAUCAGCAGAGUGGCAUAUGAAUGCUUCUCUGUUUUCUCCAUUUCAACAAUUAGAAUCUCUUGAUUUAACUGGGAACAAUAUAGCCGUUUGUGUUGAAAAUGAAGGUCCUCAAUUUACUCUACUCUAAUUCUCCCUCGUAAUUUCUAGCAUUUAUCUGAUCCCUUUUAGCUUGUGUUUAAUUUGUACGUGAUACAAUAAAAUUAGGUUUUAUUUUUUAUUUUUUAUUUUUUGGCAGGUCUAGAUAAGUUAUCAAGGUUGAACAACUUGAAGUCUCUUUAUUUAGACUUUAACCACUUCAACAACAGCAUCUUUUCAUCUCUAGGUGAUCUUUCAUCACUCAAACACUUUUCAUUGGCUGGUAAUGAAUUGAAUGGAAGUAUUGAUAUUGAAGGUGAGUAAGCUUCAUCCCUUCUCCCGUGUCCCAUCUUUUGUGGAUCUUAUUUCAUUGAGCAGCUGGAGGUACUGAUGUUAGAUCUAGCUAGACUCUUGCUAGUUUAGGCUUCAAGGCUUCGAUUACUAUAAAAAUAGGUGUAAGAAAUCAUCAAUACAUGCAAUUUUCAGUGCUUCUCAAAAUCAGACACAGUUUAGUCUAAUUAUUUUGUAUGUCCCGUCUUUAAAAGUAAAGAAUUGUAUUGUAAUUGGAAAUCGACAACGUAGCUUUUCAUUUUCUGUAAUGCUCUUUCUUCGUUAACAAGUUUAUAUCUUAAGAGAGAUUGGAUUCGGAAAAAGUUUUCACGCUCAAGGUAAGCCAUAAUAACUUCUUUCUUCGUUAACAAGUUCAUUAGUUCAAUUGGCAACUGUUUUUUAAGUUUUUCUGGUUAGCCGUAUACUUUUUUGCUUAUUAAUAAAAUUCUUUUGCGCCGAGAUUUAAAAAUAAAGGAGGAGAAAAUAAGUUAUUUAAUUAACCUUGUUUUAAGUGUUGGCAUAAAUACAGGACUGGAUUCCUUGAGUAACUUGGAGGUGCUGGACAUGAGCUUCAAUGCAAUCGACAAUCUUGUGGUUCCUAAAGGUAUACAAAAUGUUCAAAUAUUAAUAAUUUGGAGGACAAUUUAAUAGAUUUGAUUAGGGAAUGCCCAAUGACACUUAUCCAAAAUAAUUUAAUCCGAAAUUGUAUCCCAAAUAGAUUACAGAGGCUUGAGGAAGUUGAAUACCCUUGUCUUAGGGGGAACGGAAAUUGCAAUGAUAGAUGGAAGUAAGGCGUUGCAAUCAAUAGGAUCACUACUGUCCCUCAAAACACUUUACCUUUUGUAUACUAAUUUUACAGGAACAGUAGUUAAUCAAGGUAAGUAAAUCUUUUAUGUCGAAAAUAAUUGAAUUAAUAUAUAUAGCUAAAAUUUAUUGUUUCUAUUUCUUUCUAAAUAGAAUUACACAAUUUCACCAACUUGGAAGAAUUGAUAUUGGUCGAGUCUGAUCUCCAUGUAAGCCAGCUUCUGCAAAGCAUCGCAUCAUUCACUUCGUUAAAGUAUUUGUCAAUGCAAGUUAGUGUACUCAAGGGUGCCCUGCAUGGUCAAGGUAAAUUACGGGUAUCUGAAGCUUUUGUGAUAUUAAUUCGAUAAUGAUUCUUUCUUUUCAAGUUUAUUUUCUCCCGUAAAAUAAUAUUUUUUUCUUUUAAAUUUUAUAUACUUUCACUGUCCAAUAGUUCUACCUUCUCUAAAUUGUAGGAUUCUUGAUUAAGGUUAAUGAAUUUUUAGUUCUGUUAUGUUAAGAAUAUUUCGAUCGCUUAGAAGAGUAAGGAAAAAUAAGUAAAUUAACCCAAAAAAGAGAAAAGAACAGGACCGGAUUAUCCUUAUUCCCUUGCAUUAUGUGAUCAAUAUCAAAAUUAUAACCAUUUCUUGUUUAUUGCUUGUAGAUUUUCAUAAAUUCAAGAAUUUGGAACAUCUGGACAUGGAUUGGGUGCAGGUUAACGUCAACACCAGUUUUUUUCAAAUUGUCGGCGAAUCGAUGCCUUCUCUCAAGUUUUUAUCACUGGCAAAUUCAAGUCUUAAUAAAAACACCAUUCUUGAUCAAGGUUAAUUAAUGAUUCUCCUUCUCCCUCUCUCGCAUCAUAACUAAAUUUAAUUGAGAAUAUCUAUAAUGCUAGCUAUUUAUAAACUUAAUGAAAGUUGAUGAGGAGCCAUAUUAAUGACAAAAACAACUGUAAAAUAGUGCGCUGUUGUAGCGUUGAUUGAAAAAUAAUGCUAAUGUUUUACUUAACAACACUAUAAGUGAUCAAACUUAAUUUUUAAUGUGUACUUUAAAGAUUUUAUGCAAUUAUUUAAGUUUUAUGCAAUUAUAUUUUUCAGGACUUUGUCGGUUAGUGCAUCUGCAAGAGUUAUACAUCAGCGGUAAUGAUUUGAGAGGUAGCUUGCCAUGGUGCUUGGCAAACAUGACAUCCCUCCAAGUGUUAGAUGCCUCUUCUAAUCAACUUACUGGAAACUUUUCCCCAGGCCUUUGUGAGUUGGUGCUUCUGAGAGAGUUAUACAUUCACAACAAUGAUUUAAGAGGUAGCUUGCCUUUGUGCUUGGCAAAUUUGACUUCCCUUCGAGUAUUAGAUGUCUCUUACAAUCAACUUACUGAAAACAUCUCAUCUUCCCUCAUGCAUCUAAUAUCUAUGGAAAAGCUCAUACUUUCAAAUAAUCACUUCUUCCAAAUCCCUAUUUCACUUAAACCACUUUUCAAUCUCUCAAAACUCAAGACUUUCGAGGGUGAAAUAUGCGCAGAAACUGAGUCACAUUAUAAUUCUUUGACCCCAAAAUUCCAAUUGACUUCUAUCUCACUGUCUGGUUACAUAGAUGGUGGCACAUUUCCCAAAUUCUUGUACCAUCAGCAUGACUUGAAGAAUGCUGAUCUCUCACACCUUAACUUGAGUGGAAAUUUUCCAAAUUGGUUGGUAGAUAACAAUACGAACUUAGAGACGCUUCUUCUUGCCAACAACUCUCUUUUUGGAUCAUUUCGGAUGCCAAUUCAUUCCCACCAAAAAUUGGCAAAAUUGGAUGUCUCCAACAAUUUCUUUCAAGGCCAUAUUCCGGUGGAAAUCGAAACAUAUCUGCCAGUCUUAAUGGGUUUAAACUUAUCUAGAAAUGCUUUCAACGGUAGUAUUCCCUCUUCAUUUGCUGAUAUGAAAAUGUUGGAAAGGUUGGACAUAUCCUACAAUCAGUUGACUGGUGAAAUCCCUGAGCGCAUGGCCACGGGUUGCUUCUCAUUGGAAAUUCUUGCAUUGUCAAACAACAGUUUGCAAGGUCAUAUAUUCUCUAAAAAAUUUAACUUGACAAAUUUAUUAAGGUUGCAGUUGGAUGGUAAUAAUUUCAUUGGAGAGAUCCCAGAAAGCUUAUCUAAGUGCCGUUUGUUAGGAGGAUUAUAUCUGAGUGAUAAUCAUCUCACUGGUGAGAUUCCAAGAUGGUUGGGUAAUUUGUCAUUUUUACAAGAUAUUAUAAUGCCCAAUAACAAUCUUGAAGGGCCAAUUCCAAUCGAGUUUUGUCAGCUUGAUUCUCUGAAGAUUUUAGACCUUUCAAACAAUAGUAUUUUUGGAACUUUACCAUCUUGUUUUAGUCCAGCAUCUAUCGAACAAGUUCAUUUGUCGAAAAACAAGAUAGAAGGACGGUUGGAAAGUAUAAUCCAUGACAGCCCCAAUUUGGUGACAUUAGAUCUCAGUUAUAACCGCUUACACGGAAGUAUUCCAAAUCGGAUUGACAGACUACCUCUGUUAAGCUACCUUCUUUUAGCUAAUAAUUAUAUUGAAGGCAAAAUACCAGUUCAAUUAUGCCAGUUGAAGGAAGUGCGGUUGAUUGAUCUUUCUCAUAAUAAUCUAUCUGGUCAUAUUCCUCCUUGCUUGGUUAACACUUCACUCAGUGAAGGUCAUCAUGAGGCAAUAGCUCCAACUUCUAGUUCGCGGGAUCAAGCGUCUGCCUCUGUACUUCCAUCUGAGGCUCCAAAUGGAUCUCCGAUGGGAAAGGAAGAAACUGUACAGUUCACAACAAAGAAUAUGUCCUACUAUUAUCAAGGAAGAAUUUUGACGAGUAUGUCUGGGAUUGAUCUUUCUUGUAACAAACUGAUAGGUGAGAUUCCUCCUCAAAUUGGAUAUCUUACAAGGAUUCAUGCGCUAAAUCUAUCUCAUAACAAUUUGACGGGCACAAUCCCGACAACAUUUUCAAACCUGAAGCAAAUCGAAAGCUUGGACCUCUCCUACAACCUAUUGCAUGGGAAAAUCCCUUCUCAGCUCACUGUGCUAACUACAUUGGCGGCCUUCAGAGUAGCAUACAAUAACUUAUCAGGCAAAAUUCCGGAUAGAGUUGCACAAUUUUCAACUUUCGAGGAAGAUAGCUAUGAGGGGAAUCCUUUUCUUUGUGGAUGGCCACUGUCUAAAAGUUGCGAUGAUAAUGGAUUAACAACAGUGACAACAGAAGCUUACACUGAAAAUGAAGAAGUUGAUAGUUUAAUUGACAUGGACAGUUUCCUGAUCACUUUUACAGUAUCUUAUGGAAUUGUGAUAUUAGGAAUUAUUGGAGUUUUGUACGUAAACCCCUAUUGGCGGCGAAGUUGGUUUUACCUUGUUGAAGUAUGUAUGACCUCUUGCUACUAUUUUGCAGCAGACAAUCUUGUUCCUAGAAAAUUCUAUGGUGGAUGGAUGUAAUUUCAUUACAUUACAACUUAUAUGUAAUUUUCAAAGAAUUUUCUUUUGCAUGCAUGGAAUAGCAACUCAAUAAAAGUAUUUGAUGCAAAUUGUCCAAGAACAACUUAGUAAUUUCAUUGCUACUAUUCGGUUGUAUGUAUACAGUUAAUGAAAUUUUUAACCAUUCGCAGAAUACCCUUAGGAAUUUCUUUAGAUGGCGGCAAAAAACUAAGAGAUUCGGGGCUCUACACGGUCUGAAUGAAGAUUAACUUAAUGCCCUCAGGAUUAUGUGUAAGUUCUCUUUUAAAUUUAAGGGGUUGAGAUUUCAGGUCCGGAUGAAAGUUGAAUGCAGGUGACGAGACUUCACUGGGACAAACUUAAAAUAAAAAAUUAUAGUCCACAGUAAGAGCAAUGGGUAGCUUAACUUAUGGAAGAUAACUAGAACUUGGAAUAACUUAAAUUAGCUAUAAAAUUAAGACCAUUAUACAACUAAAAAGAAAGAAAAAUUGUUUGCUACUACAUAUCAAAACUAGUAAUAGCAAUGAAAGAUGGCAGACUUCUUACUUAAACAGAUGAGAGGCUACAAAUAAAAAAUUUGUGCAAAUAAAUAUAUGAUAAAGAGCAUAAUACUUUCUUGGGGGCUAAAAAUAAUAUACAACUUGUGAAAUAUAAAUUGAGCUACCGUUACCUUUUAGAUGUGGCAACUUUCGACUUUUGAGGCACUUUGGAAUAUGCAUUCAGAAUCCUGCAUUUGGAAGCCAAAUAAAUAAUGUUAAUAACAAUUUUACAAUAGAAAAAUUAAAAAUUGAUAAAUGGCAGUUGUAAUUUAUGUAUGUGUAAAGAUAGCAUCACAUCCAGGGUCCUCCCAUAAACAUGCUUGUAACAAGAAUUAGUUUGCCUCAACUGCUAGCAACUAUACAAUAGUAAAAAUCACUCUUAUGAACUCAACAAUACUAGGCACCAAUAAGAGUAUGAUACAGCCAUUCUAAAUGGAAGAGAAUACAACUGUUUUACAACUAUGUUGCAUCAGGAGAUAUGUUAGGAGUUUUAAUCCAGAUACCUUCCAACCCAAUUAGGAAAACUCGAGUCAGAAACCAGGAGCUGCAACCGAACCUUACAAUCUUGAAGGAAGAAGGAGACUUGGGGCAUUUUUCUAGAUAGGUGACUUACUAGAUCUACUGCCAAGAAAAUAUCUAUUGCUUUGAACCUCCAUUGAAAUUUCUUUUCCCUUUUUCUUAUUUUGACUUGGAACUUUCCAGCAUCAUCUAUUUGAUCUUUUUUAAAGCUAAAAUAGCAAUCUACGGGUUGUCAACAUCUUAUCCCCCCCCCCCCCCCCCGAGGGGCCCCCAAAAAAAAAAACAUCAAUGAGUUGUCAAUAAAUAGCGCCUACUCAACUUAUGUUCUCCAAUGGAUGACAAUGUGCAAAUCGACCUAGCAGCCACAUUUUUCCCCCCUUUCAACCACCAUUAGGCAACUUUUCUAACCUUUCUUCAUUGCCCACGUCUACAGAACUAUCAUAUAAAGACUACAAGAUAGACGCACGGUAUCUAAAUAAUUGUACCAACCCCCUCUCCUGAUUGUCAUAAAACGGCCAAUAUUUAACGCUCGACAACAAAAUUGCAAAUACUCUAGCCUCUAUAUUAUUGGCAUAUAAAUAUUUUCGGUUAGGUACAUUAUAUUCUUCGUUCUAAAACCUCAAUUAUUAGCUAGUACUGUGAUAAAAUGAUUCAUCACUGAAAUUAAAACUAGUUCACGUACAAAUAAUCAAAACUGAAAUAGAAGCAACGAUAAACCAACCUGUAUUACGUCGAUUCAUCACAACAAACUGAAAUCGAGGCUGUGUGUUCCUGAAAAUUGAAAAAAAUAAUAAUUUCACCAACUUCAUAUGUAAUACAAUCUCCAAAACACUGAAUAUCAAAUGAAAAAAUGGAAAGCAUAAGAUAGAAAAGAAUCUAAUUUUAUUGACCUUUUGACGACGACGAGAGAGCCUUCAACAUCCUUACGACUCCAUUGGCUGAGGUCGAUGUUGAACUCGUAGAAGGUGACAUGAGCGGCCGUGAUGAGGAUCUCCUCAAUGAAUGGAUCGAUUCGCUGAAGAACUGUCAGGUUCAGGAGUUUUGUGCUCUGCUGGUCCAGAUUAAGCAUCAAUUUUCCGUUAUGCGACAUUUUUCAUAGUCGUUUUGGGCUCUGCCCCGAGCACAAGCCCCAGGGUUUUUCUGUGAGCUCUCUCUUUUGUAAAUAAAGUGUUUGAUGAGAUAGCCGAGAGAGAGUGAAAGUGUUGAACAGCCAAACACGGUCUCGAGAUUGAUCUUCCUUUAACUUCUUUUAAACAUUUGGGAAAUAGCAUUUAUUUCUUUUAGUUUCUCUACUUUUUUUUUCCUUUAUGUCAUUUAGACCCCAAAAUUAGAUUUAUUAUAAUCCUAUUUUACCCAUACACUAUUAACCCCUUUUAUUUUUAAAAUUUGUCAAUAUUAAUGUGUUAGAAUAAUGUUAAAAAUCUCAAUUAUUAUCUCAAUGUUUCAAUCAUAACUAAUGUGAUGACUCAUUGGUAACUGCAACAUUAACUUAAUUAUUAAUGUAACACAAUAAAAGUUUGCCACUUCGGCAUUGGUCGGAGUGGUGGGAUGCUUGUGAGGGCAGCGGUUCAAGCCCCCACAAAAGCAUUUGUGGGGGCUAACGUUGUGGGGGCUAACGUGCUUAUUUGUUUAAUAUUUCAAAAAUUUCCUCUCCCUCGUGCAAUACGAGUGGAGUAUGGACAUCCCUCUUCUGUAAGGGAUUAUUUGUCUGGGCAUGUACUUCACAGAAUUCAAUGUAAUAAUAUAAGUCCCAAUCAUGUAUUUCUGAUUGUAAAUAUCAGUGUAAUAUAUCUGCUGUUGAUGCGAGAUUCUGGUUCUCCUCGUUCUACGACCAGGAUCUCUGCUCGAUCAACUUUACCACGACCAGGAGGUCUCCUAGUAAUGCUUCUUCUCCAGAUGUCCCUGCACACACAGACAAGUCAGAGUACGCCGGUUGUUCUCCCGGCGCAAACCCUCCGACGCUCAAGUCAGAUAUGAAGGUUCGGGGAACGCUUGCCACAGGUCUUAUGGCUUUUUCGUGGUUUUCUCUUUUAUCUUAAAAAUGCUAACCCUUUUACCUUCGUUGGCUACCUUUUUAUAGGCUUCUCCGAAUCCCCGUUUUCCGCUUUUUGCCAGACGGUAUGGGACUCUGACUGCUGCGUCAUGGGCGAAGGUGGGAUCUUGCGUGUUACGCCACGGUUCUGGGGAAAGCGUGGCUGUCGUGCCUAGAUUCUCGGGCUGGAGAGCAUGUCUUGCCAACUGCCGUCGACCGGGUCUCCUCGCUUCUCGACCUCUAGCCGGAAUGAUCUUAUGCCUCUUACAGGAAAUUGACCUCGCGGAUGACGUGCUCGUGGACGAGCAGGAUAUUUCUGCUCCUGUUCCCCCGCGCAUCAGGCUUUUACGGAACACACCGGCUCGAGGAACUCUGCCCCCAGAUAUCUGCUCACCAUGCCUGGUCUCGUCGACGUAUUUCUCCUAAACACCGGUCCCCCAGUUUCUGGUGUUGGGUAAUGUAGUGGACCAGCAGUAGAAACUCGAUAGUACUCGCUCACGUGGGACUGGAAAAGGCUGCCAAGAGUCGUGUCGCAUUUAAUUGCGGACGGGGUGACGUGGCGAAAAUCCCCCCCUCCAUUUGAAUUUCAAACCGACGGUUAUGAGGCCCUCGGGAUUCGGCGCUGUUAAAUGCUGGCAACCCAAGAGUCCGUCCCCAUUAGAAAAACCAAAUCCUCUCGAACGGCAUAUUCAUCAUCCACUACGUCUCCGUCUCUGUCUCUCCGGCAAAGAAGUUCCGGCAUAAAAGUCCUCCAUCUCUGAUUUUCACCGACUGAACCAUUACUUCAGGUAUUUCUUCUAUCUCCUUGGCCUCGGAUAGUUGUAGAUAAUUUCUCUUUUCUUCUGUUUGGGUAGUAGUUGGUGGUGUUGUGGUUAGAGCUUAGGGAAUGUCGAAAGGCAAAGAGAAGGUCAUUGAGGUUGACGACGACGAGUUGGACUUCCUGCCUAGUCUGCUCACCGACCCUGCUUUUGACCCCGGGAUUCCCUUAGAGCCCACUAGGUCUAGUGUCGGGACUAGUGCUAGGAGGAUGUCUCCCCAAACAACCUCUACGAGCGGAAGUAGUGGUGAGGAGAGAUCUUCUGACUCUGAGGAUACGUUGAGUGAGAAUGGCGAAGGUGAUUCUGGUGAGGUGUCUCCAUCUAGAACAUCACGACCAGGAGAACGGGGUACAGUAGGAGGCAGAGCCUUGUCGCGCGAUUAUGCCAUUGAUUACAUGACGUGCACGACCUCGUUUGACGAGCUCAAGGACCUCCGGCUUAGGUAUAGCAUUCCUGGUGAGAUACCUCUCAAGGUCCCAGGAAAGAAGGAUGCUCCCAGCCGGCCUCCUAGGGGAUACGUUACCCUGUUUUUAGAGAGCUUUAAGUACGGGCUGAGGUGUCCCUUGCAACCCUACUUUGCCCGGAUACUUAACGGGCUAAACCUAUCUCCUGGUCAGCUGAAUCCCAAUGGGUGGAGAGUGCUCUCUGGUCUGUUCAUAUUGUGGGACAGAUGUUGCCAGAGCGAGCCCACGGUUGAUGAGGUGAGACACCUGUACCAGCUAAAGAGCAGCCCCAAAGAUGCCGGCUGGUACUACUUCCAAUCUAGCACCAAGAGCAGGAAACCUAUAACCGACCUCCCCACUGGUGGUGGUGGGAAUUGGAAGAGAAAGUUCUUUUUUGCUGGGGGUCCUUGGGGUCAGGUUGCACAAAUGAACGGGAAGGAUUAUCGGGUCCCACCCCGUUUCACGGUCCCAGGUUGCCUGCUUGCUUUUAGAUGUCUUGUAUCCAUAAGUGUUCUUGCUUUAUUGGCUUGUCUCUAACCAAGUGUCUGUUUGUGUUGUAGUUUCUUGGGGUGUUCACUUCCCGCUCCCACCCGACCAGCUCAAACGGGUCGAGGAUGUGCUCGCCAAUUCCUGCUCGAGCCGGGAACUGUUAACUACGUACAACUUGCUCGAGUCUCGCUUGAUACUUCCUGGCCAUAGGAUGGAGGACGCUGUGAUUGGGGCUCUGACCCGAAAACGUUCUCGACCCCCAACCACGAAGAGGGACCAGAGUAAGGAUGCCCCUGUGGCAAAGCGGGCCAACAUCGUGCAGCAGGUCCCACCCUUGAAGAUUUUACCUCCUGCUCCCGUAAAAAUUGGGGAAGCUGGUGGAGCUGCCACAGAUCCUGCUUCCUCUCCUCCUCCUGUCGGGCCCCGAUCUCACUUACCUGACAGCCGAGCAGAACAUCUGGUCCUCUACUUCAAUGAGUUAACUAAACUCGUGAGCAGGAAGGAUCUGGAGGACUUUGACGGCCGCACCUUGGGUGAGUUGGUGGGGGCCAUGCAGCAUAGCGCUUUCCACCUCAGCUGCAUGACCACCUAUUACAAGGCUAAGGUUGGCCGCUAUGACCGGAAGAUGAAGGAGGAUAUUCAAUCGGCGACGACCAGAGCUGACGUUGCCGAGAAGAAAGCAGGGGAGCUGAAUCUCGAGAAUCUGAAGCUGAUGGAGCAAGAAUCACUUGCUCAAGCAAAAGCCAUCGCCCUCGAGGAGGAGCUUAUCAAGGUCAGGGAGGAUCUGCAAAGGCAGAAGACAAUGUAUGAGGCUCAGCUCGAAUCUCUUCGCGACUCCCACCGAGCUCAGGCCGAGAACUUGGAGAGGGAGGCCGACAACCAGUACGACCAGGGACUUCGGUAUUCCUAUCGUUGCAUCAUGGCCGUCCUCGGGAAGCAACACCCUGAUCUGAAGAUGGGUGACCUUGCGGCUGGUGUUGCUCAACAUAUGGACGAGGAGGCGGCCAAGGAGGAUGCCAAAGGGGUAGAGCCGAUCGUGAUAGAGGAGGAAAACUCUCCUCCUCAUGUAGUCCCUGCUGAUGUUGGCGAGGCGAGCACCCACCCCAAUGCCUCUAGUGAUACCCCUCCUGCACCUGAGGAGGUCCAGCCAACCGAUGCCGCUGGGCUCACUGAUCCACCAUCUUCUUGAUAUAUUUCUUGUAUUGUAAUGACAAUGUUUAUGAAGAUUAUUCCCUCUGUUAAUUAUUAACAAAUUAAUAAAAAUGUUUUUGAUCACCUUCUUGUGUCGUAAUUACGAAUUAAUUUUCGUUUGAGAAUCUGCUUGUCUUUGUCUAAACGAGCAGGUUCCGGCUUGGCUCAUGGUUUUGCCACAUGCCUUUGAAGAUUUUUCAAUGCUUGGGAUUCGGUUUGCCUUCGCGCAGUUGAGCAGAUCCUGGCACGCUUGGCUUCUGUCUCGCCAUAAGAUAGGCUUUGAGACUUGACGAGCCUUUGCAUGCCUUGGAUUCUUCAAAGCUCAGGAUUCUGCUGCCUUCUCGUGGCCGAGCAGAUCCUGGCAUGCUUGGCUUCUGUCUCGCCAUAAGACAGGCUUUGAGACUUGACGAGCCUUUGCAUGCCUUGGAUUCUUCAAGGGUUGGGAUUCUGCUGCCUUCUCGUGGCCGAGCAGAUCCUGGCAUGCUUGGCUUCGGUCUCGCCAUAAGACAGGCUUUGAGACUUGACGAGCCUUUGCAUGCCUUGGAUUCUUCAAGGGUUGGGAUUCUGCUGCCUUCUCGUGGCCGAGCAGAUCCUGGCACGCUUGGCUUCUGUCUCGCCAUAAGACAGGCUUUGAGACUUGAUGAGUCUUUGCAUGCCUUGGAUUCUUCAAGGGUUGGGAUUCUGCUGCCUUCUCGUGGCCGAGCAGAUCCUGGCAUGCUUGGCUUCUGUCUCGCCAUAAGACAUGCUUUGAGACUUGACGAGCCUUUGCAUGCCUUGGAUAAUUUCUUGGUUUCAAGCGUAAAAUUGCUUCAUUAAUGGCAGGAUUCGACUUACAUAAAAUUGUUUGGGACAUAAAGCGUAAAAGAUAAACGAUAAUGAGCAUGAGCAGAAAUAGCUCUCAAAUGUGAACAAAUCUUACUGGAAGUAUUUUCGGAGGUGUGCUGCGUUCCAUGGGCGUUUCACCUCGUGGCCGUCCGCGCGAACCAGCCUGUAAGCUCCGGGUCCCGCUAUCUGCUUGACUCUAUAUGGCCCUUCCCAAUUCGGUCCCAGCACUCCUUGAGUCGAAUCUUUGGUGCUCUGAUUCACUCUUCUCAGUACCCAGUCUCCGACCCUGAAUUGCCGUAUGUUCACCUUCUGGUUAUAAUACCGAGCAACCCUCUGUUGGUAAGUGACUGAUCGCUCGGCUGCUUGCUCCCUCCUUUCCGUCAGCAGAUCAAGAUUCAAACAUAUCUGCUCGUCGUUCUCCUGCUCAUUGAAAUGAUCUGUCCGGUGUGUGGUCGUUCCUAUCUCAGCCGGCACGACCGCUUCGUGUCCGAAAGCCAAAGCGAACGGUGUCUCCCCCGUUGCGGUUUUGUGGGUUGUUCUGUAUGCCCAUAGCACACCUGACAGCUCGUCAACCCACGCACCCUUUUUUGCACCAAGCCUGGUUUUCAAAAGCCUCUUGAUGGUCUUGUUGGCUGCUUCUACUUGUCCAUUCGAUUGAGGGUGAGCAGGCGAGCAAUACUUCAGCUCUAUCCCGAGGUUCUGGCAGAAAUCCCUGAAGCUGUGAUUAUCGAACUGCCUGCCAUUAUCCGUUACCAAGGCAUAAGGGAUCCCGUAUCGACAGACCAGGUUUCUCCACACGAAGUCUGUUGUUUUCUUCUCCGUGAUCCUGCUAAGGGCUUCCACCUCUAUCCACUUCGUGAAGUAAUCUAUAGCAACUAUUGCAUGUGUUGCUGCUCCUCGUCCUUUUGGCAAUGGGCCGAUCAGAUCAAUUCCCCAUUGAGCAAACGGCCAAGGGGAGGCCAUAGAGGUGAGCUUCUCUGGUGAUUGGUUGGAGAAAUUUACAAAACUCUGGCAGCUUGCACAACCCCUGGUCUUCUUUUGCGCAUCCUGGUGCAUUGUCGGCCAGAAAUAUCCCUGCCUUAGGACCUUGUGGGCCAGGGACCUCCCGCCAGAAUGAUUUCCGCAAAUUCCUUCAUGUACUUCUCUCAGCACGUAAUCCGCGUCGUCGUCAUCCAAACACCGAAGGAACGGUAAUGUGUAUCCUCGCCGAUACAGUACCCCAUCGAUCAUCGUGUAUCUCGAGGCCUGAGCUCUAAUCUUCCGAGCUCGCAGCUUAUCUGGUGGUAAUACCCCGUCUCUAAGGUAUGAAACUAUCGGGUCCCUCCACGAGCAUUUUUGUUCUAUCCGCAACACCCCCAAAUUCUGCUCGAUACUUGGGCUGGACUUCACUUCUAGAGGGACGGACUUUGGCAUUUUUGGGUCGGCUACUGCUGCCAUCCUAGCCAAAAUGUCUGCUCGACUAUUCUGCUCCCUGGGGAUUUGUAUCACCUCCACUGCUUCGAACUUCCCCAUCAUCUGCCUGACUAUCUUCAGGUACUGUUCCAUCUUCUCCUCUCUUGGUUGGAAUCUUUCACUGACAUGAUUCGCAACCAGCUGGGAAUCAGUUCUGAUCUUAACUCUGUCUGCUUUCACGGCCCUAGCCAAUUCCAGGCCUGCUAUCAAGGCUUCGUACUCUGCCUGGUUAUUUGUGACUGCAAAUUCCAACUUUACAGCAUAAGAGAUCUCCUCCCCCUCUGGGCCUUCCAGGACAAUCCCUGCUCCUGAACCCCGCUCCCCUGAUGACCCAUCUACAGACAUCUGCCAUACUUGAGUUUCGUCAUUGCCUAUAACUGCAUCUUGUUGACCUAAGCAUGUUUCGGGCUCUGUGAAUUCAGCUACGAAAUCGGCCAUUGCCUGGGCCUUUAUCGCUGCGCGGGGUUUAUAGUCUAUGUCGAACUCGCUCAGCUCUACAGCCCACUUGACGAGCCGCCCAGAGGCAUCUGGCUUGUGCAGAGUCUGACGCAAUGGCUGGUCUGUUAUUACCGAGAUCGGGAAGGCUUGAAAAUAUGGCCUCAACUUCCGAGCAGCAACCACAAGGGCAAGUGCCCAUUUCUCCAACGGUGGGUACCUGGUCUCAGCGUCGAGCAGGGCCUUGCUGGUGUAGUAUAUCGGAUACUGAACUCCUUCUUCCUCUCUCACCAGAACAGAACUGGCGGCCCGAUCCGAUACCGCCAAAUACAGAUACAACUUGUCCCCAUUCCUCGGUGUGGACAGCAGCGGAGCUUGCUGCAAGUAUUGCUUCAAGUUCCGGAAGGCUUCCUCGCAUUCUGGGGUCCAUUCUGUUUUCUUUCCCCUCCUUAUCACUUGAAAGAAUGGCUGACACUUAUCUGUAGCUUUGGAUAUGAAUCUGCUCAACGCCGCCAACCUCCCCGUGAGGCCCUGCGUCUCCUUCAGGUUACGAGGAGACGUCAUUUGCACAAUCGCCUGGAUUUUCUCGGGAUUUGCUUCAAUCCCCCUAUGGCUCACCAUGAAUCCCAGGAAUUUCCCUGACUCGACCCCAAAAGCACACUUCUCCGGAUUGAGCUUCAUCUUAUACUUCCUCAAAAGCUCGAAUGUCUCCUCGAGGUGUCUGACAUGUUCCUUCGGGAUCUUGGACUUGGUGAUCAUGUCAUCCACGUACACCUCCAUGGUUUUCCCGAUCAACGGCUUAAAGACUUUGUUCACCAGCCUUUGAUAGGUGGCCCCAGCAUUCUUGAGACCGAAUGGCAUCACCCUGUAACAGAACAAACCUUGGUUAGUGAUGAAAGCCGUGCUCUCCUCAUCCUGCUCGUACAUGGGGAUCUGGUUGUAUCCCGAGAAUGCGUCCAUGAAGCUAAGCAGACCAUGUCCAGCUGUUGAAUCUACUAGCUGAUCGAUCCUUGGUAAAGGGAAGCUGUCUUUUGGGCACGCCUUGUUGAGGUCUGUGAAAUCCACACACAUCCUCCACUUGCCGUUUGCCUUCUUUACCAACACCACAUUUGAUAUCCACUCUGGGUAACUGACUUCCCGAAUGAACCCUGCUCUCAGGAGCUUCUCCACCUCGUCAUUUACAGCCUCAUACCUCUCCUGGUUGAAGCACCUCCUCUUCUGCCUUACUGCCCGAGCACCUUUCUUUAUUGCCAGCUUAUGACACGCUACCUCAGGGUCAAUCCCUGGCAUGUCUUCAUGUGUCCAGGCAAACACAUCAGCAUGAGCCUGUAAGCAUUUCACCAACUCCUGCUUUUGCUCUCCCUUCAGUCUCGACCCGAUUCUGAUCGUCUUUCCCGGGUUCUCUGGUCCCAUGCUUACCGUUUCCAGAUCCUCUACAGGUUCUUGUCUGCCAGUCUUGUUUUCUACUCGGGUAUCGAAGGAUGUUAUCUGCAUUGCCUCCCUUGCUGCCGAGGAGUAGCAGCUUCUUGCGAUCCUCUGGUCUCCUCGUACCACUCCUACUACCCCAUUCACCCGGUACUUCAGAGCCAGAUAAUGGUUGGACAAUACCGCUUUGCUCAUCCUUAAAAACGGCCGACCUAGGAUCAUCUGGUAAGGACCUUCCUCAUCCACUACGACAAAGUCCAGUAUCAUUGUUCUUUCUGUUAGGGGGCUCCCAAUUGUGAUAGGUAGUUCGACCACGCCCAGGGGAACCAGCUUCCCUCCUCCGAACCCCUUCAAGGAGGUGUUGGUGUAUUCCAACUUCCGGUCGGCUAUUCCCAUCUCUUCCAGGGUUGACUUAAAUAACACAUCAACUGAGCUCCCUGUAUCAACCAGUAUCCGGUCAAACUUCUUGCUAGCGACCGUAGCCUUGAUGACUAAGGCAUCCUCGUGGGGGUAUAGGAUCCCUUCCUCAUCCUCAUCCGUCCACAUGAUUGGCACUUGCCUGACCCUUGCCCGUUUGGCUGCUGGGGUGUUGAGGAGUACCUCUUUACUGGUCAUGGCGUACCUAGCAUAAUUUUUUCUCGAUCUGUUUGAAUCUCCGGCCAACGUUGGGCCCCCCGCUAUCACCCUUACUGCGGGCUGCUCGUGCCUCAAGAUUCUAUCACUCUGCUCCCCUUCAUCUGUUGUGGCCACCAUCGGGAAAGUCCCAUCCAUAAACUCGUCCAGGUACCGAUUUCUCACCAAAUCUUCGACUUGGGUCUUGAGAUCUCUACACUCUGCUGUGGUAUGGCCAUGGGUGCCAUGGAACUUACAAUAACGUCCUCUAUCCCUCCUGUUGGGUAGCUUUGUUAUUGAUGUAGGGAGGUGCAGCAGCCCUCGAUCCUUUAUAGCCUCGUACACCUCAUCCAGGGACAUCUUCAAGGGAGUGUACCGCCCAUAGUCCUGGUGCUGGUCGAUCCGAUGUACUGCUCUUUCUCUGUUUGUCCCGCUCUGAGUUGGGGGCGGUAGAAGUACUUCUGGUCUGCUCGUCCUGCUACCGUGGGAAUGUUGAUGAAGACCACCAGAUGCCGGAUCAUUUCUUGUCCAAGGUUCCCUAGCUGGGGAACGAGGAGGUUGCGCCCUGCUGCGCUGAUACUGUGGUGGCCUCUGAUGAGGCUGGUAAGCAGUGACCCUGCCUCCUGCUCCACUACCGGAGGCCUGGUGGUCCCUCCUCCUGAUCGGCCCGUUCCCUGGUAAUGCUUUCAUCUCUCUCCUCCCCAACCCUUCUAUCUGGUCUGUCUUGAUCCGUGCAGCCUUCUCCUCUUCAAUCUCGAUGUCUCUUUUAGCCUGUUCGUAUGCGGCCGCAUACGUUUGAAUAGCUGGGCUUCUCAAAUUGUACCACAGCCUUCCUAUCUUCACCCCUUCUUUCAAUCCCCUUAACGCCUGAGGGUGGUUGAAGGCUCCCAAGUCGAGGACAGCCCGAUGAAACCUCUUGAUGAAUUCCGGAAGGGUUUCUUGCUCCCCCUGUUUCAUGCUUUUUAGCUCCAUCAUGUCAUCUUCCGGUGACAUUGCCCUACUGAACUGCUCCGCGAAUUCCUGGCACAUCUGCUCGAAGGUUUUAAUGCUGCCCCGAGGAAGUUUCAUGUACCAUUCUCGUGCACGUCCCUCAAGGGAUAGUGGGAACACCCUGCACCUUUGGGAUUGAGAUAAUCCUUGUACCCCAGUUAUGUCGUUGAAGCGCUCUAUGUGCAUCAGCGGGUCAGUUCUUCCCGUGUAUCUGAAGUCGGGGAGGCGGAAAUCUCUCGGAAUAACUGCCCUCAUGAUCUCUGCUGCGAGCGGUGAUUCUCCGUCCAGCAUUAUCCUCCAACCAGGGGCUCUGUUCCUCCCUUGCAUAUCGUCAAUUAUCUGCGCUAGUCUGCGCACUUCCUCCUCCAGCUGCCCUGCACGACCAGGGUCACGUGCUGCAACUUGAUCCCGCUCUUGCUCUACAUCUUGCAAGUGUUGCCUCAACUCGGUUUCCUCUGCAUUCACCACCCCGUCGUCCGCGUCACAAGUCUGUCUUGCCGGGGACCGCUCUCUUUCUCUAUGAAAUUCUCCCCGUAGAGGUGCGUUACCUCUCUCACCACCAAAUCUCCCUGUGGUUUGACUUCUCCCCGCACUAUCGGGACCUGGUGCCACUCCACCGCCUCUCACCCUUCCCUCUUGAGUUACCCUUCGCUCGCUCCGUAGCUCAUGCAGGAUGGUUGUCAAGGUCUCCAUCUGCUUUUCCAUCCGUUCCAUCCGGUCGAACAUGACUUUUCCCGUGCUUCACUGACUAUCUCCCUCAGCGUCACGAAAUCGUUAAGCCUCAUAUCACCCCCUUGUGCACUACUUCCUCCUGUCUCCAUUGCUUUUUGCUUACUCCACCCCUCUUCUUGCUAUCAACAGAAGCUUUUUGCUCUGGGUCCCCACAGACGGCGCCAAAAUGUUGAUGCGAGAUUCCGGUUCUCCUCGUUCUACGACCAGGAUCUCUGCUCGAUCAACUUUACCACGACCAGGAGGUCUCCUAGUAAUGCUUCUUCUCCAGAUGUCCCUGCACACACAGACAAGUCAGAGUACGCCGGUUGUUCUCCCGGCGUAAACCCUCCGACGCUCAAGUCAGAUAUGAAGGUUCGGGGAACGCUUGCCACAGGUCUUAUGGCUUUUUCGUGGUUUUCUCUUUUAUCUUAAAAAUGCUAACCCUUUUACCUUCGUUGGCUACCUUUUUAUAGGCUUCUCCGAAUCCCCGUUUUCCGCUUUUUGCCAGACGGUAUGGGACUCUGACUGCUGCGUCAUGGGCGAAGGUGGGAUCUUGCGUGUUACGCCACGGUUCUGGGGAAAGCGUGGCUGUCGUGCCUAGAUUCUCGGGCUGGAGAGCAUGUCUUGCCAACUGCCGUCGACCGGGUCUCCUCGCUUCUCGACCUCUAGCCGGAAUGAUCUUAUGCCUCUUACAGGAAAUUGACCUCGCGGAUGACGUGCUCGUGGACGAGCAUGAUAUUUCUGCUCCUGUUCCCCCGCGCAUCAGGCUUUUACGGAACACACCGGCUCGAGGAACUCUGCCCCCAGAUAUCUGCUCACCAUGCCUGGUCUCGUCGACGUAUUUCUCCUAAACAUCUGCUAUAAUAGCAGUUGUAAAUAUAUGUGUAAUGCAGUAAUAUGAUGAUUAAUCAGUAUUCAAAACACAAUAAAAGUUUCGUACAGAUUUUGAUAUUGAGAGUAACACAAUAAAAGUUUCAUACAGAUUUUGCAAACGAAAAGCACAUAAUACACUUAACUAGGAGGAAAAAUUAAGGUGUAUUUAUUACAAAUUGCUAACAAUAUACAAUUGUAAAAAUCACUCUUAUGAACUCACAAAUACUAGGCAGCAAUAAGAGUAUGAUACAACCAUUCUAAAUGAAAGAGAAUACAACUGUUUUACAACUAUGUCACAUCAAGAGAUAUGUUAGCAGGAUUAAUCCAGAUACCUUCGAACCCAAUUAACGAACUCGAGUCAGAAACCAGGGGCCCCUAACUAAACCUUACAAUCUUGAAGGAAGAAGGAGACUCGUGGUCCAGAUAGGUGACUUACUAGAUCUCCUGCAAAAGAGAAUAUCUAUUGCUUUGAACCUCCAUUGAAAUUUUUUUUUCCCUUUUUCUUGUUUUGACUUGGAACUUUCCAACAUCAUCUAUUUGAUCUUUUUUUAAGGUAAAAUAGCAAUCUAUAGGUUGCCAACAUGUUAUUCUGCCAAACCCCACCCCACCCCCCCGGGGGACAACAAAUCGACCUAGCACACACCUUUCUUCAUUGCCCACACCUACAGAACUAUAAUAAAAAGACUACGUUACUAUUGGGGUAGAGAAAAUAUACAGACUGUAUUAUUAUUACAUCGCAUUUUACUAAUUAACUAGUGCAAGACUUCUUUAGUGUCAAAUCAAGAACUAAUUAGAAAAGACAACUCAUGAUAAUACAGACCUUAAUAAGCAAUUGCUAACAACAUCCCAUAUACUCCUAUUUUAGCCUUCAUUAUCCUGGUAAAAACACAAAUAAGUCUUGCAAACGAACAUUUAUAAGUAAAUUCAACAUUAAUUAAGAUUAGGUAUCUACUGCACCUAAUAGCAUGGUCAACCAUCUAGUUCCUGUAGCCUUCCAUGUACCUAUGUUAGUUACAUUUUACAUAUUAAGCCACGAAAACGAAGAAUCACAGCCUGGUAAAGAAAGACAUUAAUUAAUAGUUUUUGUUUAAAAAGUUCUCCUUUAGAUCUUUCCUAUUCAAUGAAUCAAUGUAAUCUAAAGAGAACUCUUCCAUUUCAAACAGUGUUAGAAGGUAUUUGCAAAGCCUAAAGAUAAUAUACAAGGACCAAGAUAUACACAGAUGGUUUCUUUAUGGAAUUAAAGAGCUUUAUAGAUGUUAAAACUGUUUCAAACAAUUUUUCUUGUUUGGUUUAACUAAGGAAAAGCUUGUGGAAGAUUAAAAAUGAUGUUUCCUAUUCUCUGUAGGAAACUUUUAGGAGAUUUUUUGGGCUUUUUUGAAAGGUUGAAUUGUCAAAAAUACCUUGAUGUUAUUGUUUGCUAAAAGAUGUUACGGACAUCUAAACAACCAACAACAUUUUGUUAAAAGCUCUACUAGUGUAGGAUCUACUUAAAGAAGCUAUACCAAACAGACUCUUAGACUGAAUAACUCGAUCUUAAGUUUGUAAAAUUGGGCUCAGAAUCUCCACUAACAACCCCGCUUCGGUGAGAAAGCCCAAGCCUGUUACUUUGUAUAACCUUAUUCUGUAUGUUUGAUUGCAGGAACUGGCCGAUCAUACCGACGAGGUGAGUGUGCAACAUGAGGUGCUUGACGGGAUGUUUACUUUCUAUGAUUCAACUAAAGCUAGCCUCAACAUAUAUCAGGUGCCUGCUUGUUUUUACCUUCUAGAUACUAAUAUUGUUUAGACGUGUAAUCUCUCUCUCCAUUGAACGCUAGACGGCUCGUCUCAAGCCUUCUACGUACUUCAGAGUCCUUCACUAGCUUUUUAUGUAUAAAGUUUUGAUCUUUUUCCUUCAUUUGCUUGAAGCUCAUUACUGCAGAUUUUUUUUACAGGUUGGUAGUGUAACAUUCGACUUGCUGUUGCUUCUAGUCUUGGGAUCGUAUUUAAUUGUGCUUUUCAGCUUUCUUGUCAUAACAACUAGGGUAUCACUCUUUCUCCAUAUCAAGCUUGAAGUUCUAAAUUUCAGUUUUAUCUUGUAUUUGAUGUUUUAUAAUUUCAUUGCAAACAGAUUAGAAUAGAAACUUCAAAAGUUCCAACUGACUAGUCCCGUGUAACUUUUUCAGGGAAGAUUUUCUCUCAUAACAACUACGAACGUGUUAUGGUUUAGCCCAGUGACACAAAGGACAGUUUUCAACAAUUGAUCCUAGGAAGAUGCCCAUAGCUUGUUGUGCCAAAAAUAGAAAAUCUAAGAUGCGAAAAAAUUUUGUUGAGAUUCAUUUUUCAUCCUGAUGUUACCGCUGGCCUUUUUUUUUUUUUUUUUUGGCAGAGAAUAAUGCUUAUGUGAUUUCUGAACUUGGUGAUUGUUGAAAUGAGCUGAAAAUGAGCUGGAAAUGUGUUUGGUUAAUGAGAAAGAGAGCAAGAAAAUGAAAGAAAUCUAUUUCACUUUUUAUUUAUCAGCAUGAUUACAUUCACAAUGAAUCUAAGCUGCUAUUUAUACUUAAAUGACUACACACGAGAAUCUUCUUGCUAGAUACUUCUAGAAACUCUACACGCACACUCACACUGAGCUAGUGGUUACCAAAACCGUUACAACGAUAUUGCCAGCUCAGCAUAACCAACUUAUAACUAACACACUCAGCUGCAGGGGAAACCAUCAAGCUUACUGUGCGUCCUCUGUAAUCAAGCUUCUUUAAGCAUGCUCUGCAGAUCAUACGUCUGAAUUAUCGAAACAAGAUGAAUUAUUUUUUGUUUAUUGCAGCAGGCGAUCAAUGAGCGGAAUUUCUAGCUUGUAUUCAAUUCGCGAACACAGUUUGAGAAGAAUCAGACCAUUAAUUUUCUUUUGAGCCAAUCAACAGAAUGUACAUUUCUUCUAAGAACUUGUAACCGAAACCGCAGUUUUUCAGGUUUGCUCCUUCCUCAUAGCAGUUAAUCAAACGAUAAACAGAGAUAUCCCAUGUCAACAAGAAGGUAAUCAUAAAAGAACAACAGAAUUGUUGCAACAUAUUCAUAUGAAAUGUAAAACAAUUUUGAGAAAAAAUAUUGGGAAGAUAUUUUUUUUUCAUAGAAGUUGCAAUCUUUACGUUAUUUACUAGUUUGACUAGACUAUAUAAGGAAGCUAUAUGAAAUUAGAAAAAUAAGCUAUACUAGGAAAGAAUAAAUAUGUGUACAGAAAAUUAGGCUAUAAUUUUCAAAUUAGAUGCCAGUUAAUUUUAUCAUAAUUAGAUGGUAAGAUUGCAAAUUCUGCAGCCAAAGGUGGUACGGAACUGAAUGAAGGAAAUCAAAUAUGAACAUGUUUUCAAUCUUAAAAUAUUAAGAGUAGCAUAAGUAACUUGUGAAACAGUUAUAAGUUCAAGGGAAUUAGAUGAUGGCAUGGUUGAAUUUUAUAAAUAUUUGAUAUUUUGGACCGAACAGGGCAAACAGAUGGAUCCAGAUAAUCAAGAAAAACAUCAAUUCCAUGCAACCAAAUGAGUCUAGUCAAAGAAAUUAUUCAAAGAAAUCUCUAGGUCAGUAUCCAAAUAUAUGGCUCCGUCCGUUCCACCACCACAACCAAAAAAAUCAGAUCCCCCCAUUUGGAUUCGAUUGAUUAAUUUGAGCAUAUAAAAUCGGGUUUUAAACUUCCCUAAUCAAAAUUUAUAUUCCACAGAAUCAGUUCCUUUAACAUGAUGCAUUACAUAAUAUUUUGUUUGCAAAAUAAAGAAGAAAGAUGACAUAAUAGAAACACGCUAUUGCAUCUUUUGAAAAAGAAAAACGGAAUAGUUUUCCAAAAUUAAUUCCGAGAAGAAGAUUAACUAAUAAUGAUGUUAGAAAUUUUAAUAUUUGAGUCUUAAUAUUAUGUAUCACUCAUUUAUUAAAUAAUAGAUUUCAUAAUUUGUAAAAUUACUUAACCACUUGAUAAAUGUUAUAUUUGUUGGGACUAAAUUGGAACUUAAAUGUUGGAAUAUCUAGUAUUGCAUUAAAAAAUAAAUAAAAACUUAACAAUUUAUCUUCACUUGACUAAUUGUUUUUACAUCACAACUAACCUUAAUUAUUUUGAAAGUUACAGUAUUAUUAAAUUGUCCUAACUGGUUAUCCAAAGUUGAAGCAUGUUAAAAUAAAAAAAAUUACUAAGAAACAUGUGCUUAAACAGAGGUUAAAGCUAUGAACAAUUAAGAAGAAACUCUUAAUUUGGUCCCAGUUAGUAUAAUAAUCAUCUAUUGAGCGGUAAAAUAUUAAUUUUAAUAGUGAUGAAAUCCAAUAAAUAAUAGAUUACUAACACACAUAAAUUAAAACUUAACUGUCUGAAAUCAUAACAUUACUCUACUCUUCAGUGGAGUUCUCUUAAACAGAUUAUGUGAGAUUGCCUACAUUAAAAAUAUGUUAAGACUGCUUGUUGAAAGCAAUAUUCGCUUUUCCAUUAUAUCCAUAACUUUGAAUUGAUAAAGUUGUAUUCAGCAGCUCUUGAAAAGACUAAUUUAUUUUAACUAGUCAUAGAAAUAAGAGAGAAAAGGGGCUAUUUCUUGACUCAAAGUCAAUUAUAAUUAUCAAAACUUGAGGGGACAUCGCAUGCCUAAAUUCCACGCACCCUAAUACGGUUUGAUUUGCUUUCACGCGUUCAUGAAUUUCCAUGAAAGAGCCUGCCUUUCGUCUCUUUCGGGACAGUGACUACAAUAAUGGAAAAAAUUAUAAUUCUCGUUAGAUUGUAACCAAAUUAUUAUCCCUAAUUUUUUUAAGUUACAUAUAAUAAAAUUCAUGCUUAAGUAUUUAGUAAUUAGAGAGAGAUAGAGAGGAUUGAGGGCCAAUGUUUCGCGAUUUGGGGUCAAUUCAAAGUCAACUAACGUGUAAAACACGUGUAUGCAUAGAAAACGCUUAGAUUAUUUGUGUUCCAAGAAAGAAAGAAGACCCAUCACCUUCUUCGUGACAACAAAUGAAUGAAUGAUGUUGAUAUGACAAAUACAAGCGCUAUUACAGGGAACAGCAUAAGAUCGAGACUUGAUAAAGGGUUUGUUAAAUUACAUGUUAUUUUCUUUUGACUUGAAUGAUGUUGAAGAGAAAAAUCAAAUAACAUUGUAAUCAGGGUGAUGUGUGGAAUAUAGUGAAAUAAAUAAAUAGAGAAGAGAAAUUCGUUGAUCAAUAUUCAAGAACUCAUCCAAAGUGAUCGUCAAAGUCUAGAGGUUCGGUAUGAUUAGCAUUUAUUAUUAUUUUUUUUGGCUUAACAUCAUAUAUAGUCACCUGUCGUGUGAUCUAGAACAGGUUUAGAAAUCCUUUUAUUUUAACUUCCGUAUUCUUAUUAUUUAAUUAGUUAUAGGGUUCUUCAGUAUUUGAGUAUUGAUCACAUGUCUCCUAAUCUAAAAAUAUGUUUUUACGAGUACAAAUAACAAACUAGGAUUUUAACAGCCUUUUAUACUAAACCCUAAAAAUACAUGAAUUUAUCAAAAUAAGUAAAUUAAUUUAAAUUGGUAUGGCAUAAUAAAAGUUUUACCUGCCGAAACAAAUUAAAAAAAUAUUACACUUAAAUCAAAUAUUGACAAAAAUAGAUAACAAUCUAAUGAGAAUCUUAACUAGAUAUUUUUACUUCUAUCCAAUUUAACUGGAACGAGAAUUAAGUCCUUUCAAUAGUUAGGACUCAUAACUCAUACACGCUAGUUUGAGAGUGUGGGGUGUGACAAUGGGCCAAAAGACCAUUGACAAGUACAAAAGAGUGGUCGCAAUUAAUUCAAACCGCUACACACGCUAUUGCGUCUUUUAAAAAAAAAAUGGAAUAGUUUUCCAAAAUUAAUUCAGAGAAGAAGAUUUACUAAUAAUGAUGUUAGAAAUCUUAAUAUUUGAAUCUUAAUAUUAUGUAUCACUCAUUUAUUAAAUAAUAGAUUUCAUAGUUUGUAAAUUUACUUAACCACUUGAUAAGUGUUAUAUUUGUUGGGACUAAAUUGGGACUUAGAUGUUGGAAUAUCAAGUAUUGCAUAAAAAUAAAAAAUAAAAACUUAACAAUUUAUCUUCACAUGACUAAUUGUUUUUACAUCACAACUAACCUUAGUUAUUUUUUAAAGUUAUAGUAUUAUUAAAUUGCCCUAACUGGUUAUCAAAAGAUGAAAGCAUGUUAAAAUAAGAAAUUACUAAGAAACAUGUGCUUAAACAGAGGUUAAGGCUACGAACAAUUAAGAAGAAACAACUUACAAUCAAAGGUUAAGAUUAUGAACAAAUUAAGGAAGGUAUUGAGCAGAUAAAGGGACGAAAUCAUUGUCUGAAUUGCCGGUGACAAGAAUGCUUGUGUUGUGAAAAGAAACCUGAUGGUUUGUAAAUGGGUUGAAUUUUUUAUUCGGUCGCUCCAACUGACUUACUAAUGCCAAAUUUAUUACUUUGCACAGUAGUGUUUAGGAUCCUCAAGAUCAACUCUUAAUUUGGUCCCAAUUAGUGUAGAAAUCAUCUAUUGAGCAAUAGAAUAAGAAUUUUUCUAGUCAUGAAAUUCAAUAUAUAAUAUAUCCUUGACACACAUCGAUUAUAACUUAACUGUUAGAAUUCAUAACAUUACUCUACUCUCAAGGGGAGUUCUCUUAACAUAUUAUGUUAGGUUGCCUACAUUCAAAAUAUGUUAGGCUGCUCUUUGAAAACAAUAUUCCUUUUUCCGUAACUUUGAAUUGAUCCAAUAGCUCUUGAAAAGCACAUAAUAAUCAUUAUAAAUUUAAUCAAAGACUAAGCAGGUCUUCUUUCCAUUUGAUCACUCGCAUUUCAGUUAAGUUUGUCGUUUACUUAAAUUUUUCUUGCUUUCAAUUUCCACUGUUGUUUUUUUUUAUAUAAAAUAAUUUAUUUAAACUAGUCAUAGAAAUAAGAGAGAAAGGGCGCCAUUUCUUGACUCAAAGUGAAUUAUAAUUAUCAAAACUUGAGCGGACAUUGCAUGCCUAAAUUCCACGCACGCUAAAACGGUUUGAUUUGCUUUCACGCGUUCAUGAUUUUCCAUGAAAGAGAGUGCCUCUCGUCUCUUUCCGGACAGUGACUGCAAUUAUGUUAACGUGACGAAUACAAAACGUUAUUACAUACAAGAAUAAGUUUUUGGACCCGAGACUUGAGGGAGGUUCUAUCUAAUUCUAAAGAUUGUAACCAAAUCAUUAUCCCCAAAUUUUUUCAGUUAAAUAAAAUAAAAUUUAUGCUUAAGUAUAAAUAAUUUUUUAAAGUUAAAUAUAAAAUAAAAAAAUUCAUGAACUUCCUAGAAAGAAAGAAGACCCUUCACCUUCUUCGCGACAACAAAUGAUGUUGACAUGACAAAUACAAGCUCUAUUACAGGGAACAGCAUAAGACCGAGACUUGAUAAAUAUUAAAUAUAUAAAAUAAGUGGAGCAAACGAACAGAAUAAUAGAUAUUUUAUAAUAUUCUUCAUAAAAAUCCAUGUUUUGAGCCUGCCUAUAAGCUUAUCUAGUGAAGUCUGGGUAUCCGCGUUGCCCAAGGUUCCGUUUGAAUCCAGGCCGUGUAGAUGUUUAAGACAUCGCAUAUGGACGGAGUGGAAAUAUUUUCAGUUGACUGAAUUAAAUAAAAAUAUAUUACAAUCAUAUUAUAUAUUAGCAGCAAAAAUAAAAAGAAAUGAAGAAAAACGCAUGCAAGACUUAGACAAGUCAAUUAAAAGCUGGGAGUAUCAUCAGUUCAAUUGGUUAUAAAUAGCGUAGAGCCAUCCUCUCGUUGUUGCAGAACUGAAGCAAAGAGACUCAGAAAGAGUGUGUGUAGGUGAUUAUAAUUAAGAAGAUAUAAUGUGUGGUUCAAAAAGAGUGUGGGUGAGUGAGUUAAUUUUCAUAUUAUUAGUAGUAAAAGGGUGGUGGAGUGAGGGAUGUUUGGAGCAAGAGAGGUCUGCUCUCCUACAACUCAGACAUUUCUUCAAUGAUGAUCAACUUCUUCAAAACUGGGUAGACGAUGAGAAUUAUUCAGAUUGUUGUCAGUGGGAAGGGGUUGAGUGCAAUAACACCACUGGCAGAGUGAUUGAAUUAUAUCUAGGAUAUACUCGGAAAUGGGAAUCAGCAGAGUGGCAUAUGAAUGCUUCUCUGUUUACUCCCUUUCAACAAUUAGAGUCUCUUGAUUUAAGUUGGAACAAUAUAGCCGGUUGUGUUGAAAAUGAAGGUCCUUAAUUUACUUUAUUUUAAUUCUUCCUCCUCGUAAUUUCUUACAUCUAUCUGAUCCCUUUUGGCUUUUGUUUAAUUUGUACGUGAUACAAUAAAAUUACUUUUUAUUUUUUGUCAGGUCUAGAUAGGUUAUCAAGGUUGAAGUUUCUUUAUUUAGACUAUAACUGCUUCAACAACAGCAUCGUUUCAUCUCUAGGUGGUCUUUCAUCACUCAGAAACUUAUCAUUGGCUGGUAAUGAAUUGGAUGGAAGUAUUGAUAUUAAAAGUAAGUACGCUUCAACCCUUCUCCCCUGUCCCAUCUUUUGUAGAUCUUAUUUCACUGAGCAGCUGGAAGUAUUGAUACGAGAUCUAGCUAGACUCUUGUGAGUUUAGGCUUCAAGGCUUUGAAUAUUAUAAAAAUAAGUUAAAGAAAUUAUCGAUAUAUGCAAUUUUCAAUGCUUCUCAUAAUCAGACACAAUUCAAUCUAAUUAUUUCGUAUGUCCUGUCUUCAAAAGUAAAGAAUUGUACACUAAUUGGAAAUCGACAUCGUAGCUUUUUAUUUUCUAUAAUGCUCUUUUUUCGUUAACGAGUUUAUAUCCUAAGAGGGAUUGGAUUGAAAAAAAAAAAGUUUUGAUGUUCAAUGUAAGCCAUGAUAACCUGCAUCUUAUUUGUCUGCCGACAUCCAAAUUUGUGCACUGAAUUUAGUAUUUUGGUUAUUGUGAAGGGAUCAGAUAUUGGCUUCCAUAGACCAACUUGUAUUUACUUAAUUAAUUAAUUAACGACAUUUAGUAUUUAACAAAUUAAAAUUUCAUGUUUAAUCGAUUUUAAUUUUUUUAAGAAAAAAGAAAAAGAUAUAACAGCAUGUAAAGCUGAAAUAAAUUUUAAUUCCUUACAAAUUUAAAUUCAUGGUUGUCAGCUAAAUAUACCUGCUUAAAGCCACUCUUUUCGCUGAGAUUUAACCAAAAAAAAAAGGAGAAAAUAAUUUAUUUAAUUAACUCUGUUUUAAGUGUUGGAAUAAAUACAGGACUGGAAUCCUUGAGUAACUUGGAGAUGCUGGACAUGAGGGACAAUGCAAUCGACAAUCUAGUGGUUCCUAAAGGUAUACAAAAUGACACUAACCCAAAAUAAUUUAAUCCGAAAUUGUAUCCCAAAUAGAUUACAGAGGUUUGAGGAAGUUGGAUACCCUUUAUUUGGGGGGGAAGGGAAAUUGCAGUGAUAUAUGGAAGCAAGGUGUUGCAAUCAAUAAAGAAAUUCAUAGGGUCAAUAUUAAAGGACUCUCCUCCAACUCAAACAUUUCUCAAAUAGAUUAUUUAAUCUGAAAUAGUAUCUCAAAUAGAUUAUAGAGGUUUGAGGAAGUUGAAUACCUUUUAUUUGGGGGGGAAGGGAAAUUGCAGUGAUAUAUGGAAGCAAGGUGUUGCAAUCAAUAAAGAAAUUCGUUGGUCAAUAUUCAAGACUCAUCCAAAGUGAUCGUUAAAGUCUAGAGGUCUGCUCUCCUCCAACUCAAACAUUUCUUCAAUGAUGAGAAUUAUUCAGAUUAUGGUCAGUGGGAAGCGGUUGAGUGCAACAACACCACUGGCAGAGUGAUUAAAUUAGAUCUAGGAGCCACUAGGAAUCGGGAAUCAUCAGAGUGGCAUAUGAAUGCUUCUUUGUUUACUCCCUUUCAACAAUUAGAGUCUCUUCAUCUAAUUGGGAACAAUAUAGCCGAUUGUGUUAAAAAUGAAGGUCCUUAAUUUACUCUAUUUUAGUUCUUCCUCGUAAUUUCUUACAUUUAUCUGAUCCCUUUUGGCUUUUGUUUAAUUUGUACGUGAUACAAUAAAAUUAUUUUUUAUUUUUUGGCAGGUCUAGAGAGGCUAUCAAGGUUGACCAACUUGAAGUUUCUUCAUUUAGACUAUAACUGCUUCAACAACAGCAUCUUUUCAUCUCUGGUUGGUCUUUCAUCACUCAAACGCUUAUCAUUGGCUAGUAAUGAAUUGAAUGGAAGUAUUGAUAUUGAAGGUGAGUAAGCUUCAUCCCUUCUCCCGUGUCCCAUCUUUUGUGGAUCUUAUCUCAUUGACGGGUUGGAAGUAUUGAUACGAGAUCUAGCUAGACUCUUGCUAGUUUAGGCUUCAAGGCUUUGAAUAUUAUAAAAAUAGGAUUAAGAAAAUAUCAAUAAAUGCAAAUUUCAAUGCUUCUCGUAAUCAGACACAAUUAAAUCUAAUUAUUUUGUAUGUCCUGUCUUCAAAAGAAAAGAAUUGUACACUAAAUGGAAAUCGACAUUAUUGUUUGCUUUUGAUUAGUGGAUCAAAAAUCGACUAAUUUUGAUUUAACAUAAAAAUAAAAAAGAGAAAAUAAGUUAUUUAAUUAACCCUGUUUUAAGUGUUGGCAUAAAUGCAGGACUGAAUUCCUUGAGUAACUUGGAGGAGCUGGACAUGAGCGACAAUGCAAUCGACAAUCUUGUGGUUCCUAAAGGUAUACAAAAUGUUCAAAUAUUAAUAAUUUGGAGGACAGUUUAAUUGAUUUGAUUAGGGAAUGCCCAAUGACACUUACCCAAAAUAAUUUAAUCUGUAAUUGUAUCCAAAACAGAUUUCAGAGGUUUGAGGAAGUUGAAUACCCUUCGUAUAGGGGGAAGCAGAAUUCGAAUGAUAGAUGGAAGCAAGGUGUUGCAAUCAAUAGGAUCACUACCGUCCCUCAAAACACUUGACCUUUGGUAUACUAAUUUUACGGGAACAGUAGUUAAUCAAGGUAAGUAAAUCUUUUAUGUCGAAAAUAAUUGAAUUAAUAUAUAUAGCUAAAAUUUAUUGUUUCUACUUCUUUCUAAAUAGAGUUGCACAAUUUCACCAACUUGGAAGAAUUGAUAUUGCUCGGGUCUCAUCUCCACGUAAGCCAGCUUCUGCAAAGCAUCGCAUCAUUCACUUCGUUAAAGAAUUUGUCAAUGCCAGUUUGUACCCUUACAGGUGCCGUACAUGGUCAAGGUAAAUUACGGGUAUCUGAAGCUUUUAUGAUAUUAAUUCGAUAAUAAUUCUUUCUUUUCAAGUUAAUUUUCUCCCGUAAAAUAAUAUUUUUUUCUUUUAAAUUUUAUAUAUUUUCACCGUCCAAUAGAAGAGUAAAGAAAAAUAAGUAAAUUAACCCAAAAAAAAGAAAAGAACAAGACCGGAUUAUCCUUAUUCCCUUGCAUUAUGCGAUCAAUAUCAAAAUUAUAACCAUUUCUUGUUUAUUGCUUGUAGAUUUUCGUAAAUUCAAGAAUUUGGAACAUCUGGACAUGGGUGGGGUGCAAGUUGAUGUCAACACCAGUUUUCUUCAAAUUGUCGGCGAAUCAAUGCCUUCUCUUAAGUUUUUAUCACUGGCAGAUUCAAGUCUUAAUAAAAACACCAUUCUUGAUCAAGGUUAAUUAAUGAUUCUCAUUCUCCCUCUCUCGCAUCAUAACUAAAUUUAAUGGAGAAUAUCUAUAAUGCGAGCUAUUUAUAAACUUAAUGAAAGAUGAUAAGGAGCCAUAAUAAUGACAAAAAUAAUUGUAAAAUAGUGCACUGUUGUAGUGUUGAUUGAAAAAUAAUGCUAAUGUUUUACCUAACAACACUAUAACGUCGGAUAAUUUUUAAUAUGUACUUUAAACUAUCAGUACUCAAACUAUCAGUACUCAAACUUAAUUUUUAAUAUGUACUUUAAAGAUUUUAUGCAAUUAUUUAAGUUUUAUGCAAUUAUAUUUUUCAGGACUUUGUCGGUUAGUGCAUCUGCAAGAGUUAUACAUCAGCAGUAAUGAUUUGAGAGGUAGCUUGCCAUGGUGCUUGGCAAAUUUGACUUCCCUUCGAGUAUUAGAUGUCUCUUACAAUCAACUAACUGAAAACAUCUCCUCAUCUCCCCUCAUGCAUCUAACAUCUAUCGAAGAGCUCAUACUUUCAAAUAAUCACUUCUUCCAAAUCCCUAUUUCACUUGAACCACUUUUCAAUCUCUCAAAACUCAAGACUUUCGAUGGUGAAAUAUGCGCAGAAACUGAGUCACAUUAUAAUUCUUUGACCCCAAAAUUCCAACUGACUUCUAUCUCACUGUCUGGUUACAUAGAUGGUGGCACAUUUCCCAAAUUCUUGUACCAUCAGCAUGACUUGAAGAAUGCUGAUCUCUCACACCUUAACUUGAGUGGAGAAUUUCCAAAUUGGUUGCUAGAAAACAAUACAAACUUAGAGACGCUUCUUCUUGCCAACAACUCUCUUUUUGGAUCAUUUCGGAUGCCAAUUCAUUCCCACCAGAAUUUAGCAACAUUGGAUGUCUCUAAAAAUUUCUUUCAAGGCCAUAUUUCGGUGGAAAUCGGAACAUAUCUGCCAGGUUUAAUGGAUUUAAACUUAUCUAGAAAUGCUUUCAACGGUAGCAUUCCCUCUUCAUUUGCUGAUAUGAAAAUGUUGGAAAGGUUGGACAUAUCCUACAAUCAGUUGACUGGUGAAAUCCCAGAGCGCAUGGCCACAGGUUGCUUCUCAUUAGAAAUUCUUGCAUUGUCAAACAACAGUUUGCAAGGUCAUAUAUUCUCUAAAAAAUUUAGCUUGACAAAUUUGACGACGUUGCAGUUGGAUGGUAAUAAAUUCGCUGGAGAGAUCCCAGAAAGCUUAUCUAAGUGCUAUUUGUUAGAAGGAUUAUAUCUGAGUGAUAAUCAUCUCACUGGUGAGAUUCCAAGAUGGUUGGGUAAUUUGUCAGCUUUGGAAGAUAUUAUAAUGCCCAAUAACAAUCUUGGAGGGCCAAUUCCAAUCGAGUUUUGUCAGCUUGAUUCUCUGAAGAUUUUAGACCUUUCAAACAAUAGUAUUUUCGGAACCUUACCAUCUUGCCUUAGUCCAGGAUCUAUUGAACAACUUCAUUUGUCAAAAAACAAGAUAGAAGGACGAUUGGAAAGUAUAAUCCAUGACAGCCCUUAUUUGGUGACAUUAGAUCUUAGUUAUAACAGCUUACACGGAAGUAUUCCAAAUCGGAUUGACAGACUACCUAAGUUAAACUACCUUCUUUUGGCUAAUAAUUAUAUUGAAGGCGAAAUACCAGUUCAAUUAUGCCAUUUGAAGGAAGUGCGGUUGAUUGAUCUUUCUCAUAAUAAUCUAUCUGGUCAUAUUCCUCCUUGCUUGGUUAACACUUCACUCAGUGAAGGUCAUCAUGAGGCAGUAGCUCCAACUCCAAGUGGAUCUUCGAUGGGAAAGGAAGAAACUGUACAGUUCACAACAAAGAAUAUGUCCUACUAUUAUCAAGGAAGAAUUUUGACGAGUAUGUCUGGGAUUGAUCUUUCUUGUAACAAACUGACAGGUGAGAUUCCUACUCAAAUUGGAUAUCUUACUAGGAUUCAUGCACUAAAUCUAUCUCAUAACAAUUUGACGGGCACAAUCCCGACAACAUUUUCAAACCUGAAGCAAAUCGAAAGCUUGGACCUCUCCUACAACCUACUGCAUGGGAAAAUCCCUUCUCAGCUCACCGUGCUAACUACAUUGGCGGUCUUCACAGUAGCAUACAAUAACUUAUCAGGCAAAAUCCCAGAUAGAGUCGCACAAUUUUCAACUUUUGAGGAAGAUAGCUAUGAGGGGAAUCCUUUUCUUUGUGGAUGGCCACUGUCUAAAAGUUGCAAUGAUAGUGGAUUAUCAGCAGUGACACCAGAAGCUUACACUGAUAAUGAAGAAGGUGAUAGUUUAAUUGACAUGGACAGUUUCCUGAUCACUUUUACAGUAUCUUAUGGAAUUGUGAUAUUAGGAAUUAUUGGAGUUUUGUACGUAAACCCCUAUUGGCGGCGAAGAUGGUUUUACCUUGUUGAAGUGUGUAUGACCUCUUGCUACUAUUUUGUGGCAGACAAUCUUGUUCCUAGAAGAUUCUAUGGUGGAUGGAUGUAAUUUCAUUUACUUUACAACUUAUAUGUUAUUUUUAAAGAAUUUUCUUUUGCAUGCAUGGAAUAGCAACUCAAUAAAAGUAUUUGAUGCAAAUUGUCCAAGAACAACUUAGUAAUUUCAUUGCUACUAUUCGGUUGUAUAUAUACAGUUAAUGAAAUUUUUAAUCAUUCGCAGUAGGAAUUUCUUUAAAUGGCGGCCAAAACCAACAGAUUUGGGGCUCUACCUCUACACAUCAUAACAGGCAAAAGGUCUCUCUUUUACACUAUCUGAAUGAAGAUUAGCUUACGCCCCUGGAGUUCUCUAUUAAACUUGACGGUUGAGAUUUCAGGUCCAGAUGAAAGUUAAAUGCAGGCGACGAGACUACACUUUAAGUAAACUGGGACAAACUUAAAAUAAAUAAAAAUUAUAGUCCAGGGUAAGAGUAAUGGGUAGCUCAACUUAUGGAGUAUAACUAGGACUUGGAAUAACUAUCAGAUUUGCAACUCUUGUUAUAUGCUUGGGAGUUACAGUAAUCGAUUCAUUUCCUCCAUUUCUGAUGGUAACCCAGCUCUAUACAAGAACAAUCAGAGAAGGUUCAUUUAAGAAAUUUCACAACCCACGCUUUUUUUUCCUUUUUGCCCUCUUCCUCACAAUAAAAACACCUAACACACCAAGCCGUGCACAAAAUAGUCCUAUUUUAUUCAUGUCAUGAAUCCAAAAACUAUCCCAGCUCACUUUGUUUAACCAGCAUAACUAAAUUGUGGGUAUAAAUGAACACACUUUCGAAGCCUGUAACUUAUAAUAAGCUCAAACCCAAAAAUGACAUUUAAAUCCUGCAAGUGUUUUUCAUCAUCCCUAACAAAAAGAAACAAGAAUAAUUAUAUACCAAUAAUUUUUCCAUAAAAAAUACUGAUACCAAUAAUUUUUCCAUAAAAAAUACUGAUUUGAGUUGAAACACUAUACAAACUGGGUUUUAUACACUUGCAGAAAGCUACACGAUAGACAAAAUCUAGCAGCUACAUAAUGGUAUCACUUUCAGCUGGUCAUGAAUGGUGUGCAUUCAGCAGUGCUCGAUAGACCAUGUCUAUGAAUUGAUUGUCCUAUUACAUAUAAAAGCUGGUCAGCUAUACAAGGAAAAAAAUAAUAAUUGAAAAUGCAUCACAAAAAAUAAGUGUCUCGCAUUAGUGUUUGCACUCUAAGCAUGGCAAAGUGGUGCGGGUUCAUGAUUUUGAAGACUGGGAUAAGUGAAAAAUAGUUCAAUCCACUGAUGAACAUAAAUUUAUUUACAUGUCAAUUUAGAUAUCAUAAAAAAGUAAACAGUAAUUCACAGUCACUUAAAAGAGUUGAUAAAAUGCGUGCCGUGAAUGCAUUUUUGUACAUAAGAAAUCCAAAGAGUAUUUCUGACAAUACAAAUAUGCUAGCUUUAAAUCUGCUGUCAAUAUGCAAUUAAGAAGAUUAUACCAGCUGCAUGAUAAAGUUCCCCUAAUCUUAAUAACAGUAAACAUGAACAUGUCAGAUGCAAUUAUAGCUUCGAGCAUUUGCAUAACCAGAAAUCCUAACCUGAACAAGCACCAGAAGUGUCUCUCGGACUUUCUCCUUGUUGAUAAAUGGUCCGCUGUUUGAAGUAAGAGCAGGAGUAAGAGAUGGUGGAGGGGUUGGUAGUGGAAAAGGUUGAAGCAUUGGGGCACCAUAUGGGCGUUGCAGACUCAGGGGAGGAUUAAGUGGCGGAGCUGUUGGUGUAGAUGAAGAGACAAGCUGCAUCAUCUGUGCAUAGGAGGAUGGAGGAGGAACAAAGAAUAAGGAAGGCUUUACAAGAUUAGGGGUAGGUGCUGACAGAGGUGGAGAUGGUAUUUGCAAGGUUGGCACGAUAGGAGAAGCAACACUGGCGGGAUGAGAAGGUAAAGAAAUAGUUGUAUUGGACUGGUAAGGUUGUGCAGAGAUUGCUGCAUUAGAAGUAUUCCCCACAGUCAAAGCUGUCUGCAAUGAUAAGGACAGAUGUCAUAUACAAGGACA
rnacentral:lncRNA from 1 species